rnacentral:lncRNA from 1 species
AGCUCGAAAAAGCUUAGGAAACAGGGGGCCUAUAUGUUCUUUGUCAACACUUAGCUCUUCCAAAUGAAGCACCUCUGCUAGCGAAUCACAAUUCCUCACUUCCAGGUCCAUCAAAUUGUUCAAGCACCGUAGCAGAUUGGCAGGAAUAGCACUCGACAUAUUCGUGCAGUCAUCCACCACCAGGUGUCCUAAAUUGUUGAAGAAGCUGACAGGCAGUGCUUGGCCAUGCCAUAUUUCUUGCAAACGUGGAAAAUGCGAGAGUUGCAAAUACUUUAUGUCACGAAAUCCAAUCUGCACAAACCAAAACAAUUGCACUGGAUAUAUACAAUUUUUUACUUUUUGAAAGGCACAGACAUAUAUACAUUAAACUUACAUGUUUUGUGCUUAAAUGUGCAAGUGCAAGGGAGAUGCAUGAGCAAUUUUGAUGAAUCGAUUCACACAAAUCAUUUCUUUGUAACACUUUUGUAUAGUGGAAUUAAGAUUGCCUUCACGAUCGUGCAAUUCACCCUCUUCCUUUUUAGUCACUUGCACUUUGUGCAGCUUUGGUGUGGAUAAGAUUCCCAGGGAAAAAGUCUUCAUGUUCGGACAAUGUGUCACAGAUACUUGUUCCAAUGAUGGGAAUUCAAGAGUGUAAUUCUCCAAGCAAAAGCUGGCAAGCCUUGGUAAAUCAUCAAGUAUCAAAAGUUUUAAUUUGCUGAAAGCAAUACGAUUCUCCUUCGCUUCUUCUCCAACAUGUCCUAUGAUUUCUUCUAUUUUUUUGCAGAUUGAUACAUUAAGAUUCACUAAAAUACCCGGAAUUCCAACCUGAAAAUAAGCAAAAGAGUGUGUGUGUAUUAAAAAAGUAAAAAUUAAGAGUAUCAUUCAACUAGGUUCAAAGUAUGUUUAAAUCAUACAAUUAUACGUUUUAUAAACAUAACAAACCAUGAAAUGGCUACUAGAUAAUUUUUGUUAAACAAAAAAGGCAACAAGAUAAGUAAAUGCAUUUACACUAUUUAGUAUUAGGAGAUAAACAAAGAUAAUAAAAACGCAUUUACACUAUUUAGUAUUAGGAGCGUAGAAAGAAUUUAAGGCAAUUUCUAAAUAUUUUAGACUUAUUUUGCAUUUCGAUGCAAAUUUUUAAAUAAAUUUGAAAUUGCAACUAUUCCUUUAAAAAAAAACUCAACCAAAAUGCUGCUUUUUCCAUUUUCCUUGGUCCCUUUUUUUUAUGUAUAUUAAAAAAUGCAAAAAAAAAAUGGAAAAGACUUCCCAAUACUGUCAACGUAGGACUGUUGUAAAGCGGGUCUUUAUUAAGUACUUCCAUGAAUUUAUGAUUAAUUAAUGUCAUAAUCAAUUCAUAACUAAACUAGAGAUAUUAAUUAAAUUUGAAGACUUUUCUUUUUCUUUUUUUCCAAACGAAAUGUCAAGAAUUAAGGAAAAGAGAAAUAUAUAGAUGAAUUUGUGAACCUAUAAGAUGAGUGACUAUCCUUUAAUUUUUGAAAAUCGUACUUAUUAAGAUAUGAGAAAAACAAUUAAAUUGAAUUAUAUUAUGCUGUUGAAUCGUGUUUAAAAAAAUUAUAUUGUUGAUUCUAAUAAUGGCGAACCUAAAAACUGGACUUAAAACGUAGAUUUCAGAGUGGUGGUUCGAAGUACAAUACUUGAAAUAAAUAAUUAGUGCCUGAAUAUCAUUCGUAAACACAAAAAUGGUUAAAAAAUUGUUGGAUGUAAUUUGAAAAAAAAGAUUCGAAAUGAAUACAGCAACCUUACCAAUGGAGGAAAAAUAUUCAUUAGGUUAUCACACCAAGAUAUCUUCAAAUUCUUCAAUUUGCUGAAAGACUCUGAAGCAAGCUGGUGGUGCCAUAUUCUUCUCAAAUUAUCCAUCCACCAAAUAUGUAAUUCCUCCAACUUCGGAAGUCGUACCUGGCAGUUAAAGGUUAAAUAACUAAUUAAUCGGCAUAAUCUAUUGAUAACCAAAUUAGAGGCGGAUAUUAACUAAAUUUGAAGACUCAAGGAAAAGACAAAUUAAAUAUUGUGGCUAAAAUUAAUUUAAAAAAAAAAAAAACCUUUUCGUCAAAGAGAGGUGGAGAUUGCAUUUCAGAAUGAAGGGUGUCUGCUGGUGAGCUCGUAGAGAUGAAUCUUAACAUAUUAUUGCAACCACCAAUCUCGAGGUUUAGUAAAGAAGGGAAUUCAACAACUAAAUCUGAAUGAAUAUGUCCCGUAUUGGCAAAGCUCGUUAGUUUUGGAAGCACACAAAGCCGUAAGGAGUGUAGUUUAGGAAAAACCUCUAACUCAAUCAACUUUCCUUCAUCUCUUCCUCCUAACCACCCUGUGGUGUCGACUACCCCUUCCAUCGACUUACAAGAUCUUAUCACAAGAUGUUGGAGUUGCAAAAGACUAUUAACCAUAGAAUAUGAAAACAGAUACUUCAGACGAUCACAACUUUCCACGGUCAUUUUUGUUAAAUUUCCACAAUAAGACACUCCCUGAAACUGUUCGGGCCAUAAUUUUUCAAUGGUUGUUAACCAUAUAAGUUUCAACUCCUCCAAGCGUGGAAAAAUAACCUGAAGCAAAACGGUACGCUUUUGUUCCGUCAAUUACAACUGUCUAAUAUAAUAAUCUUUUGAUGAUUGAAGAUCAAUCGUGAUAAUAUAUUAAUUUAUUAAUUAUAAAACAGAAAAUUAUCACCUUGUGAACAGAAUCAUCCUCUGCAAUGAUUUCUGUCAAUCCCUGAGUAGCUGUUGGCUUCUCCAUGUCGGGCCCUAUAAAUGAACAAAAACAAUCUAUAAUUAACCUCUGUCCUUUUUUUUUUAAAAAAAAGAGAAAAAAGAAUGAGCCAAUGUCAAUAAUCCUACCAAUAAUUAAUUUCAACACUUACCAAUAAUCAUUUUCAAAUCAUCGCAGUUUUCCACUUCUACUUUUUGAAGCCGCAAUAGGUUUUUGGCCAUGAAGAAUGAGAAGAGAUGCUUCAAUUUGUCACAAAAAAAUACUUUUAUAAUCCUUAAGUUGCUGAAAGAUUGAUCUUCUCUGAGUUGGCUGUAGCAUAUCGUUUCCAAAUUAGUUAAACCAAUAAGAUACAAUGUCUCCAGCAAGGGAAAGACUUUGCAACGAGCUCGUCCAAUUGAACCGACAAUAUGUAAAAUCUCAGGACAGCCUGCUACUAGAAGAUGCUCCAAUUGUGGAAAACCUUCCCCAUCGUCUAAUUCAUGAACAACACUCGGAACACCAUUCAAUGUUACUAGACGGAGAUCUUCAGUUCUUUUUAGCAACAUUUUCAUCCCAUAAUUCUCCAAAAGAAUGCUAACGUUUUCUAGCUCCUGGAGUUUCAUUGAUCUUGAUGUUUCAGAUGUCAAUUUUUCUAGCUCCGUGAUAACUAUGGAUGCUGAUGCUCUAGAUGUGGCGAAGGACACAAGUCCAUUUCGUUGCACUUUUCCUAUACAUAUCUGAUACCUUUGCAAUUCCACAGAGACCAAAUCCUGCGGCAGAAUUUCGGGAUCCGGAACAUCUAUCUCCAAAGUAGUUAGCAAUAAUCCUACCAAUAAUUAAUUUAAACACUUACCAAUCAUCAUUUUCAAUUUAUUGCAAUUUACCACUUCUACUUUUUGAAGCCCCAAUAGGUUUUUGGCCAUAGAGAAUGAGAAGAGAUACUUCAAUUUUGGACAGGAAUAUACGUAUAUAAUCCUUAAGUUGCUGAAAGAUUGAUCUUCUCUGAGUUGGCUGUAGCAUAUCGUCUCCAAAUUAGUUAAAUUAAUAAGAUCCAAUGAUUCCAGCAAGGGAAAGACUUCGCAACGAACCCGUCUAACUGAACCGACAAUAUGUAAAAUCUCAGAACAACCUGUUACAUGAAGAUGCUGCAAUCGUGGAAAACCUUCCCCAUCGUCUAAUUCAUGAACAACAUUCUGAACACCCGUCAGUGAGUAUAGACGGAGAUCUUCAGUUCUCUUCAGCAACAUUUUCGUCCCAUCAUUCCCCAAAAGAAGGCUAACUUUUUCUGGCCCCUUGAGCACCAUCAAUGUUGAUGUUUUAGAUUCGACGAGUCGUCGGUUAGACAUUUGUCCUAUAAAUAUCUUAUAUCUUUCCAAUUCCAUAGAGACAAAAUCCGGCGGCAGAAUUUCGGAAUCCGAAACAUCUAUCUCCAAAGUAGUUAGCUUUGACAACCCCUUCAACUCGACAAGACUGGCAUUACUUCCUCCUUCAACCUUAUCCCACUGUGAAAAGCUGCAACCCAUGUACAGUUCUUCUAGUCGAGAUAAUUUGGAUAUGAUGUUAGGAAAUUGGUGGGUGCAGCAGGACCGCAGCUAAAAUAAAAUUGGAAAUAAAAUAAAGAACAAGCACACUAGAGGACACAAGAAAAUUACGUGGUUCGGCUUUUAGCCUACGUCCACGGGCGAAGACAGAAGGAAAUAUUUUACUAGUGAAAAGGAGUUACAAGUAUUGUAGUAUUUUAGCUCACUUCCCAAAAUCCCAAUACACCCAAACUCUCAAAACACUAAACACUCAAGAGUUUAUUAAACUCUUAAAACUCUCAACACUCAAAGAAAGCAAUGCUUCUCUCUCGAUGGAAUUGGAUGAAAAUGAAUGAGGAAGCUCUUCCUUUUAUAGCCAAAAAAUGGCUAUUAAAUUAAUAUAUAUAUGUAUAUAUUUCAAAUGUAGUUACCAACUUCUUCUUUUUCUCCAUUUGGAUGGCACCAUUUUCUUUGGCCGGCUGCACCAUUUUCUUCUUUCAAAUGUCAAACCCUUCUAGAUGCAGCCAUGCCAAACACUUCUAGAUGCAGCCAACUUUGACAUAUGACAUUCGGUGUUAUCACCUCAAGCCUCCUACAAUUGCUCAAAUCCAGCAACUGUAACCGCGUCAAUUGUCCAAAUUCAAGUGGCAACCGCUCAAUAUCGGAACCUCGAAAGCUAAGAAUCUCUAAUUUCUUUAGCUGUCCAACUAUUACUAUAUCUUUUAGUCGGCAAUAUUCUAAACACAAUGUUUGAAGGUUAAUGAGGCGACCAAGUGAUGAAGGUAAUGAAGAGAAGUGAAUUCCAGUAAAAUUCAAAACUCUGAGUCCUUCCGUCCCAUCAAAAAAGUGGUCUGAAAUUGGCAUAGAGCCACCACCCUUUUCAAGCAACAAAAGUAACUCGAGACGGGGACAUUGCAACCUUUCAGGAAGCACUUGAAUACCUCUAUAAGGUAAAGAAAUAGCAAUUGGACCUUCCUGUACUGUCUCUUCCAUCUUUUUGUCCAAGUCGGCAACAUUUGGAAUAUUAAACAUGAGCUCCUCUUUUGCAAUUGAUACGGCAACUACACGAAUGACGUCAUGCAUUUUGACUUCAUCUUCAGCAUCACCGUCCAACAAUAAGCAUGAAGAUUUGAGUUUGCUGAUCAACGUAUGCACUGUACUCCUUGCUUCUUCCGGUGUGUAAACGUUUCUAAAAUAGCCCAUACCCAUACCAUAUCUCAAUAAAGAAGAAACUGGUAUAGCAUGACCUUCACUAAAUAGACCACAAAGAAGGAACAGAGAUUUUGCUUCCUUAUUUCCCAGUAAGUCGUAACUCAAUUUCAAGGAGAGGUACACAUUUUUUUCCAUUCCAUCAAUUUCUUUUGCAUAGGAACUUCUUAGCUGACGCAGCACAUAUUUCCAAGUCUCAAGGCUCAUAUUUUUCAAAGCUUUUGCAAGUGUAAUCAGUGCAACCGGCAGUUCUCCGCAUCUUCCGACGAUCUCAUGUGCUAUAGGUUGAAAAGCAGAUGUUUUCAUUGAAUCACCCACUAUCUUCUGAAAUAAAUGCAAUGCUUCUUCUUUUGAUAAAGCAUCGAUCUGGAUCUCUUUCUGAGAAUUCAUAACAUUGCGCAAUAAAUCUUGACGUCUAGACGUCAGUAUUAUUGUGCAUCGUCGCUGAUCAUCCAUUCUUUCUUUCUUAACAUCCCCGGAAGGAAUUCCAACUUCAUCGAACUUCAGUUCUCCCCAAAUAUUAUCCAAUAUAAUGAGAUGCCGCUCCUCGUUCUUCAAAACUCGACAUAGUCGAUUUGCUCUGUCGAAUAUACUCUCAUUCAACUCAAACUUUAUGCCUAAAUCAGAAGCAAGUUUGUCUUGAAUUUUCUGAUGAUCUGGGUUCUCUGUUACCUCAGCCAUAGCGACCUUAUCGAACAACUUAUCUUCCGUCACUUGCUUUGCAACUUGCUUGACGAGCGUGGUUUUACCCACUCCGCCCAUCCCGUAGACCCCAAUUAUGUUGAGCUUAUCAUCCUUCAACGCCUCCAAAACAUCUUGAAAUACUUUCUUUCUUGAGUCAAAGGCCUCGUAAUCUUUCACUUGCAUAUAUUCUGUACUCUUUGGAGCAGGACGAUAGGAAACACUAGAGAAGUUGCCUUUUCCCACGAGAUCAGCAGCAUCUUUUGCGGCCUUUGCUGCUUUUUUACUGAGUUUGUAACGAGACAACAAAUUUGGGCACAAUCCUUUGAAGCAAUACUUCUUGGCUCCAUUUUCAUCAUCAAUAAUGGAGUUUGCAACCCCUUCACUGAUGAAUUCAUCAACGCUAUGUAGCCAAUCUGCGACACCCUCAUAAAGCUCAUCCCCUUGUAGCCUAGCAUGAUUAACUGGUUGCUGCACCAUUUCUCUUUUACAUCCCAGCUGCAUUACUUGAUCUUUUAGCUCAUCUACGUAGCUCUGGUACUUGAACACAUAAGAUAUCUGCCGUAUAAUCGGUUUGAACAGUGACUUUGCACCUUCUGAUACGAUGCUUGAAAAACCACCGAGACAGAAUUCUACAGCCAUUGCCUGUUGCUUAACGAUGUAUGUGUAGUUUUUGGCUGUUAAAAAAAACAAAAAUUGGAUUCAAAUAAAUUAAAUGAACUAGAGGGGAAGAAAAAGAAAGAAACGACAACAAACAACUUUUUAGAGAAAGGUUGAUAUUGUUACAGAACACAUGUUCAUUUUUAACAAAUUGAUCAAUAACUCUAUUCGCUAUUUAAUUGAUAUUGUAACCAAUUUUAAGAGAAUAUAAUAAUAAUCCUUCGAUGCAUAAAUUUAGAAUUAGAUUUUUUAACUUUUUAUUUAAAUAUAAAUCUCAAUGGAAAAUUAUAAAAAUUUAGAGAUAAAAUUUUUCAAUCACCAAACGGAAAAACAGGGGAAUGAAAACAGAGGAAUCUUGUUUUACCUUUUUUUUUUUUUAACCUUCACUCUUGUUCUUAUAUAAAUAAUCUUGUUCUGAUGAUAGUGCUCGUGACUGCAGGAAAAUUUCUAGUGGAAACAACUCAAUUUCAGAAGAAUUUAUUCAAUUGACUCUGUACUUGAACUCGUUGGAUUGGUUGAUUUAUGAUUGACUGAAUUUAUUCAAUUCGGCCUAAAAGAUCUUUAACCAAAGUUUAAUAGCUAUCAUCUACUCCUUAAAAAAAAAUAUGUAUCUUUUUUAGAUUUGACUGAAUUUGAACUUGCUGGAUUGGUUUUUUUUAGAUUAUUAAAAUGGGGCACUGCAAAGUAAGUAUUCUAAAAUCUGUAUGUUGCUUUAGAAAAAGGGCUUUUCCCACUGAUCUUUAUUCUUCAAGUAAACUUAGAUACAAAGUAAAUCUAAAAAAAUGACAAACAAACAAUGAAAUAAACGACAACAAACUGGCAAUUUUGACACAAAGCCAACAAUUAAAAUUUAGGACAUUUUUUUUUCUUGCUUUCUUUUUUUGGAGGAUUAGAGAUUUUGGUAUUACCAGAAAGGUUUCAAGGGUCUGAGUUUCAAGGGUCUGAGUAGAAACCUAUAAUCUUUUGAAAAACUUUGUUUUUUUUUAAAAAAAAAUUUGGGGAAAGGAUGCAAAUUAACCAAAGGAAAUAAUAAGAGCACAGGCUUUAACAAUGAACAAUAACUUAAAACUCAUGCAAAAUAAAUUCAAUAUUAAAGCAAACCAGAGAAAUUUUUUUCUUGAAAAGUAGAUGGAAAUUAUGAAAGAACAGAUGUCAAGAUCAAGGAUCAGGGAUUCUACUACCCAAAAAAAAAAAAAAAAAAUUAAAGGAUUUGGAAAAUGUGCACCUAGAGUUGGUGAGCUUCUCUCUAUUCACUUGAAUAUUUAAGAACAGCUGGGGAAUGUGUGAGAAAAGAGUUGACGAGAGAAAUAACAAUGACUUGCAGAAGAAAAACCAUUAAUCAAGCACACCUUUUUAUAUCCUGUAUUUGGUUAUUGUUGCCCUCUUGACGCAUGUAGAGAAUAAUUAUGUGCAUUUUUGUUUUUAAUCCGCAUGCACUUUAAUGAUUAGUGCUCCUUUCAUAAAGCAGAUACCGGAAACACACAAAUAUCAUUUGAGAGAGAAACUAAACAGCAAAUCAUCAAAGUAAGAUCAAUAAUAUAUGAUUUGGUUAAUGCAUAUUCAAGAACAAAAACAAAAAUAAAUAAAUAAAGAAGGUUUGAUUUUGUUUUGCCAACGCUGCUUUUUUGUUAUUUCUCACUCAUCUUCAAUCCUCAAGUAAAAUUAGGUAAAAAGCAAAUAUAAUAAAAAAACAAACAAAUUAACAAAAAAAGAAAAAAAAACAUUGAUCUUGAGACAACUGAUACUUCAAAUUAACCAAAGCUAGUAAUAAGAACACAGACCUUACAAAUGAACAAUAACUUACAACUCAAGCAACAUAAAUGAUAAGAUUAAAACAAACCGGAGAAAUUUUUCUUGGAAAAUAGACGGAAAUUAAGUAAGAACUGCUGUUAAAAGAAAUUAUUAGAGGAUUUAGGAGCAUGUGUACCUCUUUAAUUAUUUGGGAUCAGAGAGUUGAUGAGCUCUCUAUUCGCCUUGAAUAUUGAGUAAGAACUGGUAUUAAAAGAAAUUAUUAAGAACAAUAUUUUAGUGAGCAAAAUAUCACUGUUAACUGCAGAGGAAUUUGUGAGUAAAAUGCUGAAAAGAGCAGUAACAAUGAAUUGCAAAAGAAGAAGACUUAACCAAGCACCCCUUCUAUACCCGAUUUUUAAGAUUUAAUUUUGAAGUUCAGAAUCAAGAACAAAGACGAAGCUUUAAUAAAGCAUGCAGUGAGAUACAAGAAAUGGAUCGGGCAAAAUACCUUACGAAGCGUUUCAUAUUUUCUAAUGAAAUAAUUUAGUUGAAGUUUUCGACGAAUAAAUACCUGUUGUGCUUGAAUAAUUUUGGCAUAUACAUUACUUGUAUCCGGCGAAAUUGAAAAGCACACUCAUUUACAGAGCUUGUUAGUGGGGAAAAGCUUCGUAAGAUGCCUGAUAAAAGAUAAAGCAAAAGCUUGAAUGAAGAAUGACAUUUUAGAAAGAAACUAAAGUGCAAUCAUCAAAGUAGGAUCAAUAGUGAGUUGAUCAGUUAUGCUUUUUGUUAUUUCAAUUGUCCUGUCCACAAAUGAUGCUUCGUUAUUACUAAUUCCACAUGGACAUUAUUUAGAAACUGUUCUUAUGUUUAACAGAAAAAUGAAAACUCGUCAUCAUACAAAACUGCGUGAACAAAUCUUCAAUUUGAUUAUUAUAAAAUAAAGAAGUUUCAUUACUAGAUUAUGCGGACGUUAAUGUUAGAGAUUUCAUCAGAUUAUCAUAUAAUUUACCAAACGCUUUGAGAAGAACAUGAAUUAAUUAGUUAAAAAUUUAAAAAUAAAAUAAAUAAAGAGUACAUGCAAAUAUUGUUGCUUCCAAUCACCAAAGUGAAAAACAGGGGAAUGAUAACAGACGAGUCCCUGAUUAUCCUCUCUCUCUCUUUUUUCAAUCUCUCUUUAUGUUAUGAUUGAAUAAUUGUAUAGAAAGUGUGACGGUUGCUGCAGCAUUAUGAAGUCAAAAUUGAGAACGACAUUAAAUAAUCAAUCUCUUUAUGUAUAUACUCGAAUGUCUGAUAGUGUUCAGACUUGGAUUUUCUAUAAACACAGAUUCGAAAUCCAAAUAAUUGAAUAAUUGUGUGCGUUCAAAUUCAGCAUUUAAUUUCUAUAUAAUUGGACAUAAAUGCGUAUUUUUUAUUUAGCCCAUUUCGGUCCAUGUUCAAAUAAACAUAUUUCUGUGGAUGAUAAUAUCAGGACCUCUGAUGCUUUUUUUUUUAUCAGAAAUUUUAUUUUUAACUCUUCGUUAUUUAGAUAUAAAUUUUUGCAGUCACCAAAUAGAAAAACAGGGGAAUGAAAACAGAAGAGCCGUGUCCUAAAUCAGGAGUAGGUGUUUUGCCUAAAAGUACCACUUUCCUAGCAAAUCUAGUGGGUUUACUGAAUAAAAUUUUUAAUUAUUCUGUUUGAUCUUUCUCUCUUUAUCCUAAGCAUUCUUGGUUGGGAUCGCUGCAUUGUCCUGUAAUCCGUGUGCCUUAGUGAAAAGAGUAAUGGGUAACUGUAGUUAUGGGUACUUGAGAGCUCACGAUGAGGGUAGCUUGGUAAUGGGACUAUCCAUAUCUGAGCAUCAGAGCUUGACAUCUUUGAUAAAUACAUAUGCUUACUGGUACUGUUUUUGCAUAUGUCUUUCACAAAAUCUUUGUAUAGGCUUACAUAGAGAAGAAGAUUCACCAAUAAAGUGUUGGCUCCACUGGCAAUGAAGUCCCUUAAGUGGCUUGACUGGGUUUGCUCCUCAGUUCUAGUCUGGGUUGUGGUACGGGCUUAAAGGUGCCUCCCACAGUUGGGGCCUUCCCCAGGAUACCUCGUGGUCAAAACAAAAAAAAAAUAGAGAAGAAGAUUCGGAUAACUUUCAAAAUCUGAAUCCGCCUGAUGGACGGACUUGACCACACAGCCCCGUGACAAGGAAGUCCAAGCAACUAACCUAAACCGUUCUCCUUAUUUGAUAUAUGCGCUCACUAUUAAUAGAACUUAUUAGAUACUACAACUUAAAUAACUUCCAGUGGUUGAUUGAGGGUAUGUUUGGGAUUUCCUUUACUUUCCAAGAAUUAAUUUCUACCUUGAUUCUGAACAAAAAAAUAAUUUUACAAAUAAUUUAUUAGGGUGUUUGGUAAAUGAUGAUUAUUUGACAAUCAAUUUUUAAAUGGUUUACUAUACAAAUCUGGUAAAUGAAAAUUAAAAGUGUAAAAUGUUCAUGUACAAUGACAAAAAUGUACUUGUUUACUUUUUUGUAAUUUAUUUAGAAUAUUAUUAUUUAAAUCUUUUUUAUUUACAACAUUUUUAAGAGCAUAUUCUAUUUUCUUUAUUACAUAUUUAAAUAAUUUUUUAUUAACUAUUUUAAUUUGCAAUAAAAUUAACUUGAAUAUUUUUUUAACUAAAAAAAUUGUUAUCUAGUUCGUGAUAUAACAAAUACUAACAUAUCAUCAAAUUGAUUAAUAAAUUAAGUGCAAAAAAGAAAAUGCAAAAAUUUAAUCUUUAUAGCUCAUAGAAAUAUAAUAUUAUAUACAUGUGUGUAAAAAACAACAUAUGACCAUAAUAUUAUCCACUCAUUAAACUUGCUGCACUAUUAUUUCUCAAUCUCUCCAUCUCUCGACCUUCAAGAACAUUACUACCAUAAUCUUCUUCUUGAAUUCAACCUCCAUUUCCUCAUCAUCAACAAUGCGACCAAUUUGCCUUGAUAGCCUUUCAACUCCUCCCACUUUCCUCCCUUUUGCAGACACUCUUUUUCUUUUUCUUUUUCUGUCUUUAAUAGCUUCAAUGGGAACAACCUCAUCUGACGACAAGUCCAUUCUUCAACUAGGACAGAGUUGGUAGUAGAUAUUCUAGUACUCUCAAACGAUGCCCAAACGGGGUCACCAGUGAUUGUUGUAUUAAAAGACAUUCUAUUUAAUUUUCCUCUGACUCUUGGUCGAUACCUUUUGUACAAAAUCUAUUUACUUCAGGAAUUUUAUACAUAUGUCGAUAUCAUAUUAAAGUGAAUUCAGAUCCUAUAUUAUUGACAUUAAAAUUUAGCCGAAUAGUAAAAAAUUUCCCUUUUUGUUUGUCACACAACUAUAUAGUCCCAUUUUUGGUUAUAAGCUCACGAUAUGCAAGGGAAAUGAAGAUCUAUUAAAAACUUCCCCAUAAUAUUAAACAUUAAACAAUAUCAACAUUUUGUGCAUAUGGUGCCUCGUCAACAAUUUGAUGUUCAUUUUGUUGCUCGGAGGAAUAUGACUACCUAUUAAUUAAUUAGCAAGAAUUGCGUUGCGAGUCCAUGUUUUUUGUCGUUUGGAUGGAGGAUGUGCUAUCUUUUUAUUGUAGAUGCUUUGUAAGGCUUUUGAUUUAAUGAUUGAAUGCAGUCAAUUAACAAAAGCUUACAUACAGUAUUAUGUAGUUGCUGAGAUGUCUAUUCUUGAUAAAGUCGAUUUAUUUACACCCAAGCCAACGGAAUCAAAGCCUUUUCGUUAAUAAUAUACACGGUAAUUGUUUUUGUUAAAUUGAUUUCUGGCUAACAAGAUCUUUGAAAGCAUUUAUUAAAGAAACCACUGACUCAUAAGAAAGCCAUGAUUAAAUACACAGCCAAGCAUGUGAGCUCGUUUUUCAAUCUCUUUGAUCACUCAUAAGCUUCUCUAUACCACUCACUGUAUCAUCCUUUUAAGUCAAUUUUGACUGAUCAUCAGAGAUCAUGCACCCCACCUUGAGAUGAUUGAUCACCAAUUUGGCAUUGUAACGUUGAUCACCUCUAAUUGGCCAUGCUAAAAUUGGGACCUCACAGCCAAUUGCUUCUACAGUUGAAUUUUAUCCACAGUGAGAUAAAAAUCCACCUAUUAAUUGAUAACUCAGUAUCAAUAAUUGUGGCACCAUUCCAUCUAUUAUCAAACCCUUUUUACCGACUCUACUAUCUAAACCACUACAAAAAUAAGCUGGUUAAAUGACGUGGAGGAUCCAAUCUAUUUACAUCAGUUUGAAUUACCUAAAUAAUCGGUGGAUUUGAUGCUUCUAAAUCAUUGGCUAAUGUUGAAUAAUCAUUUAAGGUGGGACCCAUUUCGGUACCAAAUGACAUGUAUAACACGGAUCCACAUGAUUUCAAAUCUAACCAUUGAAUGAUCUCAUCUUCGGUCAUGUUAGAACUUCGCCGGUUGGUUCUCAUCUCACAAUCACGAAGCACUGAACCAGCCGAUUUGUAAAAUUGUUCAGGUAACAAUGGGCCCACUCCCCACACUAGCAUCAACACCAUCGAUCCCUCCACUUGCUUCAUCCAGUGUGGUUGAUCACUCGGUUCUGAUGGACCUAUUUUCUCUGAACCGGGUGCACCUCACAAAGGUUGUGGGCCACCAGGAAGGGACCCGUGAGGCCUGCGUUUAAGAUCUGAUUGGAAUAAAGCAACAUCCUUGGGUAACCCAAGAAGUAAAUGGGCCUCUCCCGGUUUGGCAUCCUGGAUGCGAGCCUGCCACAUGGCACACUCCACAGCUGCUGAGCAAGCAUCAGAAGUGAAGAACCCAACAAUGGGAACUUCAAAAUUCUUGAAAACAUCAGCCGUCCAGCCCAUCAUAACGCCGAUGACUACGCAAACAGGUCGGCUUUCGGGUUCCGGGUUGAAAGGAGGUUUCGAAGGCCUUGAAGCAUUUGGCUGUGCAUGACAACAUGGUGGUGAGAAGGAGGUGAUGGUAGUGGUUGAGAUGGGGAGGGUAUUUCGGUAAUUUCAAAUAGAGCGUAUUGGUGAAGAGAGGAAGGGGUGAUGCUGGUGGUAGAAACGUGAGAGGGAAUAAUGAGGGUAGAUUUGUAACAACGAGAAGUGAUUUGCUUGCAUAAUUCAAUGCAUGGAAACAGAUGUCCCUGACCGAAGAAUGGGACAAUCCAAAUCUCAGCCUCAGCAGCAUUCGCAACAGAGCUUGACAUCUUUUAUGAAUUAUUUGAGACUUAAUUGUUAUUGACUGCUUUUGCCAUCUUUCAUAAAACAUUCUUUGUUAUAUAUAAAGAGAUGACUUGAUGGAGAAGCAAGUGUUUUACUUCACCCCCCACCCCCAAAAAAAAAUUUACUAAAUAUCUUUUGUUAUAUAAUGAACAAGAUAAGUUGACGGAGAAGGGUUCUACUUUUACUAGUAAAUGAGCUUUGAGUAGUUAAGAAGGUUAGUUUUAGUUAGUUAAAUAUCUACCAUCCGAAUCAAAGUUCCUUAGACUAUUAUUCAAGUGAGAUGCUUGAGUAACAUAUACUUGUGUUAGUUGGUGCCUAACAAUUCGUGUGAUACAUGAAACCAACCACUAUGAAAUCCAAAUGAAGCUGGUAGGAUUAGAUUAAUUUAAAUGAAAAUAAAAAUUUGUUUAUGCUAUUUAUUAAUCUUAUAAUGUUGAAACUUGAAAGUUAAUUCUUCAACCUGUCAAUUGGUUCAUGACAUGGUUUAAUAUUCAAGUAAAUAAAUUUAUCGUUUAAAAUUAAUUUUUCAUGUGGUAAAAGCAAUACAAAAUAUGGGGUGGAGAGAAUAAUUUGUAGGGUAUACCCCCACCAUUUAUUUAAUUUCAUUAAAAAAAAAGAAAAGAAAUAAAGGCUUGUUCAACAUUCAAUUAAAAUUAACAAUUCCAUGAUAAAAUUACUUGAGAAUAAAAAUUAAAAAAAAAAAAGUAACACAAAAACGAGGAAUUUUUGAGUAACUGAAGAACCAUAGAUGUUUUUUGGUCAUGAGCAAUUUUUGAGUUGAGACAGAACUUGUAUAAAAAAAUAGUUUUGAAUAACUUCUUUUCUUUUUUCAUAAAUAUAGAUAAAAAAUUUUAAAGUCACCAAACACAAAACCAGGAAAAUGGAAAGGAAGCCCCUGUUUCUCCUCUGUUGCAAGAACAAAUUCGGUUUCUACAGGAGUACCUUCUAAAUGCACCAUUUGUAUUGCUUUGUUUCCACGUAAGCUAACGGAAUUUUUAAUGAAAUUAAAUAAAUACAAUCUCACUGACCGAAAAGUUCUGUAGCUGUUUCAAUUCAAUUGCAUACAUUGACGAAACAUUAAAUACGGAAAAAACAAAACGUACAGCAGAAAUACGGAAAAAACAAAAAAGAAAUAAUAGGACAUGGGGAUUUCGAGAACUUCUAAAGAGAGAAAUGUAUUUAUAAGCAUUGAAAAUUAGCUCAUUAAAUUUGACAGAAUAAUAUACAAUCUCACUGUUGGCCAGAAAAUAAUAGUAAGAACUUGUGAACAUAUAUAAUCAAUUGUUUAUUACUUAAGCUCUUUUUCUUCGUUAUUUUGAAUGGGUGCAAAGAAGAGAAGUUUUGUACCCAAAUUCCAACUCGAAUUGUGUAGGCUGCUUGCAAGAGCUUCAUUAGAUUUUUAUUUGUCUUUUAAUAGUGCUACUCGAUAAAUACAGCUAGCUACCUGUCUUUUUUGUUACUGGACUAUAGAUCAAUUGACAGUUGAAGUUAUAUUAAUUUGUUGUACUGGAAUUGAAGCUUGUAUCUUAGCCAUUUCGUGAAGUGUCAAAUAUAUUUUUAAUUUCCUUAAAAUUGUUCAAAAUAUGUUUACACUUUUAAAGUCACUAUUAUACAUGAGUGCCCUAAAAUAAGAGAAGGCGAUUUGCCUGACAUUACCUGUUUCCUGUCAAAUCUAGCAGGUUUACUGAUUAGAUUUUAACAAGUCUCUUGGCAAAGUUUGCUAGAAAUGGAAUCAAAUUAUUCUAUUUAAUCUUACUGUCCAUACCCUAAUAGUUCUUGAUUUGCAUCACUGCAUCGUUCUAUAAUCUGUGUGCGUUGGCUUAUAAAGGCUAGCAAGGCUGACCAUUCGUAGCAUAUUUUUUUUUUUUUUUUUCCACAAUGAAACUCCUAUUGAUUUGACUCAGUAUUUAGAGGCGUUAACGAGGGCACUAUACUAGACAUGGAUUUCUACCGCUUUUGGUUGUACAAUUGUUGUAAUCCUUGGCCAUCAAAUCAUUUUUACGUAGCUUUCUCAGAGUUCAUGCCAAGUGUACAUUAAUGUUUUUAUGUUUUGGAUGCAAGUGGGAUUCUAGUUCUCUAUGGCAGUUGAAGAGGUAAAUGGGCAUGGAGCUAUGCUCUAUCAUAGGCUUCGGCCGCUACAAGAAAUUUGAUUUCUUAAGACGAUAUUUUUUACAACUUUAAAUUUGGUCACAAAAUUGUAUUUAUUGUGACAAAUUUUUAAAAUCGUAGUUAAUAAUCUUGUCGUAACUUAUAUUGUUUUUUGUAACCAAUUGUUUUUAUUUUGAGACUUGUUCAUUGGUCAUUAAUUAAAUUUUUUUAUACCAAAAAUUAUUUUAGUCACCAAAAGAUAUAUUUUUUUGGCGCAAAAUCUUCCCUCCAAAAGUGAUUAUUUUGAGACAAUAUUUCACUAUUUAUGACAAAAUAAAUAGUCACGAAAUAUAAUGAUAGGCGACCAAAUUAUUUGGUAACUAAAAGAGGGGUGUAAAAUUAACUAAACAAUCUAUGACACAAAAUAUUAGUAGCCAAAAUUAUUGUUCUUUUGGCAUAUUUUAAGACCAUUUUUUUGGUCAUAUAUAAUUACCUACAGUGACAAAAUUAAAAAAUAGUCGUUGAAUGUUUUAUCUUGAAUAAUUUUAUAUUUGAUAACCAAUUUUUUUUUCUUUUUGAGACAUAUUACUUGGUCCCUAUUUCAACUUCUUUUUGACGAACUUUAUAAUAGUCACAAAAGACUUUUUUUAUUUUUGGCAUAAAAAGUCUGUCCAAAGUUAGCUCUUUUGGGACAAUAUAUAAUCUUUUAUGACAAAAUAUAUAGUGGCGAAAUAUAAUUAUUUUUUACAAAGUUAUUUCGUAACUGAAAAAGAGGUGUAAAUAUAGUUAACCUAUUUGUGACAUAAAAUAUUAGUCUCCAAAACUAUUAUGUUUUUAGCCAAUUUUAAGACCCUAUUUUGUUGUCAUGGAUAAUUACCUAUUUUCAAAAAACUAAGAGAUAGCAAUCAAAAGUUUGUCUUGAUUGACAUUGUAUUUUAUGAGCAAAAUAUUUUGUUUCAGUGACACUUUACUUGGUCUUUGAUUAGACUUGUUUGUGAUGAUCAAUAGAAUUAUAUAAUAACCACUAAAUUUUUUUGGGUUAAAUUUUUAUAGAUACUAUUAAUUAAGUUGUUGACGAAAAUGAUCGAACUAAUACUAAUAUGGGAUACCAUCAAUAGCCGUAAUACUUAUGAAGCGAGAAAUUAUAAUAUGUAGUGAUUUAUUUAGAAUUAUUUUGACUACUUUAUUGAUUUCCAAAACAUAAAAUUCUCAACCCAAAAUUCCCCGCAUUGUGUUUUAUUUUGUCUCCUCACUCAGUUACUCUUUUAGCUAAAGUUGCUUUGGAAAAGUUGGAAUCUUUUGUUUGGGUGGAAAAUUUCCCACCAGAGAUUAGACAUGUAUUCACCUAGUUGAAGUAAUGAAAGUUUUACUUUCCCAUAAAAAAAAAAACUCACGGCUUGACAAAAAAAAGGAAAAAAAUUCUCACAGCUUGAUGGUCUCCUCUCUUUAAAAAUAAAAAUCCCUAGUUACUCUGCUCAAACUCGUUAAUAUUUGUUUCCACCACCUAAGCAGCCACUAGUAUCUUUUUUUUUCGCAAUUCACUUUUGCUGUGUUUCGUGGUUUGGAUGGAGAUCAUGACAAUAAUUGAACGAUGGUGAUAAAUAUCAAAGAAGGAGCUUACAUGCCCUAUAUAUCUCUCUUUGGAUGAAUAACGAAGGUGAACUUUCAAAGUACAGAGAUUUACAUGUUUUAAUUGUCAUUUACAUUGCUGCAUGCCCAUUGCUUGAUAAAAUACCGCAACAAACACGCAUUCUCGAUUUUCUCAUAAAUUUAUUUUCUUAGUCUGAAAAAAAAAUUGAAUGUUCUUUCCAAUUACCUAAUUUUAUACCAAACAACAUAAAGUUUAUAAGAAAUAUUAAAAACAAGAAAACUCAUUAUUUGUUUUAAGACAGGAAAAAGUGAAUAAAAAACAACAAAAAAAGAAAGAACUCAAAUUGCUUAAUUACCAUAGCUAUGAACAAGUUUUUGCAAAAUUUUCAUCCUCUCACUAACUUUCUCUCUUCUUACCUGAAACCAAAUAAUGACAAGACAAGUGCCCAUUAGACUAUGACAAAAGUUGGAAAUUAAAAUAAUAUAGUAGGUUAUUUUGGAUAAAAUUGGAAAAAGAAAGUUUGAAUUUGUAUUAAUACACUCACCCUUUCAGUUAACCCCUAUUUGAAGGGCCUAAAGAGUAGUUACAGUAGCAAAAAAUUCAAAUAAUGGAAAUCAGAGUGCCCACUACAUAUAAAUGGAUCUAAAGAAUAGAUUAUAUAAUAGCUUGUUUCUUAUGAAUGAUACACGGGAUUCCACAAAUAAAAAGAAAAUAAAAAUCAAGUAUGUGAAUUAAAAAAAUACCUAACCAAUAGGGGUUAGUGAGAUAUUUUAGCUAAAUAUCAGUUGACAGAAUCUGACCCACAAUAAAAAUUGCUAUCUUAUCACAAUGGAAAUCUGAAUUAUAAAAUUACUGAACAAAACUUUUAACACCUACAAGUCCAAAUAACAUCAAAUAAAAUGCCUAACCAGCUAUUAAAUAUAAAAGGGAUAUUAUCAUUCGUAUACCCUAUAGAUGCUCUGUUAUAAAAAAUACUACAACACUUUGAGGGUGUAUCAAUCGUCCACAUUAAGUUGACAAAAUGUAUCUGUUGUCCACCAAACCGUUACUUGCCGUUUAAAUAGGAUAACGACAGAGGGGUAAUUUGGUCUUUUCAUAUGAUACAAGUGAUAAUUUAAGGGUAUACAAGUGAUACUUUUCAAGGGUAAAAUUGUCAAUUCGCUAUAAUUCCGUUAACUUUCAAACGGUAGCUAACGGUUUGAUGGUUGGCAGAUAGCUUUUGUCAAUUUGGGGUGGACGAUUGAUACACCCUCAAAGUGUUGUAGUAUUUUUUAUAACAGAGCAUCUAUAGGGUAUACGAAUGAUAAUAUCCCUUUUAUAUUUAAUAGCUGGUUAGGCAUUUUAUUUGAUGUUAUUUGGACUUGUAGGUGUUAAAAGUUUUGUUCAGUAAUUUUAUAAUUCAGAUUUCCAUUGUGAUAAGAUAGCAAUUUUUAUUGUGGGUCAGAUUCUGUCAACUGAUAUUUAGCUAAAAUAUCUCACUAACCCCUAUUGGUUAGGUAUUUUUUUAAUUCACAUACUUGAUUUUUAUUUUCUUUUUAUUUGUGGAAUCCCGUGUAUCAUUCAUAAGAAACAAGCUAUUAUAUAAUCUAUUCUUUAGAUCCAUUUAUAUGUAGUGGGCACUCUGAUUUCCAUUAUUUGAAUUUUUUGCUACUGUAACUACUCUUUAGGCCCUUCAAAUAGGGGUUAACUGAAAGGGUGAGUGUAUUAAUACAAAUUCAAACUUUCUUUUUCCAAUUUUAUCCAAAAUAACCUACUAUAUUAUUUUAAUUUCCAACUUUUGUCAUAGUCUAAUGGGCACUUGUCUUGUCAUUAUUUGGUUUCAGGUAAGAAGAGAGAAAGUUAGUGAGAGGAUGAAAAUUUUGCAAAAACUUGUUCAUAGCUAUGGUAAUUAAGCAAUUUGAGUUCUUUCUUUUUUUGUUGUUUUUUAUUCACUUUUUCCUGUCUUAAAACAAAUAAUGAGUUUUCUUGUUUUUAAUAUUUCUUAUAAACUUUAUGUUGUUUGGUAUAAAAUUAGGUAAUUGGAAAGGUCUCAUGUUGGAUGAAAUUAUCAAUUAUGUGCAGUCCCUACAGAAUCAAGUGGAGGUAACAUUGCUACUAAAAAACCUUAUUAACAUAGUUAUAAUGAAUUAAUCUUCUUUAAUAUAUUGCAAUAUUUUUUACUAUUUCUAGGUCUUUCUAUGUUGGUUUUGGAUCAUUGUAGUUGCUGAUUGUGAUUUAUUGCCGCCUAUGGUUGCUGACUUUUGUUUACUGCAGCUACUUUAUUAAAGCAAUUUUGGAUAUUGAAGUUUAUGGCCAACUUUUAUUAGAUACUUCUGACCUUUAUCGAUAUAUUUUCUGAACCUUUACACUUAAGAUGUGUGUGUGUUUUUUUUAAGUAAUUUAAUCCUUACUAACAUUUUCUAACAAAAUCAAUUACAGAAAUGAUUAGGAAAAAACAAGCAAAAUCAUUGUAAAGUGUCUUCUGCGCACCGUGGUUGCUCAAGUCUCAUGUGCAACAUGUGAAUGAAAUAGUACUUGAAAUAAUAGAGACUUUGUUUUAUGACUCUUAUAUUUACAUUUCUUUGCAAGGAACCAUACUUAAUUGUACCUAAUAGAAGAGAUAUCUUUUCACUAUAUAGUCUUAGUAUAAAAAGAUACCUCUUCUAUAAGGCACAAUUAACGGGACAUGUCUUUAUACUAAGACAUCAUUCAUAUUUAUCACACAAUAAUAGAAACUGCAACGGUAGCUGGAAUAUUAUGAAGUCAAAAUUGAGAACGACAUUAAAUCAUGAAUUCUUUAUGUGUUUACUCUAAUGCCUGACGGUAUUUAGUUCAAUUAACACAGAUUCGAAAUCCAAAUGAUUGAAGAGUUGUAUGGGUUCAAGUUCAGUAUUUAAUUACUAUAUAAUUAUACAUAAAUGUGGAUUUUGCAAUCUUGAACCCAUUUAAUUACUAAAAAAGGAUGACGAAUAGAAUUGGUGGAAAUUGACCACAAAGCAAUUUGAGUUCUUUCUUUUUUUGUUGUUUUUUAUUCACUUUUUCCUGUCUUAAAACAAAUAAUGAGUUUUCUUGUUUUUAAUAUUUCUUAUAAACUUUAUGUUGUUUGGUAUAAAAUUAGGUAAUUGGAAAGGUCUCAUGUUGGAUGAAAUUAUCAAUUAUGUGCAGUCCCUACAGAAUCAAGUGGAGGUAACAUUGCUACUAAAAAACCUUAUUAACAUAGUUAUAAUGAAUUAAUCUUCUUUAAUAUAUUGCAAUAUUUUUUACUAUUUCUAGGUCUUUCUAUGUUGGUUUUGGAUCAUUGUAGUUGCUGAUUGUGAUUUAUUGCCGCCUAUGGUUGCUGACUUUUGUUUACUGCAGCUACUUUAUUAAAGCAAUUUUGGAUAUUGAAGUUUAUGGCCAACUUUUAUUAGAUACUUCUGACCUUUAUCGAUAUAUUUUCUGAACCUUUACACUUAAGAUGUGUGUGUGUUUUUUUUAAGUAAUUUAAUCCUUACUAACAUUUUCUAACAAAAUCAAUUACAGAAAUGAUUAGGAAAAAACAAGCAAAAUCAUUGUAAAGUGUCUUCUGCGCACCGUGGUUGCUCAAGUCUCAUGUGCAACAUGUGAAUGAAAUAGUACUUGAAAUAAUAGAGACUUUGUUUUAUGACUCUUAUAUUUACAUUUCUUUGCAAGGAACCAUACUUAAUUGUACCUAAUAGAAGAGAUAUCUUUUCACUAUAUAGUCUUAGUAUAAAAAGAUACCUCUUCUAUAAGGCACAAUUAACGGGACAUGUCUUUAUACUAAGACAUCAUUCAUAUUUAUCACACAAUAAUAGAAACUGCAACGGUAGCUGGAAUAUUAUGAAGUCAAAAUUGAGAACGACAUUAAAUCAUGAAUUCUUUAUGUGUUUACUCUAAUGCCUGACGGUAUUUAGUUCAAUUAACACAGAUUCGAAAUCCAAAUGAUUGAAGAGUUGUAUGGGUUCAAGUUCAGUAUUUAAUUACUAUAUAAUUAUACAUAAAUGUGGAUUUUGCAAUCUUGAACCCAUUUAAUUACUAAAAAAGGAUGACGAAUAGAAUUGGUGGAAAUUGACCACAAUCAUCUCUCUCUCUCGGCUUGCUCAAAUUUGGCCGAUCUGUGCGCUUGCUUAAGCUUGGCCGAUCUAUGCUUGCUCGAUUACUCUUCCUAUAUUCAGUCAGAGUCAACUGUUUGACAAGAGUCGAAGUCCAAGGUUCUUUUUUACAGGAUUUGAGCUACUUCUUUUAUUCUUCUUGCAUGUUCACUGAUAGCGGGUGGAAUUUGAGAUGUUCACUGAAGCUUUGAUGUGGUGUUCUGAUAGCGGGUGGAAUUUGAGAUUCUCCUUUCUUCUCUAUAUGAAGGUGCUUGUCAUGUGUCAAGAAAAAUAAAAUUAUUUACAAAAGAUUAUUUUAAGGAGAUUUAUUAUUAUUCGUGGAUCAGGAAGCUCAAAAAGUUUUCUUAUGUAGAACAUAAAAUGAUUUAAAUUUUGCCAUGGUAUAUCCUUUUCUUUGAUUGUGUUGUGGUUUUCCAGUUCUUGGAGAUGCAGAAGAAGUUUAUUUUGUUUUAUGGUAUCUUAUUUAUUUAUUGUUUUCACGAGGAAAUAGCUGUGCUUUUGGAAAUUAAUAUGCUGUGUUGUAAAUGUUGUGUGAAAUCCUUUUAUUGGUGUCUAUGUAAAGUGUUUCAGAUUUCAGACCUGAGAGUUAAUCUUCGCGUACCAGUUGGCUUUUGGGUUUAGUAUUGCUGCUUUUAACAUAUUUGACCUAUGGCCCAAAUCAUUUCUAUAGGGCGAAGCAUAUGAAUGAUACAUAUUAUCUUUUUUUGGCCUUAUGUAUUGUUAUUUGCAGUGUGAUUUGGUCUAGCUUAAGAGCUUAAGCUUGCAAGUUGGAUUUGUCUAACAGGGAACAAUUUAAUUUGUUCAUCAUGAUGUUUAUAUCCAUUUUGUACUACUAUCAAUUUCAAUCAUGCCUAAUUUUUAUAUGUAUUUCUCGUGGACUCUCAGGUUCAGUGCACAAGAGGAUGAAGACGAUGGACACCCAAAUUUGAUGUGGAGAACAACUAUUGCAAAUGGUCCUUGAUUUACUUCUCCAAUUGACUUGAAUUGGUUUGACGCAAUUUAUAGUGUAUUUUUGUCAUCUUUGUAUGACUGGCAGGUCGUCCUGAUUUGGUACAUGACUGGACACAGGAAUUGGACUCAUAUUUUUCAAACCAGAAUGCCAACAAUCAAGCAUUUUCUUUUGAAAGCACUGGCGUCUUCUUCAAUGCCAAAAAGGUUAGAGAUUUUCUGUAUCCUGUUUUGUAUUUGAUCAGUUUAGCAUGUGGGUGGCAAUCAAGAAAAGUUAUUAUAACAUUUUUGUGUUCCCGAAAAACUGCUGAUGAUGUGUAGUGCAGGAAAUGAAUUGUUUGUGACUUCUUUUUAUUCGUAUUCUUUCUUUUUUCUUUUCUCCCCAACAGGAUUAUGUAUUUCUGAAGAGCUUCUUGAAGUUGAUUACCUUGUAAGCCACUUUCUGUACUCUAUGCUCAGGAUGUGAUUUUGCCAAGCAUUAAAAUGGUUUAGGUCAGAACCAUCAUCUAAAGUUUACUUAAUGCAGCCGAGAAGCUGUAGUAGAGCAAUGAAGGCUGUUGGUGUUAUGAAGGCCAGCUGUGAAGAAAUAUUUGAACUUGUAAUGAGCAUGGAUGGGACACGAUACGAGUAUGCUUCUUUUCUAUUUUUUAUUUUUAGUUACUUUAACAUAAUCAAGACUAUAUUGGCUGUCUCUGUAAGCUGAGUAUUAUAUUUCCUCUUGUAUGCUGUGAAAUUCACAUUGUCUCCAGUCCCGAUUCUGUAUGUGCCUUUUUGAAUAUAUUUAAUUAAUCUGCAUGGUGCUUUCUAAAGAUUAUUACAAACUUUUGUUGCUUAAGUAUAUGAAGAAUGUGGAAAUGAAAAUAGCUUUUGAAGUUUGAUGGAUUGCUUCAUUAAUAAAGAAAGACUAGGACUCAUUUUUAUAACUUUUCUCCACUUAGCUAAUGGUAUUUGAUGAAGACAAAAUAGAUGUAGCUAUCUGUAUUUUUUGUUGCUGAACUAUAGAUCAAUUGACGGUUGAAGUUAGUUAUAUUAAUUUGUUGUACUAGAAUUAAAGCUUGUAUCUUAGCCAUUUCAUGAAGUGUCAAAGACGUUCAUGUUUUUUAAAAGUUUUUUGGGAAGGGGAUCUAGAGAAUUAUUUCUGCUGUACCGUACAUCCGCCUUGGCCGUACAGCAGCUAUCAAUUUGACUCAGUAUUUAGAGGUCUUGAAGAGGGCAGUGUACUAGACGUGGAUUUCUUCCUCUUUUGGUUGUACAAUUGUUGUAUUUCUUGGCCAUCAGAUCUUUUUUAUGUAUCUUUCUCAAAGUUCAUGCCGCACGUACACCGUUUUUCAUGUUUUGUGCAGGUGGGAUUGUAGUCUUUUGUAUCGCAGCUUAGUUGAAGAGGUAGAUGGUCAUACGGCUAUUCUCUAUCAUAGGCUUCAGCUGGACUGGUUUCCAAUGUAAUAGUCUCUUGAUUCAAUCAUCUCAUUUAUGCUUUGGUCAGAAUAGAACAUUUAUUGUUUUCUUCUUUCCCCUUUCAUGUCUUCUGAUAUAAUAUGUGAGGAAAUUACCUAAAAUUUCUGUAUCCCAAUGUAAUUGUUGGAAUUCAGAAAUAAAAUAAAUACACCGUCUUGUUUUUCCCUCGGUUCAGUCCUAAGUUCUCUUUGGGCCUUCUGCAAGUUUUUAAACAUACUGUGACAGUAAAAAAUCUAGUGAUUGAGAUCAUUUUGAUGAAUUUAAUUUUAAUUCUUAGCUGAUACUUUUUCUGGAAUUUUUUUCUUAUGUUUCCUCAAUAUGACUUAAAUAUAGGGCUUAGUUUGGUUUAGAAGUUCGUCUAAAACCUUCUCCUUGAUUCCAAAAAAAUUCUCUAGAAAGGUCUCAGAUGGAUUUUAGGGGAGUUCUGUGGCAAAUUUGAAAAGUUCAGGGGAAGGGUCUAAUGAAUUUUAAAACCACAUGGGUUAUCUGUUUUAUUCAGAGGAUAGUGGAAUUCCCUGAAAUUUAUCAUUUUUAUUUAAAUAAUCUUCCUACUUUCCUCUGCGGAAUUUAUUUACAUUUAUGAAUUCAUUUGGUUGCAGGUUUGUUUGGCCCCGCGGCCUUUGUUAAGUACGUUAUUGGCGUUGAAAUGACGCUGCGAGUUAUGGUAAGGUUCUUGCUUCCCCACUUCUUGAAAUUAAAUCUAUCUUUUCUGGCACUAGAAGUUUCCAUAAGCUGUGUUUUGUUAUCGCGCAGUUGUGUUAUUUCAUUCUAGGGAGCAUGAGAACUGUGGUCCACAGCCAGGAUAUGUACGAGCUCACGUGGAGAGUUAGUUUUCUGUCCUUUACUUUGGUUGAUGUAGAGAAUUAACAAGUGACUAAGUCAUGCCAAGUUGCACCACUUGCUUCCUGUAUUCUGAUUUCUCAGGUGGUGGAUUCAACAUUUCCCCACUCAAACCUCAAAAUGGUAGGCCCAGAACACAAGUACAGCAUCUUAUGCAGAUUGAUCUAAAAGGGUGGGGUGUUGGUUAUGUGUCAAUGUUUAGCAACACUGUCUUCUUCAGAUGUUAAAUAGCAUUGCUGGUAAGUUUCUUGCUUUCACAUUUUAUUUUGCGCUGUUAUGGGUUAAUAUGUUUCUGUUGGGUGGCCAUUUUAAGUCAUAUUUUUACGUGUUACUGUAUUUUCUUCAGUCCUUUUAUAGGGAACACACACAUACACGUAUGUAGAGUCACCUUUUAAUGAGGGAUCUACCAUUUUAAUAAAAUGAGGAAUGAGCUAAAAGAUAAAAAUUCACGAACUCCAAUGCAAUAUGUGUGUGUGCGUGUGCACACCUUUUCUAACUCUUGUUCUUAGUUAGAUAUUUUUCGGGAUUUCAGGCAAAUGAAAAAAGAGAUUAAGAGAAAGAGAAUAGGUGGAUGAUAACUUAAAUAUUCAUUUUUAUAUAUUUUGUUAAUGUCCUCUUUAAUGGAUUUCUAUGGAAUUAAUCUUUUUUUUUCAAUUAGUUGCAGCCCUAGAGGAAAAGUAGGGUGAUCAAAUUGAUUUAUCUCAUUUUUUUUUAGCAAUUUGCGACAUAAUGACCGUGAUAAUGCUUGUGACUGCUGGAAACUUUCUGAUGGAAAUAACUUCAGAGUUCGUAGCAAGCAUUUUUGUUAUGACAAAACAAAGGUUCCCGCGAAUUUUGGUUGUUGUUAGGCCACAAGUGCGUUUCACAUAUGCAAGGCGCAAGGGUAAUUCCGGAAAUACCAAUCGUGGCUGACGUGUCAUCAAGUAGUAUAGAGAGAAGAGUUUGUUAUGCAUUUCUGUUAGUGAUAAGUUGAUGGUAUUCUGUUUUGAUAAUUUGUUAGAGUUUUCUAUUAUUCUAUUUGGGCGUAAAAGUGAGGAGGUUAUAUGGAGAGGAGCUGUUUUUUGGGAAGGGGAUCUAGAGAAUUAUUUUGUAGUGAGCUUGCUCAUUUUGGGAGAGAUACCAAGCCUCUCGAAUGCUUGGGUGUUUUGGUUUAUUUCUGCAGAUAAAUACCAGUUUUCCUACUUCCAACAACAUUCUGUUCUCUACUGUGUUGUUUAUCUAACCAUUUCAGUUCAGGGCUUAUCAAAUUGGUAUCAGAGUAGUCACGUACCUAGAAAAUGACUGGCAAAAAUGUUGCUCAACGAAUGGAUUCCAUAGAGGAGGCGAUGGGUGCUGCGUAGGAGGAGUUUCAACGGGAAAUGAGAUCGUUGAAGGAUGAAAUAUAGAUGAUGAACAAACGAUUCGAACAGUUCAUCAAACUUCAAGAGGAUACGGGAGGUUCGUAUUCGAAUAAAAGGGAAAAGAUGCUCAGCCCCAACUUCGGCGGGUUGAGCUCAAGCGGAACUAGCCAUGAUUUCCGAUUCCGGAAACUUGAGAUGCCACUGUUCGAUGGCUCAAAUCUGGAUGGCUGGAUCUGAAGGCUGAACGAUAUUUUUCCGUAAAUCGGUUAUCCAAUGAAGAAAAACUUGAGGCAGCGAUAAUAGCUUUCGAGGGAGAUGCCCUGUUGUGGUAUCAAUGGGAGAAUAGGAAGAGAUCCAUGAUGGUUUGGGAAGAGAUGAGGCUACUAAUCUUGAAACAAUUCCGAGUAAUCCAAGCCGAUUCUCUCCAUGAACAAUGGCUAGCCCUUACUCAAGAUUGAUGCUCUCUACUUUAUUUUCUUCAACCCAGGAGGACAAAGAUAAUACAAAUCUUUAACAAACUAUUGCAGUUCAUCAAAACAAAGUUCAGAAGUGUAAUUUAGUCAACAAAAGACGCAUCUACUAAGUUCAUUUAUGCAGUUAAAGCAAAAAAAAAAAGUUUAUCCAUCCCAAUACUUCAGAAAUUUCAUUUCCUCCCAAGUGCUACAGAGUUAAUUUUUCAACUAAUUAAAACUAAUAUGACUUUAAAAACUUCACUUACAUAAAAACUAAUUCUCAAUUACAAAUAGUCUGAGUUUGAUUAAACUCAAAAAACAUCACAAGACAUAAAAAGCCUGUCAAGAUCACAAGUAAACAAGAUUUUGCUAAAAUAUGCCAAAACGUCCAUAUUAUCUUCAUUUAUAUGACGAUUGAAGAAAAUAGCAGCUCGAUCUAAUAUACCAGCUAACUCUACAAUUAAAAAGAAUGCUUUGAGAAUCCAACUACCUGAAGUUUGGUAACCAAACCUUUCUUCUGCUCUUCAAGCUCUCUAAUCUAGUGUUAGGCCACAAGUGCGUUUCACAUAUGCAAGGCGCAAGGGUAAUUCCGGAAAUACCAAUCGUGGCUGACGUGUCAUCAAGUAGUAUAGAGAGAAGAGUUUGUUAUGCAUUUCUGUUAGUGAUAAGUUGAUGGUAUUCUGUUUUGAUAAUUUGUUAGAGUUUUCUAUUAUUCUAUUUGGGCGUAAAAGUGAGGAGGUUAUAUGGAGAGGAGCUGUUUUUUGGGAAGGGGAUCUAGAGAAUUAUUUUGUAGUGAGCUUGCUCAUUUUGGGAGAGAUACCAAGCCUCUCGAAUGCUUGGGUGUUUUGGUUUAUUUCUGCAGAUAAAUACCAGUUUUCCUACUUCCAACAACAUUCUGUUCUCUACUGUGUUGUUUAUCUAACCAUUUCAGUUCAGGGCUUAUCAAAUUGGUAUCAGAGUAGUCACGUACCUAGAAAAUGACUGGCAAAAAUGUUGCUCAACGAAUGGAUUCCAUAGAGGAGGCGAUGGGUGCUGCGUAGGAGGAGUUUCAACGGGAAAUGAGAUCGUUGAAGGAUGAAAUAUAGAUGAUGAACAAACGAUUCGAACAGUUCAUCAAACUUCAAGAGGAUACGGGAGGUUCGUAUUCGAAUAAAAGGGAAAAGAUGCUCAGCCCCAACUUCGGCGGGUUGAGCUCAAGCGGAACUAGCCAUGAUUUCCGAUUCCGGAAACUUGAGAUGCCACUGUUCGAUGGCUCAAAUCUGGAUGGCUGGAUCUGAAGGCUGAACGAUAUUUUUCCGUAAAUCGGUUAUCCAAUGAAGAAAAACUUGAGGCAGCGAUAAUAGCUUUCGAGGGAGAUGCCCUGUUGUGGUAUCAAUGGGAGAAUAGGAAGAGAUCCAUGAUGGUUUGGGAAGAGAUGAGGCUACUAAUCUUGAAACAAUUCCGAGUAAUCCAAGCCGAUUCUCUCCAUGAACAAUGGCUAGCCCUUACUCAAGAUAGCAGUGUGCGAGAAUACCGCCGGAAAUUCAUCGAACUUUCGGCGCCGUUGGAGAACAUUACAGACGAACUAGCUCUGGGAAAUUUUAUCAAUGGGUUGAAGCCUGAAAUUCGGGUCGAGGUUCGGAUCAUGGAACCCAGUAAUUUGGGCCGGGCCAUGGACUUAGCCCAAAAGAUUGAGGAGAAACUGUGGGUGACCAAGGCCCACAAAGCAGACGGUGGGUUUCAUCGAGCAGGAGGGUCAACGCGAGGUGUGAACUUCCAUUCUGAAGCUUCGCAAUCUUCGUUUGGGGCAAAUCAUAACACGGCCCGAUUUUCGGGAGAGGUUAGGAGGUUGUCCGAUUCAGAAUUACAGAAGAAAGAGAGAAGGGACUAUGUUAUCGAUGUGAUGAAAAGUGGGCACCUGGGCAUCGCUGCAAGAAGAAAGAAUUGACUGUCCUUCUCACCUACGACAUGGACGAAGCAGAACAGGAAGAAGGUUCGGGUGAAGCAAUCCCGAAUUGGAAACGGCCGAAAUUAAUCAAGUGGUAGAGGUCUCUCUUAACUCGGUGGUUGGUCUGACUACACCAAAGACGAUGAAGCUUAAGGCGUGUGAAGGCGAUCCCGAACUGGAAACGGCCGAAAUUAAUCAAGGGAACCUACGACAUGGACGAAGCAGAACAGGAAGAAGGUUCGGGUGAAGCAAUCCCGAAUUGGAAACGGCCGAAAUUAAUCAAGUGGUAGAGGUCUCUCUUAACUCGGUGGUUGGUCUGACUACACCAAAGAUGAUGAAACUUAAAGGGACUAUCGGGGAGCAAGAGGUGGUGGUACUGAUUGAUUCAGGUGCAACCCACAAUUUUAUUUCUCUAGAUUUGGUUAGUAAGAUGCAGAUACCCAUUGUUAAUACUGGGGCUUAUGGGGUGACUAUGGGUAUUGGAGCGACUGUAAAGGGAGAACGUUUAUGUCGGGGAGUGACUAUUCAUCUAUAGGGAAUAGAUAUUGUAGAGGAAUUCUUGCCGCUUGGGUUGGGAAGCUCGGAUGUUAUAUUAGGAUUUCAGUGGCUUGAAACUUUGGGGAUGACACACACAAAUUGGAAGACACAGGUGAUGAAGUUCAUGGUCGGAAAUGAAUCUGUUACUCUACGAGGGGAUCUUUCCCUUGGCAAGACUUUGGUUUCAUUGAAGGCAAUGAUGCGCACCAUUAAACAUUAGGGAGCUGGAAUUCUGGUGGAAUGUAAUCAAUUUGAAGGUCUGUACGAAGUGAGCCCUGAGGUGCCAACGAAUCUAAACCAAGUCCUAGUAGAAUACGAAUUGGUUUGCUCAAAGACGGCAGUCAAGCAGUCAACCUGUUAGUGUCCGACCAUACCGCUAUCCUCAUGCCCAGAAGGAUGAGAUUGAAAGACUGAUUCAGGAGAUGUUAGAUGCGGGAAUAAUCCAAGUCAGCAAUAGUCCAUUCUCGAGCCCAGUUUUGUUGGUUAAAAAGAAAGACAGAUCAUGGCGUUUUUGUGUGGAUUACAGGGCUCUCAACAAAACGACGGUACCAGAUAAGUAUCUCAUCCCUGUCAUUGAUGAACUCCUAGAUGAGUUACAUGGUGCCAGAAUUUUUUUCCAAGCUAGAUUUAAAUUUGGGCUACCAUCAAAUCAGAGUCAGUAGUCAGGAUGUUCAUAAGACUGCUUUUCGAACGCAUGAUGGACACUACAAGUUUCUCGUCAUGCCUUUUGGACUAACGAAUGCCCCGUCGACUUUCCAAUCCUUGAUGAAUGAUGUCUUCUGGCCUUAUCUUCGGAAGUUUGUUCUAGUGUUCUUUGAUGACAUUCUAAUUUACAGCCCUUCAGUGGAAUCCCAUCAGCAGCACUUGGCUCUCGUCUUGGGAAUAUUGCAGGCCAACAGCCUUUAUGCCAACCGAAAAAAAUGCGAGUUUGGAAGAACUCAAGUGGCAUAUUUAGGCCAUAUCAUCUCUGGACAAGGGGUGGCAGCGGAUCCAAGUAAAAUCCAAGCCAUUAACUUGUGGCCAACGCCCACUAAUCUGAAAGCGUUAAGGGGAUUUCUGGGAUUGACGGGGUAUUAUAGAAAGUUUGUGGCUGGGUAUGCUAGAAUCGCAUCGCCAUUGACUGAUCAGCUCAAGAAAGAUAGGUUUGGGUGGAGUCCAGAAGCUGCAGCGGCAUUUGAAGAACUCAAACAAGCUAUGUCUUCAGUCCCUGUGUUGGCAAUGCCUGAUUUCACAAAGCCAUUUAUUGUUGAGAAUGAUGCAUCUGGUUUUGGGUUAGGAGUUGUUCUACUACAGGGGCAACAACCAGUAGCUUACUACAGCCAAGUUUUGGGGCCCCGGGCUCGUCUUAAGUCCAUAUAUGAGAAAGAACUAAUGGCCAUAGUGUUUGCAAUCCUGAAAUGGCGGUCGUACUUGCUGGGAAGGCGAUUUAUUGUGCGAACAGACCAACAGAGCUUAAAAUUUCUUUUGAAGCAGAGGAUUGUUGGAGUUGAAUAUCAAAAAUGGAUCACCAAAAUCAUGGGAUAUGAUUUUGAUAUUCAAUAUCGUAUUGGGGCUGUUAACAUAUAUGUUUCCAUAAUAUUGAUUUUGAUGAUAACAAAAAAGAUUAAAAAUGAUUAAUCUUUUAAGCUCAAAUUAUUUUUUAUACAUUUUAAAUAAAUCAUUAUUUUUAUAUUAUAAAGGUUUUAUAUUUAAUGGAAAAAUGAUUUUAUGAAAUUGGUUGUUUUUCAAGUUUAUGAUUUAAUUGAAAGAGUUUUUGAAAACUUUGAAAUCAACAAGUAUUGCUUGAAAUUUUAGAGAAUGACUUAUUUUAAAAGUGUCAUAGCAUUUUGGGCUAUAUCAUAAUUUCAGAAAGUUUUGGGAUUAACAAAGCAUUACUUAGAAAUUCUGAAAUUGGACCUAUUUGUAAACUUUCAUAACAUUUUGGGCCAUACUGUAGUUUUAUAAAGUUUUGGGGUCAAACUAUAAUUUUAAAAAAUAGUGCACUGUGCAGGUUACUGUACCAAUCACUGUAGCAAAUGGCUAACCGUUUAUUUAAAAACGGCUAACCGAUAAUUUCCAGAAAGCAUGUUCUGCAAAGUAUUGUUAAAAUGAUGAUUCUGGAAACUAACGGUGAACCGUUUACUGAAAACGGUUAACCGAUUAUUUCCAGAUUGUUAACCUUGAACCGUUUAGUAAGAACGGUUAAACCAAAUUUGUUUUGCAGGUCUCUGGAAAUUAACGGCGAAAGGGUAAGCCUAAACGGCUAAUCGUUUAUUUAAAAAUUGGCCCAACGGUAACUUUGACCGGCCUAAACGGUUAACCGUUAAUGGUUAACGGCGAACCGUUUUCGAGCAAACAGUCUAUAACGGCUAGUUUUUCAGCUCCAACUAUAAAUAAGCUCAAUCCAAUUCAAACAAGAAGAAUUCCAACGAUCAUCAUUGAGCAAAAUAUUGAGAAUAUAACUUUCAUUGAGCUUUAAAUCCUUGUAUUCAUCUCAUUCAUUCACACAUUGAGCUUUCACUUGUGAUUAAACACAUUGUGUGAGAGAGAUUUAUUUGUAAUCCUUUUUGUAAAAUCAAGUUAAAAGAUUGUAAGUGUUGGGAUACACUUGGGUUAAGAGAUUGGGGAUAAUCUCUUGUUGUAAAGGUCCAUUGACACCUUGGAAGUCAAUUGUAAGCGUUUGAAGCCUUGGGAGGCUAGCUUAGUGAAAUCCUCAAGCCCGGUGAGCUUGGAGGCGUGGACGUAGGCGGGGAUAGCCGAACCACGUAAAAAUCCUUGUGUUCGUUUUCUCUUCCCUUACUCUUUUAAUAUUGUGCAUGAUUAAAUUUAUUGUUUUCAAUUUGAUUAAGGCAAUAGAUUAAAUUGUUGUGUGAUUUGCUUAGCUUAAUUUUUAAAAUCUCCAAUAUGAAUUGUUCCAAAUGGAACAAAAUGAGAGUGUGUAUUCUAUGAAUACUAGAUUUACGGACAUAGUGAACACUCUAGGAGCCCUAGGAAAGACCUUUUCAAAUAGCGAGAAAGUUAAGAAAAUCAUUAGGUCGUUACCUAAGAAAUGGAGACCAAAAAGGACUGUCAUUGAGGAAGCUCAAGAUUUGAAUAUCUUACCUAUUGAUGAUUUAAUUGGUUCUCUUAUUUCUUAUGAGGAAGACAUGGCAGCCGAAAGAGGCAAUGAGGAGAAGAAGAAAAGCAUUGCUCUCAAAGCCUCGAAACAUGAGAGUGAUGAGGAAAGCGAGCUGGAUGAGGAGGAGAUGGAUAUGCUGGCUAGGAGGUUCAGAAAACUUUUUAAGAAAUCCGAUGAGCGAAGAAAAUUUAGAGACCUCAAGAACCGAAAGGAGAAGAAGGAAGUAAUCAAAUGUUAUGAGUGCAAGAAGCCUAGCCAUAUAAGAACGGAAUGCCCUCUUCUCAACAAGCUGAAGAAGAAAGCAAUGAUAGCCACAUGGGAUGAUAGCGAUGAGGAAACAAGUGAUGAUGAAGAGCAUCAAGAAAUGACAAAUCUAGCUCUCAUGGCAAUUGGAGAUGAAUCGAAUGAUGAACUUGAUGAGGUAAAUGAUCUUUUUACUUAUGAUGAAUUAUAUGAUGCUUUUAAAGAAUUACAUGAUAAUUGGAUAAAAAUUGGUAAAAAGAAUGCAUGUCUUAAAAAGAAAAUGGUAGAGCUCAAAAAUGAAAAUGAAUCUCUAUGUGCAAAGAUUACAUGCCUAGAAUUAGAGAAUAAAACAUUGCAUGAUAGAGUUGCAUUAUCAAAUGAGAAACCUAGCACUUCACAUGAGCAUCUAGAAUAUCACAUAGAUGACUUGAAAAAUGAAAAGGAUGCUUUACAAAAAUGCAAUGAUUCAUUAAAUGAAAAGAUUAAAGGACUAGAGUUAGAUAAUAAAAUGUUGCAUGAUAGAAUUGCAUCAUUUAAAGGUAAACAAAGUAUUUCAUAUGAGCAUGAAAAAUCACAUGUUGAUGAGUUGAUGAAAGAAAAUGAAGUGCUUAAGAGAAAGAGUAAUGAGCUCAAUGAAAUUGUUUUGAAAUUCACAAAUGGGCAAAAGAUGUUGGAUAACAUGCUUAAUUCACAAAAAUGUGUGUUUGAUAAAGGAGGAAUUGGUUAUAAGCCAAAUUUGAAACAAAAGUAUUAUAAGAACUAUCUCUUAUUUCUUAUGAGGAAGACUUGGCAACCGAAAAAGGCAAUGAGGAGAAGAAGAAAAGCAUUGUUCUCAAAGCCUCGAAAUAUGAGAGUGAUGAGGAAAGCGAGCUGGAUGAGGAGGAGAUGGAUAUGCUGGCUAGGAGGUUCAGAAAACUUUUUAAGAAAUCCGGUGAGCGAAGAAAAUUUAGAGACCUCAAGAACCGAAAGGAGAAGAAGGAAUUAAUCAAAUGUUAUGAGUGCAAGAAGCUUGGCCAUAUAAGAACGGAAUGUCCUCUUCUCAACAAGCUCAAGAAGAAAGCAAUGGUAGCCACAUGGGAUGAUAGCGAUGAGGAAACAAGUGAUGGUGAAGAGCAUCAAGAAAUGACAAAUCUAGCUCUUAUGGCAAUUGGAGAUGAAUCGGAUGAUGAACUUGAUGAGGUAAAUGAUCUUCUUACUUAUGAUGAAUUACAUGAUGCGUUUAAAGAAUUGUAUGAUGAGUGGAUGAAAAUUGGUAAAAAGAAUGCAUGUCUUAAAAAGAAAAUGGUAGAGCUCAAAAAUGAAAAUGAAUCUCUAUGUGCAAAGAUUACAUGCCUAGAAUUAGAGAAUAAAACAUUGCAUGAUAGAGUUGCAUUAUCAAAUGAGAAACCUAGCACUUCACAUGAGCAUCUAGAAUAUCACAUAGAUGACUUGAAAAAGGAAAAUGAAAUGCUUAAGAAGAAGAGCAAUGAGUUAAAUGAGAUUGUUUUAAGAUUUACAAAUGGACAAAAGAUGUUGGAUAACUUGAUUAAUUCACAAAAAAUGUGUGUUUGAUAAAGGAGGACUUGGUUAUAAGCCACAUUUGAAACAAAAGUAUUAUAGGAACUACUUUGUGAAGAGUACAUCUACUAACAAUCAAGUUGUAUGUCAUUAUUGUAAUCAAAACGAUCACAUGAAGCUUGGUUGUCCUAUUAAAAGAAAAGUAUAUUAUGGAGUAAAAUGUGUUUUGGUUCCAAAAGGAAAAAGCUUCUGACUGAAGAAGAGUGAAAUACAGACUUUGAAGUACCACAAACGCGCACAAUCAAGCGGGUUAAGUUUUGAAUGCAAGAAGACAUCGCUGGAAGUUGAUUGUGCCAAAUCUUUUCAACAUUAAUGGCAGAAAGUUUCAAGGACUCCAAGUUGGGGAAGGCAACCCACAGACAUAGUUCAGGUUUCAAUUUACUUUCGUAUAAAUGUAAGAAAUGAUAUUUUACGGUAUCAUAAACAUGCCAUAAGGAUGAAGAAUCUCUCUUUCUGAUAAAAGUUAACAUCCAAUAGUACAAAGUUUAGUCUAACUUAGAAAUUAUGAGGAAAAAGUAGUCUCCUUCUUAUUGACAAUUAAUAUAAGAAUCCCUUUUAAAUAAAGUAAUUAUAACAGAAAAAGAAACUAAUUAAGAGCUAAUAUUUGAUAGCUAUCAUCAAUAUUUAUAGCUAUCAUCUAUAUUUACAUAGGAAACGGAUCUUAAAAUAUCUCUAGGAUUAAGGCUAAAAUCAAGGCCUAAUUUCCAACACUCCCCCUCAAGCUGGUUUGAAGAUAUCUUCCAUAGCCAGCUUGCUAGUCAACUUAUCAAAUUGCUUCUUGUGCAAUCCGUUUGUUAAUACAUCGGCUAAUUGUUCAUUUGUUGGAAGAUAUGUCAUACAUAUUUUUCCAGUAUUGAGUUUCUCCUUGAUGAAGUGUUUAUCCACUUCUAUAUGUUUUGUUCGAUCAUGAAGAACUGGAUUAUGAGCUAUAGAAAUAGCAACUUUGCUGUCACAAUAGACUUUCAUAGGAGUUGAGAAAGCAAAUUUCAGUUCUUCAAGAAUUCUUUUUAUCCACAUAACCUCGCAGAUUCCAUGGGCAACAACUCUGAAUUCUGCUUCUGCACUACUUCUAGCAACCACAUUCUGUUUUUUACUCCGCCAUGUAACUAGGUUCCCACCAACAAAGGAACAGUAGCCAGAUGUUGAUCUCCUAUCAGUGACACUUCCUGUCUAGUCUGCAUCAGUGUAGACUUCAACUUGAAGAUGUCCAUGUUUUUUGAACAUUAGGCCCCUCCCUGGAGUUCCUUUUAGGUAUCUUAAGAUCCUGUAGACUGCCUCAAAAUGCUCUGCCCCUGGUGAGUGCAUAAACUGACUUACCAUGCUGACUGCAAAGGCGAUAUCAGGUCGCGUAUGAGACAAGUAGAUCAACUUCCCUAUGAGUUUUUGAUACUGUUCCCUAUCCUUUACUUCUUCAACCUUAGCAGGUUGUAACUUCAAGUUAGGAUCAAUUGGGGUCUCUACCAUCUUACAACCAAGCAAACCUGUUUCUCCAAGGAGAUCAAGAACAUAUUUCCUCUGAUUCACAAAUAUACCUUCCUUGGAUCUUGCAAAUUCCAUUCCAAGGAAAUACUUAAGGACUCCCAAAUCCUUAAUUUGAAACUUCUUUGCAAGUCUCUUCUUGAGGGCUGCUAAUUCUGUUUCAUCAUCACCAGUUAAAAUGAUAUCAUCAACGUAAACAAUCAAAAUUGCAAUUUUACCGUCUUUUGAGUGUUUAUAAAAUAUUGUGUGAUCUCCUUGACUCUGCAAGAAGCCAUAACUGAUAACUGCCUUUCCAAAGCGUUCAAACCAUGCUCUUGGUGACUGUUUGAGACCAUAUAAUGACUUUCUUAAUCUGCAGACUUUAUCACUACCAAGACUCUUCUCAAAUCCUGGUGGUAGACUCAUGAACACCUCCUCUUUAAGAUCACCAUUGAGAAAUGUAUUUUUAACGUCAAGUUGGUGUAAAGGCCAAUCACAAUUCACUGCAAGAGAUAACAAAAUUAUGAUAGAAUUUAUUUUAGCAACAGGAGUAAAAGUCUCAUGAUAGUAAAUCCCAUAAGUCUGAGUGAAGCCUUUAGCCACCAGCCUCGCCUUGUACCUCUCAACGCUUCCAUACGCGUUACAUUUUAUCCUAAACACCCACUUACACCCAACUAUUUUCUUGUCUCUGGGUGGAUCAACUAUCUCCCAAGUACCACUUCUCCUCAAGGCAUUCAUCUCCUCCAUGACUGCUAAUUUCCAAUUCGGGUCAUCCAGUGCUUCCUGUACAUUUCUUGGAACAAACAAGUGUGAAAUCCUAGAUGUGAAAGCUUUAUGGUUUUUUGACAGUCUUUGAUAGGAAAGAUAAUUUGCAAUAGGAUGUUUGGUGCAGUUUCGAACACCUUUCCUAAUAGCUAUAGGGACAUCAAGAUCAGAAAUAAUUGGUGAAUUAUUGGAAACAAUCGAAGGAAUCAAAGCUGGAGUCAAGAUCAAGAAUAAUUGGUGAAUCAUUGGAAACAAUAAAAGGAAUCAAAGCUGGAGCUGGGAUUUGAUUACCUGAAAUUUCAGUGCCGGAACUCAGUUUUUCAAAUUGGGCUUGUGUAGGAUUGACAUUCAAGUCUUUACUUCUCAGAUGAAAUCUCUUCCUAGUAUAAACCUGAAGUUCAGAAUUUAGAUCAUGUUGAUCUGUUUGUAGUACUUCUCCCCCUGAAUGAGAAUCUCCUGUACUAGGCACUAAAGAACUUGUUUUCCUCAACUGAUCAUUAUCAGAAAAGUGUGAUCCUUGAAUAGGACAAAUAACUUUUGGAAGUGGGAUAGAAAUGUCCCAAAAAUUGUCUUCUACUCCAUUUGUCUCCCCCUGAAGAGAAUUUUUUAUGAAAUAAGGAGUUUUUUCCAAAAACGACACAUCCAUACUCACAUGAAAUGUUUUUGUUUGAGGGUCAAAACACUUAUACCCCUUUUUGUUCGAUGAAUAACCCAAAAAUACACACUUUAUAGCACGUGGGUCAAGUUUUGAACGAAAUUGACUUGGAACAUGAACAUAGACAGUACACCCAAAAACUUUGACGGGUAAAUCAGAAAACAACCUUGUUGCAGGAAAAAAUUCUUUAAGGCAAUCAAGGGGGGUUUUGUAUUUUAACACCUUGGUAGGCAUCCUGUUUAUUAAAUAAGCUGCUGUUAAAAUUGCUUCACCCCAUAAAUACUUAGGAAUAUGCAUGUAAAACAUUACGGCACGUGCUACUUCAAGUAAAUGUUUAUUUUUCCGUUCUGCAAUGCCAUUUUGUUGAGGGGUAUUCCGACAUGUAGAUUGAUGAAAAAUGCCUUUAUCAUUCAAAUAGGGUAUUCCGACAUGUAGAUUGAUGAAAAAUGCAUUUAUCAUUCAAAAACUCACUCAAGUGCUCAUUGAAAUAUUCAGUUCCAUUGUCAGAAUGUAAAAUACCAAUUCUGGUUUGAAAUUGAUUUUCAAUCAUAGCGUAAAAAUUUUCAAAUAAAUAUUUUACGUCAGAUUUUUUAUGCAUGAGAUAAAUCCAACAUAAACGAGUAUGGUCAUCAAUAAAAGUAACAAACCAUUUUUUACCGGAAAGGGUAGUGACCUGAGAAGGACCCCAAACAUCACUAUGAAUCAAAUAAAAAGGUUUGGAGGCCUGGUACUGUUUUGGCAAAUAAGUAGAACGAUGAAGUUUUGCAAAAGUGCAACAUUCACAAUAAAAAGAAGAGCAAUCAAUCCCUUUAAAUAAUUCUGGAAAUAAGUAUUUCAAAUAAAGAAAACUAGGAUGUCCUAGUCUAUAGUGCCAUAGCAUUAUUUUUUCUCGAACAGAAAUUGAACUAGUACUAAUAAAGUUCUGAGCUUUUUUAUUACUAAUAGGUACUUCAUCAAAGUAGUAAAGACCUUCAAUCAUCCUAGCACGUCCAAUCAUCAUCCCCGAGUUCUGGUCCUGAAAUUCACAAUGUGAUUCAAAUAAGGUAAUACGACAAUUAGAAUCUCUAGAUAAUUUACUAACAGACAAAAGAUUGCAGGCUAAUUUAGGGACAUGAAGAACAGAAUUGAGAUUAAUUUUCUCGGUCAGUUUGAUAAGUCCUUUUCCUGCAAUAUGCAGGCUAAUUUAGGGACAUGAAGAACAAAAUUGAGAUUAAUUUUCUCGGUCAGUUUGAUAAGUCCUUCUCCUGCAAUAGGUGAAAAACUACCAUCGGCAAUUCUAAUUUUUUGAUUUCCAGAACAAGGAGAAUAGGUAUUAAAUAAAUGAAAAGAACUAGUCAUGUGAUCAGAGGCUCCAGAAUCUAUGAUCCAUGGAGAAGAGUUUAAACAAGAAAGGGCUAUAGGAUUUCUACCUGUUUUUGCCAAAGAAACACUAGGAAUACCAGACGAGAAGUUGGAUUUUAUCAGCUUCAGGAGUUGAUCAAUCUGCUCUUUGUUAAAGUGGCCUGAGUUGGCUUCAUUGGCCGAAGGAAUCCCACGAUUCUUCUCUCCUUGCUUGCUGCUUUUCCAGUUUUCAGGUUUGCCAUGAAGCUUCCAACACUUCUCACGUGUAUGGCGAGGCUUGUGGCAAUGAUCGCACCAGGCCUGUGACUUAUCAUCAGACCUGCGCUGAUAAUUUGCAGUCUUGUAGGCUGCUGCAUCAGUAAUUAAGGCAGAAUUCUCAAUUGACUCACCGGCACUCCUUUUCCUGAGCAUUACGCUCCUUCGACUUUCUUCUCUUCUGACUUCAGCAAAGACUUCGCCAAUGGGUGGUAGAGGAGGUCUGCCAAUAAUCCUCCCUCGUACUUCAUCAAACUCAACAUUGAGGCCGGCAAGAAACUUGUAAAUACGACUGUCUUCCACGGUUUUCUUGUGGUGGUUGCAGUCAUCAGCGGAUUUCCAUUCAUAUGUGUUGAAGAGGUCAAGAUCUUGCCACAACCUUUUCAAAGAAUUGAAAUAUUUGGUGACAGAAUCAUCACCUUGACGAAUCUCUCCCAACCUUAAAGUUAACUCAAAAACCUGAGAUUGGUUGCCCAGGUCAGAAUACAUCUGACUAACGUUGUCCCACAAUUCUUUAGCAGUAGGAUAGCACAUAUAAUUGGAGCUUAUAUCCUCCUCCAUGGAGUUGACCAGCCAUGUCAUAACCAUGGAAUUUUCAGCAUCCCAAGUGGCAUACAGCGGAUCAUCAUUAGCAGGAACCUUCUUGUCACCAGUGAUGUAACCAAUUUUUCCUUGCCCACGGAUAUACAUCCGGACAGAUUGCGACCAGCGGAGGAAGUUGUCGCCAUUUAAGCGGAUGGUGGUGAUUUGAACAGAAUGAGAGUUGGAGUGGUUUCGCAGGGUCUCAGAUGUUUUUUCUGGAAUGGCAGCAGCAAGGGUUUGAGUGGUUUCAGACGUGACUUCUGACAUGGUUGCAGACACGAUUCCCUAUGCUCUGAUACCAACUUAGAAAUUAUGAGGAAAAAGUAGUAUCCUUCAUUUUUACAAUCAGUACAAGGAUCCCUUUUAAAUAGAGCAAUUAUAACAGAAAAGGAAACUAAUUAAGAGCUAAUAUUUGACAACUAUCAUCUAUAUUUACAGAGGAAAGGAUCCUACAAUAUCUCUAGGAUUAAGGCUAAAAUCAAGGCCUAAUUUCCAACAAUUGACAUUAUUGUUUGAUACGAUUUCAUAUGUUUGGUCUUGUAUACAUUUAUGCCUCAUGCAUUAAAAUGGCUUAUAAAACAUUUUUGGAUCAAUUAGUUAGUAUUUCAGGGGCAAGUAAUCGAGUAACGGAUGCACUCUCACUCUUAACAGAACCAGCAGAGUGUUCAGCUUUGGCGAUUCCUCAGUGGCAACAUUGGGAUUCCUUAAAGGUUGAGUUGGCAGAGGAUACCUUUCUGAAGAAACUAAGGGAAGACAUAACUUCGGGUACACAAUCUCACGUGGGGUUCUCAGUUGAGCAUGGAGUAUUGUUCUACAAGAGUCGGCUGGUUAUUCCUCAGACUACUAAGCUUCUUUUUGCUCUCAUAGGAGAGUUUCACACCACUCCGAUUGGGGGACAUUCGGGAGAAACAAAAACUUACCUACGCUUAGCAGCAGAAUUGUAUUGGAUAGGUAUGCGCAAGGAUGUCACCAGAUUUGUACGGGAAUGCACCAUCUGCCAGCAGAAUAAGUACUUGGCCACUACUCCCGCAGGGUUACUUCAACCUAUUCGACUACCAGCCCAGGUUUGGGAGGAAGUCACACUUGAUUUUAUUGAGAGGUUGCCUCGUUCUGAAGGGUGGGAUGCCAUCUUAGUAGUGGUGGACAGGCUGAGUAAGUAUGCUCACUUCAUAGGAUUGAAACAUCAUUUUUCUGCUGUUUCGGUUGCUGGAAUCUUUGUUCGUGAAAUUGUUAGGCUUCAUGGGAUACCACAGUCAAUUAUCUCUGACCGAGAUAGGAUAUUCUUGAGCCAUUUUUGGAGUGAAUUGUUCAAGCUGCAGGGAACUACUCUCAAAAGAAGCACCGCCUAUCAUCCACAAUCUGAUGGACAAACAGAAGUUGUCAACCGUUGUUUGGAAACGUAUCUAUGCUGCUUUGCUUCUGGAAAACCUCGAAGUUGGGCUCGCUCGUUGGCAUGGGCUGAGUAUUGGCAUAAUACUUCCUUCUACUCUUCUACACAUUGUACUCCAUUUCGUGCUCUCUAUGGAAGGGAUCCACCCCCUCUUAUUCGGUAUGAGCAAGGAGCUGCUUCGGUAUCUUUGGUAGAACAGUUAAUGGAGGAUCGUGAUGCCAUACUGGACGAUCUGAGGAUGCAGUUGCUUCGUGCCCAGCAGCGGAUGAAGCUGCAAGCUGAUCAAAAGCGCCAUCAUGUAGAGUUCAAUGCAGGUGAUUUGGUAUUUCUGAAACUAAGACCUUACCGGCAGCGCUCCCUCGCUCAACGUAAGUUUGAGAAAUUAGUUGCACGUUACUACGGUCCAUUUAAGGUUCUUCAGCGUGUCGGGAAGGUGGCAUACAAACUAGAACUGCCUCAAACAGCAAAACUCCACCCUAUCUUUCAUGUUUCGCAGUUGAAAGAUAAGGUUUCAAACAACAAACUACAUACUAGUUUUCCUACUUCCAACAACAUUCUGCUCUCUACUGUGUUGUUUAUCUAACCAUUUCAGUUCAGGGCUUAUCAGUUGUUUCUUAUGGUAUUUAUAUAUCCGACAUAUUCUAGUUCGACAUGUAACGAUGUAGUUUGGUUGGUUCUUCUUGCUUUUUGUGCAAUUUGUAACUGCAGAUACGUGUGGGAAAACAUUUAAUGGAUCUUGUUGCUGUUGAUUAGUUCAAAGACAAAGAGAAUGGACCAUGUAGCUAGGCGUCAAGGCUGUGAUGCACAAGUAACUAUUCUUUUCUUUUUUAUUUUUCCUUUUCCAUUGACGGAUUAGAAGAAAAUACUGCCUGUGAGAUACUACAAUAUAAAUAACUUCUGGUGGUUCAUUGAAUCUAUAACACUCUGAGCCCUAUUCUAAAAUAUGUAGGUUGCUUCCAAAAAAGGGCUUUUCUCACUGAUCUUUAAUCUUCAAGUAAGCUUGUUUCAUUUCAGAAGGUAUUAAGUUUCAAACUUAUCGUUUUGGGAGGUUGUAUGGUUGUAACGUAAGCAUCUGCAGGUUCCUGGUUCAACAAAUUAUAGUAUGGUAUUUUAUUUUGUCACAAGGGAAUUAAUUACAGGAUCCCUUUUGCAAUGGUUUGUUGACGGCGAUGAUGAAUUUCGCAAUGAAACUUAUCCCAUCCGUUCCUAAGGUAUCCGUCUUGGUCUUCAUGUAUUAGGACUAUGUUAACUAAUACGUACCCUCCGCUGCAUAGUACACUUUAAUUUGUACAAAGAAGGCAUGCAUUUAGGUGUAAAUGUAUUAAUGGGUUGUACCUUCAAACUUCAUUUCCUUUUUCUACCGAUUUGAAUUUGUUUUGCAUUUGUUCUUGAUUUUAAGCAUUGAAUCAUGCAGGGGUCAUGGAUCGUGCGCCAGAGUGAUGGAAGCACCCCUUGUUUAUUAGGAAAAGCAGUUGAUUGUAACUAUAUCCGCGGUCCUAAGUACUUAGAAGUAAAUGCUCUUCGAAUUUCUAUAGUACAUGGGAUGUGUUCCCUUUCGAAUAGCUUGUUCAAUACCAUUAACAUGGUUUAACAUUGUUCAUCUUUCUGCAGAUUGAUGUUGGCAUGUUCUUCUACUGUUGCUAAUGGAGUUUUGGGCCUUGUAAUUGGUGUAAUUACGGCAGUGGUGGUUGACAUGGCUUUCCUUGUACAGGUAUGUAUGAUUGUUUUUUUCCUCUACUUCUAAAUGGACACAAGGGAAAAGACAUGAUUUUGAGAUAUUGUACUGCAAUUUGCAUAUUUGCAUACUUGAAUGUUCUCAGAAUGGUAUAAUGCUUCGUGUAUGCAGGCAAAUACUACAGGUGAAUUACCGGAGCGGCUGAUUGGAGCUGUACGUGUUUCUUAUAUAGAACUCAAGUCUGCUAUUGUCCCAAAGUUGGAACCAGAGACAUCAUGACUGUGUUUUCAUUUCACCUCAACUGUUUGUUUUUAAUUUAAAAAAAAUCAUUUGUUUUAGGUAUACAUACAUGUAUUUUGAUCCCGUUUUCAUUGUAAUUUCUCAUUUACUUUGAAAGAAAGUCAUUGGUGUUUUCGAAUGGGAAUUUUGCAUUAAAAAAUAAAGAAUACUUAAUAGGAAAUUUCAUGAUUCUUUAGUUACUAUUUUUGGAAUGAGUGUAAUAGUAUUAAAGUUGGUUUCUACUCGCAAACAAGUGAACUACUCGAUCCCCAACUGCGACCACUACUUUUAAAACUCAACAACUAACAAAAAUACUAAUAAAAAAAUGAUUUUCUUAUGAUGCUGUGAAAACAUUUAUGGGUUCACUUAUUUCCACAAGAUCUAUAAAAUGGUAUUGACUUCACGAAAUUCUUUUAAUUUAAAGGGUGUUGGUCUGAGAAAGUCAGUGUGACGGAUUAAUUUCUUCUAAUAAUGGUCGAUUUAAUUUUACUAUGCUCAUAAAACUAUUCUUAUUCUGAUAAUGUCAUAAAUGUUAUGAUGUUUUCUUCAGCUAAUGAUCUUCUAUCAGGACUAGUUAGAAAUCAAAUGCUUAAAACACCAAUUGAAUGAAUGAUGCAGAAGUUUAAACAGUAUCUAAUUGAAAAUUGCCUGAAACAUGAAACAUCAAUUCAAGUCCUUCCUUAAACAGAGAAUGCAUCAAACAAAUCCAAAGUGUCUUUCAAGUCUGUAGCAUGACUAAAAAAUUGUAAAUGCGUUCAGAACCAAAUUAUUCAAGUACAGGAGAACGAGCAAGUUGAAUCAUGUACAAGAGGUUGACCUAGUUCUAGAUAGCUUCUUCACUGUACCUGAAGGGUUGGCUCAAUCUUUUCUUUAGAAUUCUGCACAUUUUGUAAUUACUCGUGUAAGCAAGCAUACAUUACAAUCAUAAUAAUAAUAAAGCAAGAGUAAUGAUACGACCACAACCUCUUGUGCACAAAUAAUAUUGUACAAACUAACAUGACAUAAUAUGAUUGAGUAAUGAUACGACCACAAUCUUUUGUGCACAAAUAAUAUUGUACAAACUAAUAUGAUGUAAUAUGAUUGAUUAAACAAAAACAUAACAUAACCCUUAUAAUUUAUUUAUUAUUAUUUUAUAUUUUCAAUCAAGCAAUCAUAUUAUGCCACGUUAAUAGCUAUAGAAAUAAUUUGCUAGAUAGUGCCAACACUUCAUUGAUACUCACCAUUUCAUUGAACAAUUUUUUUAUGGUGUCAUUGAGGUUUCCUUCCCAACAUCCUUCGUCAUCACCAUCUUCUUCUUCGGUGGGUUUCACUUUGUUUAGCUUCGGUGCGUCUACGACUCCUUGAGAGAAAAUCUUCAUUGUUGGGCACUGUCUCACAACUACGUGUUCCAAGGACGGGAACUCAAGAGCGUAAUUACCCAAACAAAAGCUUGUUAGGCUUGGCAAACAAUCAAGUCCCAAGUACUCCAAUUUCCUGAAAACAAUGCAAUCUUCCGCUUCUUCUCCAACCUGCGAUUGUAUGAUUUCUUCUAUCAUUUUGCAAUCAGCUAUCUUCAUUCUUUCGAGAUUCACUAGAGUUUUAGAUGUUGAGAGCGUCAACACAUUUAUCAACCCGUGACACUUCGAUACUUCUAGUUCCCACAGAUUUUCCAAAUGCCACGAAGGUGGUACUAAUUUUUGCAACUUACUACAUUCCGAUAUUUCUAGACUUCCCAAGUUUGCAAACGCUUUGCUGGAUUCGUCAUUUUCCUUCCAGAGAUGCUGCACUUUGUGUAAUCCAGAUACUUUAACUCUAUCAAUUGAGGGAAUGCAACCUAAAAAUCAACAAAAUUAAGUUGUAAAUGAAAAUAUGUAUCCAAUCUCUGCAGUCUUCCCCUGCAUAUUUUAUGGACAAGAUUAAUCACAGCAUUUUAUAUUUUUUUUUCCAAAUUAGUAUGCUUUGCAGUAGGAUCCCAAAUAUAAGUAUCAAAUCGAUUACCCUUUGAAACACAUAAAUGAAAUCUGAUGCUAAAUCUAAUAUGAAUUAGCUAGGAAAACAGAGAUGUUACACACAUAAUUAAUAUAGUUCAUCACCUCGUGUUACCAGGCAUCCAAUUAAUUUCAGACACUUUUAUAAUUCAUACUAUAAAGUUAGUUAAUAAUUGCGGUUAUAUUGUUAAAUCAGAUAUAAAUUAAGACGACAUGUAAAAAGAUGAGUCAUUAAAUUUGAUUUGAUUAUUGAUACUCACCAUUUCAUUGAACAAUUUUUUUAUGGUGUCAUUGAGGUUGCCUUCCCCACAUCCUUCAUCAUCAUCUUUUUCUUCUUCGGUGACGUUCACUUUGUUUAGCAUUGGUGUGUCUAAGACUCCUUGAGAGAAGAUCUUCAUUUUUGGACACUGUCUCACAACUACUUGUUUCAAGGACGGGAAUUCAAGAGCGUAAUUACCCAAACAAAAGCUUGUUAGGAUUGGCAAACAAUCAAGUUCCAAGUACUUUAAUUCCUUGAAAACAAUGCAAUCUUUCGUUUUUUCUCCAACCUGCGAUUGUAUGAUUUCUUCUAUCAUUUUGCAAUCAGCUAUCUUUAUUCUUUGAAGAUUCACUAGAUUUUUAGAUGCUGAGAGCGUCAACGCAUUUAUCAACCCGUGACACUUCGAUACUUGUAGUCCCCACAGAUUUUCCAAAUGCCACGAAGGUGGUACUAAUUUUUGUAACUUACUACAUUCUGAUAUUUCUAGACUUCCCAAGUUUGCAAACGCUUUGUUGGAUUCGUCAUUUUCCUUCCAGAGAUGCUGCACUUUGUGUAAUUUAGACAGCUUUAACUCCCUCAAUUUAGGGAAUGCAACCUGAAAAUCAACAAAAUUAAGUUGUAAAUUAAAAUAUGUAUCCAAUCUCUGCAGUCUUCCCCUGCAUAUUUUAUGGACAAGAUUAAUCACGACAUUUUAUAUUUUUUUUUCCAAAUUAGUAUGCUUUGCAGUAGGAUCCCAAAUAUAAGUAUCAAAUCGAUUACCCUUUGAAACACAUAAAUGAAAUCUGAUACUAAAUCCAAAUGAAUUAGCUAGGAAAACAGAGAUGCGACAAGCAUAAUUGAAAUAUAGUUCAUCACCUCAUGUUACCAGUCAUCGAAAUAAUUUAAGACAUUUUUAUAAUUCAUACUAUAAAGUUAGUUAAUAACUACGGUUAUAUUGUUAAAUCAGAUAUAAAUUAAGACGACGUGCAAAAAGAUGAGUCAUUAAAUUUGAUUUGAUUCUAAUGAAAUUAUAUCUGUGCGAAUGAAAGUGAAGGGAAAAAUAAUAAUAAUGAUUACCUUUUCAUUGAAGAGAUGUUGUAUUUGAUUAGCUACCAAGAUGUUCUCUUCUGAUUUUAAUUUUUGAGCUUCCUUAUUAUCUGCUGUCAUGUGCAGUACAGAUGUAGAAUUGGAUAUGAAUGUUUCCAUAUCAGGGCAAUUCUCAAUAGUUAGAUAUCUCAACUCAGGCAGUUCAAUUAUAUUCCCAGUGAAGUUGUAGAAUCUUUUGAGUUUUGGAAGAUCAAUGAGCCUUAGCCAGGAAAGCCUAGGAAACAGGGGGCCUAUAUGUUCUUCCUUAGCAUUUAGCUCUUCCAAAUGAAGCACCUCUUCUAGUGAAUCACAAUUCCUCACUUCUAGGUACCUUAAAUUGUUCAAGCAUCGUAGCAGAUUGGCAGGAAUAGCACUCGACAUAUUCGUGCAGUCAUCCACCACCAGCUCUCUUAAAUUGUUGAAGAAGCUGACAGGCAGUGCUUGGCCAUGCCAUAUUUCUUGCAAGCGUGGAAAAUGCGAGAGUUGCAAAUCCUUUAUAUCACGAAAUCCAAUCUGCACAAACCAAAACAAUUGCACUGGAUAUAUACAAAUUUUUUUUUAAAGGCAUUAUAUAUAUACACAUUAAACUUACAUGUUUUGUGUUUUAACUUUUAAAAAUAUAUAUACAAGGGAGGUGUAUAUGCUUAAAUGUGCAAGUGCAGGGGAGAUGCAUGAACAAUUUGGGUGAAUCGAUUAACACAUACCAUUUCUUCAUAACACUUUUGUAUAGUGGAAUUAAGGUUGCCUUCCCAAUGGUGCGGUUCACCCUCUUCCUUUUUACUCACUUGGACUUUGUAUAGCUUUGGUGUGGAUAAGAUUCCCAGAGAAAAAGUCAUCAUGUCCGGACAAAGUGUCACAAAAACUUGUUCCAGUGAUGGGAAUUCAAGAGUGUAAUUCUCCAAACAAAAGCUGGUAAGCCUUGGUAAAUCAUCAAGUAUCAAAACUUUUAAUUUGCUGAAAGCAAUACGAUUCUCCUUCACUUCUUGUCCAACAUGUCCUACGAUUUCUUCUAAUUUUGGGCAACCCGAUACUUUAAGAUUCACUAGACUACUAGGAAUUCCAACCUUAUUAUGAAAUGUCUGUGUGCAUGUGUGUGUGUAUUAAAAAAGUAAAAAUGUAAGAAUAUCAUUCAACUAGAUUCAAAGUAUGUUUAAUCAUACAAUUAUACAUUUUAUGAACAUAACAAAUUAUGAAAUGUCUACUAGAUAUUUUUUGUCAAACAAAAACGGAACAAGAUAAAUAAAUAAAUAAAAGCCACAUAAACAAAGAUAAUAAAAAUGCAUUUACACUAUUUAGUAUUAGGAACGUAGCAAGAAUUUAAUGCAAUUUCUAAAUAUUUUAGACUUAUUUUGCAUCUUGACGCCAGUUUUUAAACAAAAUUUGCAAAUUUCAACUAUUCCUUUUGGGAAAAAAAAUCAACCAAAAUGCCGCUUUUUCCCUUUUUCCUUGGUCCCUUUUUUUUAUGUAUAUUUAAUUUUGGAAACAAAAUUAAAGUGGAUCUUUAUUAAGUACUUGCAGACUCGAGGAAAUUUCUUUACAAUCAAGGAUCAGUUGUAAAUAAUCAUGAAUUUGUGGUUAAUUAAUGGCAUAAUCAGUUCGAACUAAACAAGAGAUAUUAAUUAAAUUUGAAGACUUUUCUUUUCUUUUUUUUUUCUUUUUCCAAUCAAAAUGUGAAGAAUUAAGGAAAAGAGAAAUAUAUAGAUGAAUUUGUGAACCUAUAAGAUGAGUGACUAUCCUUUAAUUUUUGAUAAUUGUACUUAUUAAGAUAUGAGCAGAAACAAUUAAAUUGAAUUAUAUUAUGCUGUUGAAUCGUGAUUAAAAAAAUUAUAUUGUUGAUUCUAAUGCUGGCAAACCUAAAAACUGGACUUAAAAUGUAGAUUUGAGAGUGGUGGUUCGAAGUACAAUACUUGAAAUAAAUAAUCAGUGGCUGAAUAUCAUUUGUAACCCAAAAAUGGUUAAAAUAUUGUUGGAUGUAAUUUGAAAAAAAAAAAAAAAGAUUCGAAAUGAAUACAACAACCUUACCAAUGGAGGAAAAAUAUUCAUUAGGUUAUCACACCUAGAUAUCUCCAAAUUCUUCAAUUUCCUGAAAGACUCCAAAGCAAGCUGGUGGUGCCAUAUUGUUCUCAGGUUAGCCAUCCACGCAAUAUCUAAUACCUCCAACCUAGGAAGUAGUACCUGGCAGUUAAAGAUUAAAUAACUAAUUAAUCGGCAUAAUCUAUUGAUAACCAAAUUAGAGGCGGAUAUUAACUAAAUUUGAAGACUCAAGGAAAAGACAAAUUAAAUAUUGUGGCUAAAAUUAAUUAAAAAAAAAACCUUUUCGUCAAAGAGAGGUGGAGAUUGCAUUUCAGAAUGAAGGGUGUCUGCUGGUGAGCUCGUAGAGAUGAAUCUUAACAUAUUAUUGCAACCAUGGAUCUCCAGGUUUAGCAAAGAAGGGAAUUCAACAACUAAAUCUGAAUGAAUCUGUCCCGUAUUGGCAAAACUUGUUAGUUCUGGAAGCCAUUCUAGCUUGAGGGAGUGUAGUUUAGGAAAAACCUUUAAUUCAAUCAACUUUCCUUCAUCUCUUUCUGACCACCCCGUGGUGUCGACUACCCCUUCCAUUGACUCACAAUAGCUUAUCUCAAGAUGUUGGAGUUUCGCAAGACUAUUAACCAUAGAAUAUGAAAACAGAUACUUCAGACAAUCACAACUCCACACGAUGACCUUUGUUAAGUUUUGACAACAGUACAUUCCUUGAUUAUGAUCGGCCCAUAAUUUUUUCAUGUUUCUUAAGUUCCUGAUAUUCAAUUCCUCUAAGCUCGGAAGAAUAAUAACCUGCAAAGAAAACCCGUACAUUUUUGUUCCUUCAAGUACAACCGUCUAGUAUAAUAUUUUUUGAUGAUCGAAGAUUAAUCGUGAAUCCGUGAUAAUAAAUUAAUCAAUUAAUUAUUGAACAGAAAAUUAUCACCUUUGGAGCAGGGUCAUCAUCAGCAAUGAUUUCGUUAAAUCCCAAAGAAGAAGUUGGUUUCUCCCUGUCGGGUCCUAUAAACAAACAAAAACAAUAUACAUAAUUAAUCUUUGUUCUUUUUUUUUUUUUGGUCCAAAAUAAUUGAAGAGAAGUCCAUAAUCCCACCAAUACUUAACUUCAACACUUACCAAAAAUCAUUUCCAGAUCAUGGCAAAACUCCACUUCUACCUUUUGAAGCCGCAGUAGGUUUUUGGCUAUGGAGAAUGAGAAAAGAUGCUUCAAUUUGUAACAGGAAUAUACUUCUAUAAUCCUUAAGUUGCUGAAAGAUUGAUCUUCUGUGAGUUGGCUGUCACAUAUUGUCUCCAAAUUGAUCAAACGACGAAGAGACAAUGACUCCAGCAAGGGGAAGACUUUGCGACGAACCCGUCCAACUGAACGGACAAUAUGCAAAAUCUCAGAACAACUUUUUACAGAAAGAUGCUUCAAUCGUGGAAAACCUUCCCCAUCAUCUAAUUCACCCUUCAGUUCUUCUAGAUAGAGAUAUUCAGUUCUCUUCAACAACAGUUUCAUCCUGUAAUUCUGCAAAAGAAUGCCAAACUUUUCUAGCCCCUGGAGCUUCAUCAAUCUUGAUAAUCCAGAUUUAACGGACCGGCUGCUCCACCACGUAUUUCCUAUACAUAUCCUAUAGCUUUGCAAUUCCACAGAGACCAAAUCCUGCGGUAGAAUUUCGGCAUCCCGAACGUGUAUCUCCAAAGUAGUUAGCUUUGACAACCCCUUCAACUCAACAAGACUGGCGUUACUUCCUCCUUCAACCUUCUCCCACUGUGAAAAGCUGUUACUCAUAUAUAGUUCUUCUAAUCGAGAUAAUUUUGAUAUGACAUUUGGAGCUAUCACCACAAGGCUGCUACAAUUGCUCAAAUCUAGCAACUGUAAUCUCGUCAAUUGUCCAAUUACAAGUGGCAACUCCUUAACAUCAGAAUCUCGAAGGCUGAGAAUCUCUAAUUUCUUUAGCUGUCCAACUAUUGCUAUAUCUUUUAGUCCGCAACCAUCUAAACAAAAUGUUUGAAGGUUAAUGAGGCGACCAAGUGAUGAAGGUAAUGAAGAGAAAGGAAUUCUAGUAAGACUUAACACUUUGAGUUCUUCUGUCCCUUCAAAAAAGAGGUCUGAAAUUUGCAUAGGGCCAUAACCCUUUCCAAACAACAAAAAUAACUGGAGAUUGGGACAUUGCAACCUUUCAGGGAGCUCUUGGAUAUCUCUAUGAGGCAAUGAAAUAGCAAUUGGUCCUUUCUGUUUCGUCUCUUCCAUCUUUUUCUCAACGUCAGCAACAUUUGGAAUAUUAAACAUGCGCUUCUCUGCGGCAAUUGAUACGGCAACAACAUGAAUGACGUCAUGCAUUUUAACUUCAUCUUCAGCAUCACCGUCCAACAAUAAGCAUGAAGAUUUGAGAUUGUCGAUCAACCGAUGCACUCUACUCCUUGCUUCUUCCAAUGUGUAAACAUUUUCAAACAAACCCCAACCCACGCCAUAUCUCAAUAAGUCAGAAACUUCUAUGGCAUCACCUUCACUGUACAGACCACAAAGACGGAACAAAGAUUUUGCCUCCGCACUUUCCAAGAAGUCAUAACUCAAUAUUAUGGAGGUGUACACAUUUGCUUGCAUGCCAUGAAUUUCUCUUGCAUCCGAUCUUCUUAGCUGAUUCAAUGCAUCUUUCCAAAAGUCAAGCUCCUUAGUUUUCAGAGCAUUUGCAACUGUACUCAGUGCAACAGGCAAACCUCCGCAUCUUUCAACGAUCUCAUUUGCCAUACUUUGAAAAGCAGAUAUUUUAGUUGAAUCACCCACUAUCUUCUCAAAUAACUGCAAUGCUUCUUCUUUCGAUAAAGCAUCGAUCCAGAAAAUUUUCUGACAAUUCAUAUCAUUGCACAAUAAAUCUCGACUUCUAGACGUCAAUAUUAUUGUGCAUCUUCUCUGAUCAUCCUCUCUAUCUUUCUCAUCAACAUCUCCAGAAGGAAUUCCAACCGCAUCUAACUCAAGUUUUGUCCAAAUAUUAUCCAAUAUAAUGAGGACCCGCUUCUCUUUCUUCAAUACUCGACGUAGUCGAUUUGCUCUGUCGAAUAUAUUCUCAUUCAACUCAAACUUUAUGCCUAAAUCUGAAGCGAGUUUGUUUUGAAUUUGCUGAUUAUCUGAUUCAUGUGUUAGCUCAGCCAUAACGACCUUAUCGAACAACUUAUCUUCCAUCACUUGCUUUCUAACUUGCCUGACUAGCGUGGUUUUACCCACGCCGCCCAUGCCGUAGACCCCAAUUAUGUUGAGCUUAUCAUCCUUCAACGCCUCCAUAACAUCCUGAAAUACUUUCAUUCUUGAAUCAAAGGCCUCGUUAUCUUUCCCGUCAUUAAGUCCUGUGCUCUUUGGAGUAGGACGGUAGGAAACAUUAGAGAAGUUGCCUUUUCCCACGAGACCAGCGGCAGCUUCUGCGGCCUUUGCUGCUUGUUUACUAAGCUUGUAACGGGACAUCAAAUUUGGGCACAAUCCUUUGAAGCAGAACUUCUUAGCUCUUUCUUCAUCAUCAAUGAUGGAUUUUGCAACCCCUUCACUUAUGAAUUCAUCAACGCUAUGUAGCCAGUCUGUGACACCCUCAUAAAGCUCAUCCCCUUGUAGCCUAGCAUGAUUAACUGGUUGCUGCACCGUUUCUCUUUUAUAUCCCAGCUGCUUUACUUGAUCUUUUAGAUCAUCUAUGUAGCUCUGGUACUUGAACACAUAAGAUAUCUGCCGUAUAAUCGGUUUGAACAAUGACUUUGCACCUUCUGAUACGAUGCUGGAGAAAGCUGCAAGACCCACCUCUGCCAUUGCCUGCUGCUUAACAAAUCUAAUAAAAUGUCAAAGAAAGGAAUUCAAAUAAAUUAAAAUGAACUAGAGGGAAAGACAAAAAAGGAAAAGGCAGUAAACAGUGUCGCAACAUUGAUCUUGAAUCAACUGAAACAUGAACAGAGCAUUUUUUCUUCUUUGUUAAGGAUCAGAGUUUUUGCUAUUAACAAAACCUACUUCAAGCGUCUUAAAAAAAAAAACUGUAAAUUUACCAUAAAUGAACAAUAACUACAAAACUCAAGCAAAACAAGCCACAGAAUUUUUAUCUUGGAAAGUGGAUGGAAUUAAGAAAGAAAUGCUAUAAAGAUCAAGCAUCAGAGAUUAUGCUAUUAAAAGAAAUUAAUUGAAGGUUUUAGAUCAAGUGCGCCUAUUUAAUUAUGUGGGGUCAGAAAGUUGAUGAGCCUCUGUGAUCGCCUUGAAUAUUUAAGAGCAAUUUCAAUGAGCAAAAAAUUUCUGUUACCUGCAGAGGAAUGUGAUUAUAGAGAGCUUAUAGGGUAAUGACAAUGAUUUGGAAAAGAAGAAGACUUAAUCAUGCAGCCCUUAAUAUUUAUUGAAUGACUUGUGAUCAUUUCUUUUAUGAAUAAAAUGCCAAUAGCAAAAAGAGAAAAAAGGGCGAAAUUUACUAAGUCUUAUUUUAUUUUUAAUUUCUUUUAUUUCCAUUCGCCGAAGAGGGAAUCUCUCCCUCUUUUUGUUUUUUUUUAAGGGGAAUCUCCUUACCUAAUAUGACAUAAUGAAAGCAAUCUGUAAAUAGUCAUAUAAUGUAAUAAUUAAAAAUACCCACAUAUUUAUAAUAUUAAUGAUGGGAUCCAUGUGUUUAUACUAAUUAAAUUGGUGGACCAGAAUUUAUUUGACCGUACUUGUUUUCUAUUUAAUUAAGAUUGAAACGAUAGAGAAAAAUUGUCGUAUUGAUUGUUUCGAUUGUGGAGUUCCAACACUGAAAGUGAAGAUUUCAUCAACUUUCUCACAUGGACACGUACCGUCAUGCAUAUUGCAUUAUUUUCCUAGAAAAGCAAGAUUAAUUCUUUUAAUAAUUGUGAAUUCAGGAAAACAGGUGGAUAAUAACUAAAAUAUUUAUUUUUAUAUUUUUGAUAAACGCACUCACUAUUAAUAGAAUUCAUUAGAUAUCAUAACUUAAAUAACUUUUUGUGAUUGAUUGAGGGUAUCUUUUACUUCCCAAUAAUUAACUUCUAUGUUGAUUCUCAGAAAAUUAAUUUUACGAAUAAUUUAGUAGGGUGUUUGGUAAAUGAUGAUUAUUUGACAAUCAAUUUUCAAAUAAUCUACUAUACAAAUUUGAUAAGUGAAAAUUAAAAGUGUAAUAUUCAUGUGCAAUGAUAAAAAUGUACUUGUUUGCUUAUUUGUAGCUUAUUUAGAAUAUUAUUAUUAACAUCAUUUUUUUAUUUACUGGAUUUUUAAAGAGUAUAUUCUAUUUUCUUUAUUACAUAUCUAUAUCAUUUUUUUAUUAACUAUUUUAAUUUGCAAUAAAACUAACUUUAAUAUUUUUUUAACUAAAAAAAUUCAUGCUAACAUAUUAUCAAAUUGAUUAAUAAAUAAGUGCAAAAAGAAAAUGCAAAAAUUUAAUCUUUAUAUAAACUUUUAUGUACAUAAAACUAUUGCAAUCAAAGUAGUUCAUAAAAAUAAAAUAUUCUAUACAUGUGUGUAAAAAAAAAAUAUAACUACAAUAUUGUCCACUCAUUAAAUUUGCAGCACUAUUAUUUCUCAGUCUCCCCAUCUCUCGACCUUUACCUUUAGGAACAUUAACACCAUGAUCUUCUUCUUGAAUUCGACCUCCAUUUCCACAGUAUCAACAAGGCGAUCAAUUUGCUGUGACAGCCUUUCAACUCCUCCCACUUUCCUCCCUUUUGAGGCCGCCCUUUUUCUUUUUCUUUCUUUGAUAGCUUCAAUGGGAACAAACUCAUCUAACGACAAGUACAUUCUUCAACCACAGUAGAAUUGGUUGUUGAUAUUUUACUACUCUCAUAUGGUAUGUAAACAUGGUCACCAGUGAUUGUUAUAUUAAAAAAAAAUUCUAUUCAAUUUUUCCUCUGACUUUGUGUCGAUACCUUUCAUGCAAAAUCUAUUUGCUUCAGAAAUUUCUUCCGUAUGUUGAUAUCAUAUUAAAGUGAAUUCAAGAUCCUAUAUUAUUUUGCAUGACAUCAAAAUUUAGCCGAAUGGUAAAGAAUUUCCCUUUUUGUUUGUCCCACAACUAUAUAGUCUCAUUUUUGGCAAUAAGCUCACAAUAUGCACGGAAAUGAAGAUUUAUUAAAAACUUCCCUAUAAUAUUAAACACUAAACAAUAUCACUAUAACCAAAGUUGGCUGGUGUGAGUGGUUCGGCACUCUCACUCCUUAAGAGAGGUCAGGGGUUCAAGCCCCGCUCUCGUAUGGAGUCACCACUUUGGCCAGCACUUUACCCCUUAUGGGCCGACCCGGUGCGAGCGGGGAUUAGUCUGGGUUGUGGUACGGGCUUAAAGGUGCCUCCCACAGUUGGGGCCCACUCAGGACCACCUCGUGGUUCAGACCAAAAAAAAAAAAAUAAACAAUAUCACUAUGUUGUGCAUAUGGUGCCUCGUCAACAAUUUGAUGUUCAUUUUGUUGCUCGGGUGAAUAUGACUACUUGGGUUGCGAGUCCAUGCUUUUGUCGUUUGGAUGGAGGACGGGCCAUCUUUUUAUUUUAGAUGGUUUGUAGGACUUUUGAUAAUUAUUUUUCUAAAACUGAUUUCUGGUUAAUAAGACCUAUGAAAGCAUUCGAAGAAGCCACCGAACUCAGAGGAAAGCCAUGGUUAAAUAUACUGCGAAGUAUGUGAGCUCGUUUUUUAAUCUCUUGAUCACUCAUAAGCUUUUCUAUACCACUCACUAUAUCAUCCUUUUGAAUCAAUUUUGAUUGAUCAUCAGAGAUCAUGUACCCACCUUGAGAUGAUUGAUCACAAAUUUGGCAUUGUAAUGUUGGUCACCUCUAAUUGGCCAUGCUAAAAUUGGGACUUGACAACCAAUUGUUUCACUGUUGAAUUCCAUCCACAGUGAGAUAAAAAUUCACCCGUUGAUUCAUGUCCCGCUCUCUUAUGAAGUCACCACUUUGGCCAGUACUUUACCCUUUAUGGGCCAACCCGGUGCGAGCGGGGAUUAGUCUGAGUUGUGGUACGGGCUUAAAGGUGUCUUCCACAGUUGGAGCCCACUCAGGACCACCUCGUGGUUCAAACAAAAAAAAAAAAAUCCACCCGUUGAUUGAUGACUCAAUAUCAAUAAUUGUGGGGCUCAUCCAUCUAUUAUCAAACCCGUUUCACCGACUUUAUUAUCCAAACCACUACGAAAAUAACUGCCUUCUACUGGUUUGUUCAAAUGACGUAGAGGAUCCAAUCUACCUGCACCACCUUGAAUUACCCAAAUAAACGGUCGAUUUGAUGCUUCUAAAGCAUUGGCUAGUACUAGGUACUCAUCUAAGGUCGGAUCCACUUCAGUACCAAAUGACACAUAUAACACAGAUCCGCGUGAUUUCAAAUUCAAUCAUUGAACGAUCUCAUCUUCCGUCAUGUUAGAACUCCGCCGGUUGGUUCUCAUCUCAUGAUCAUGAAGCACUUAACCGGCCAAUUUGUAAAAUUGUUCAGGUAACAGUGGGCCCACUCCCCACAUCGGCUUUCUCAAUUCAUUGGCUAAAUAAUUAUAAAUGGUCCCUCAAGACCAUCACACGUGUUGAACAUCAACGCCAUUGAUCCCUCCGCUUCCUUCAUCCAGUGUGGUUGAUCACCGGCCUCUGGUGGACCUAUUUUCUCGGAACCAGGUGCACCUCUCAGAGGUGGUGGACCACCAGGAGGGUGCCCAUGAGGCCUUGUUUAAGAUUCGAUUCAAAUAAAGCCAUAUCCUCGGGUAACCCAGGAAGUAAAUGGGCCUCUCCCGGUUUGACAUCUUGGAUGCGAGCCUACCACAUGGCACACUCCACAGCUGCCGAGCAAGCACCAGAAGUGAAGAACCCAACAAUGGGAACUUCAAAAAUCUUGAAAACAUCAGCCGUCCAGCCCAUCAUAACGUCGAUGACUGCACAAACGGGUCGGCUUUUGGGUUCCCGGGUUGAAAGGAGGUUUCGAAGGCCUUGAAGCAUUUGGUUGUGCAUGACAACAUGGGGGUGAGGAGACGAAGGAGGGUAUUUUAGUAAUUUCAAAUAGAGGGUAUUGGUGAAGAGGGGAAGGGGUGAUGCUGUGUUGAAUCAAAAUAGAGUAAAAACUCUAAUUGAUCAAGAAGAAGAAAAACACUCUUUAGAAUAAUCUCACAAAAUUGCAAAAGAGAAGAACUCUUAAGAAAACUUUCAAAUGCUUAUAAUAAAGCUUUGAUUGUUAAAUUAUAAAACUCAAAUACAAAUAAGGUAUUUAUAGGUUACAAGAAACAAUCUAAACCACUCAUUAAAAUAACCACAAACUAAUUUAAACCAUUGAAAUUAAACAUGAGAAAAAUACCUAAUUUUCACCUAACUAAAUUGAUGUAAGCAAUGACAUCAAAUUAAUUUGGGUGUGGACUUAUUUGGGCUAAUAUUGACUUCUCAACAUGCUGGUGGCGGAAAUGUGAGAGGGAAUGGUGAGGGUAGAUUUGUAAUUACGAGAAGCGAUUUGCUUGCAUAAUUUAAUGCAUGGAAAUAGAUGUCCCUGACCAAAGAAUGGGACAAUCCAAAUCUCGGCCUCAGCAGCGCUGCAGCAGUAGCAACAGAGCUUGACAUCUUUUUGAAUUAUUUGAUACUUAAUUGUUACUGUUUGCUUUUACCAUCUUUCAUAAAACACUCUUUGUUAUAUAUAAAGGGAUGACUUAAUGGAGAAGUAAGUGUUUUAGUUUUACAGUUUUACUAGUAGGUGAGCUCGGAGUUUGAUAAUUUGAUUGUUAGUUUUAGUUGGUUAGUUAUGAGAAAGCAUCUUUAAGAAAAUUCAUUCCAGUUUCAACUAAAAUUAAUAAUAUUGUUCAAAUUAAUUACUCGAUAAAUAAAUAAUUAGAGAUAAAUUUAUCCCUAAUCUCACAUUUAUAAAAUAAGGAUUGAAAUAAGUUUUUGUGGGUUCGAACUCAAGCCCUCAAGUCGAGCGGCUGGAUCUUGACUACUUUGACUUAAUUAUUAUUAUUAUUAUAUAUAUAUAUAUAUAUUUUUUUUUUCAUUCUGUCACGGAACAUCUUUUGUUAUAUAAUGAAGAAGAUAAGUUGACGAAGAAGAGUUCUACUUUUACUAGUAGAUGAGCUUUGAGUUGACAACGUUAGUUUUAGUUAGUGAAAUAUCUACCAUCCAAAUCAACGUUCUUUAGACUAUUAUUCAAGUGAGAUGUCUGAGUAACAUACGCUUGAGUUGGUCGGUGCCUGGCAAUUCGUGUGAUACAUGAAACCAACCGAUAUGAAAACCAAAUCAAGUUGGUAGGAUUACAUUAAUUUAAAUUAACUUUCAAGUUCCAACAUUAUAAGAUAAAUAAAUAGCAUAAACUAAUUUUUGUUUUCAAGUAAAUAUGUUUAUCGUUUAAAAAUUAUUUUUUCUUGCGGUAAAUGCAACACUAAAUAAGGAGUGAAGAGGGUAUUUUGUAGGGUAUACCCCCACCUUUUAUUUCAUUUCAUUAUUAAAAAAUAAAGGCUUGAUUCAACAUUCAAGUAAAAUUAACAAUUCCAUGAUAAAAUUGCUUGAGAAUAAGAAUUAAAAUAAAAAAAGAAAACAGCAACUCAAAAACGACAUACAAAUACCGCAUAGAGGUUUUUCGUCGCAAGAUAUUUUUGGGUUGAGCAACACUUGUAUAACAGAGCAUACAGACUGAAUGACGGUGAGAAUAAGAAGGAAAACGGCGCCACACACCGAAAUGCCAGCCCAUGGAGUAUUGAAGUAAUUUUGUUUCAAGUUUGCCCUCCAUUUGUAGCACGUUCUUUUGCAGUGAUCAUUCAAUCCUUUGCAUAGCCCAGAAAAAUAGAAGCUAUUAGACAGCAGAGUAGUACCUCUAGAAAGGAACACAUAAUCAUUUAUGUAACACAUAAUCAUUUAUGUAAUUCUCUGAGUAAUGCCGUUGUUCAAAGGCAAUGAGAUUACGAAAUAAGGAUUCUGUUUCUAGCUGUAGCUUCAGUUUCGGAAUAUGCGAUGUCCUGUUUUUGAAAUUUCCACCUUUCUUGUAUAGAAGACCAUAGUCUAUUGUACUCUUCACAUAUCUGAGUAAUCGCCGGACCGCUUCUAAAUGAGACUUCUUCGGAUUUUGCAUGUAUCGACUCAUCACACCAACUGCAUAAGAAAUGUCAGGUCGAGUCAAGGUUAAGUAGAUUAGACUACCCACUAAUUGUCGAUACAUCGAUGCAUCUUCCAGGUCUUUGCCUUCAUGUGCACACAUCUUGGCAUUUGGUUCCAUCGGCGUUGAGAUCGGCUUACAUUCUAGCAUCCCAAACUUCUUCAACAAAUCUUUGGCAUAUUUCUGUUGACAAAGAAAUAUCCCUUCUUUCAUCUGAUCAACCUCUAGCUCAAGGAAAUGCUUAAGUUGUCCAAGUUCUUUCAUUUGAAAACGAACUGACAAGUUCUCCUUUGUUCGGAAAAUUUCUUCAACAUCAUCUCCAGUGAUGAUUAGAUCAUCUACGUACACGAGCACAAUAGCUAUCCUUUCUCCAUUAGCUUUAGCAAACAAGCUGGAGUCUGCAGAUGUUACUGAAUACCCACUUUGAGUUAGAAAUUCAGCAAUCUUGCCAUACCACGCCCUGGGUGCUUGUUUUAGUCCGUAGAGAGCCUUUCGCAGUUUACACACAUACUCAGGAUGACCUCGGUUCUGAAAACCCAUCGGUUGAAUCAUGUAGAUCUCUCUAUCCAGCUCUCCAUGGAGAAAGGCAUUCUUCACGUCCAUCUGCCACAAGUUCCAGCUUUUGUUGGCUGCAAGUGCAAGUAAGACUCGGACGGUUGUAAGUUUUGCCACUGGACUAAACGUUUCGUCAUAAUCUAGUCCAUAUUGUUGAGAGAAACCACGAGCUACCAAUCGAGCCUUGUACCUCUCGAUUGACCCAUCUGGACGGUGCUUUAUUUUGUAAACCCAUCUGCAGGAUAUGGGUUUCACAUCUUUUGGCUUUGGCACGAGUUCCCAGGUCUGAUUUUGCUCAAGUGCAGUGAUCUCGUCUUUCAUAGCUGUCAUCCACUCAGAACUCUGUGACGCUUCUUCGAACGUCUCAGGUUCUAUUCCAGUUGCUUCUUCAACUAUGGCUGCAUUAGCGUAUUUGGGAUUUGGCCUUCGGGUUCUUGUUGACCUUCAUAAUGGAGUUGAUUCUUCUAUUUCACUAGGCACACCUUCUUCAUCUGGUUGUCGAUACACCCCAGAUUGCCAAGGAUUUAGAGUUACUCUUCGUUCGCUAUCACUAUCGCAUAGAUCCCCANNNNNNNNNNNNNNNNNNNNNNNNNNNNNNNNNNNNNNNNNNNNNNNNNNNNNNNNNNNNNNNNNNNNNNNNNNNNNNNNNNNNNNNNNNNNNNNNNNNNNNNNNNNNNNNNNNNNNNNNNNNNNNNNNNNNNNNNNNNNNNNAUAAAACUCAAAUACAAAUGAGGUAUUUAUAGGUUACAAGAAACAAUCUAAACCACUCAUUAAAAUAACCACAAACUAAUUUAAACCAUUGAAAUUAAACAUGAGAAAAAUACCUAAUUUUCACCUAACUAAAUUGAUGUAAGCAAUGACAUCAAAUUAAUUUGGGUGUGGACUUAUUUGGGCUAAUAUUGACUUCUCAACACUCCCCCUCAAUGUUAGCCCAAUUCUUUGAAUCACGCCAAGCUGACGACGGAAAUGUUCAAACUUUCCAACACUCAAGCUUUUUGUAAACAAGUCCGCAGUUUGCACAUCAUCUCCAGUGAUGAUUAGAUCAUCUACGUACACGAGCACAAUAGCUAUCCUUUCUCCAUUAGCUUUAGCAAACAAGCUGGAGUCUGCAGAUGUUACUGAAUACCCACUUUGAGUUAGAAAUUCAGCAAUCUUGCCAUACCACGCCCUGGGUGCUUGUUUUAGUCCGUAGAGAGCCUUUUGCAGCUUACACACAUACUCAGGAUGACCUCGGUUCGAUGCUUCAUCAAACACCACAUCUCGUGAUGUGUAGCACCUUUCAUUUACUGGAUCACAACACUUCCACCCUUUUCGCUGGUUGUCGUAUCCUACAAAGAUACAUCUGACAGCUUUCUUAUCGAUCUUGCUACGUAGAUGGUCAGGAACAAAUACAUAGCAUACACAGCCGAAUACUCGAAGAUAGCUAACUGUAGGUUUCUUGUUCCACAAUUUCUCAAAGGGUGAAACAAACUCCAACCUUGGUUGAGGAAGCUUGUUGAUGACAUGAGCUGCAGUUCUCAUACCUUCGGCCCAAAAUCUUCCAGGUACAUUCUUCGCAUGUAGCAUACUCCGGUAAAUUUCAGCAAGAUGCCGAUUCUUCCUCUCUGCUACACCAUUUUGUUGUGGCGUAUUGGCACAAGUAUACUGAUGACGUAUUUGGCAUUCCCGUAGGUAUUGAGAAAACUCUCUCGAGCUAUACUCACCCCCGUUGUCUGUGCGCAAGCAACGAAUCUUUUGCUCCACUUCUCCUUCGACUAUCUCUUUGAACUCUUUGAACUUUGAGAAUGCUUCAGAUUUUUCUUUCAUGAAGAAAGCCCAUACAUAUCUGGAGAAAUCAUCAAUGAACGUAACCAUAUACCGCAUUCCGCCAAUUGAUGGUUGCUUAACGGGUCCAAACACAUCAGAGUGAAUUAACUCUAAUGGUUUCUUUGCUUUAAACUUCGACUCCUCGUAUGGCAAUUGAUGUGCUUUACUAUAUUGACAUCCCGCGCAAACAGUAUUUGUUCUCACGUCAAGUUGUGGAAGCUGCUGUACCGUACAUCCGCCUUGGCCGUACAGCAGUUAUUUUACAACCAAUGAGAUAAGAUCGAAAUUUUUCCAAUGCAAACACUACUGCUAGCAUUUCUUUUUNNNNNNNNNNNNNNNNNNNNNNNNNNNNNNNNNNNNNNNNNNNNNNNNNNNNNNNNNNNNNNNNNNNNNNNNNNNNNNNNNNNNNNNNNNNNNNNNNNNNNNNNNNNNNNNNNACUUCUUCACCAUCACACUUAGCUUGGAAUAACUAACAUGACCUAGCCGCAUGUGCCACAGAUCUGCCGUCUCAUUCCUUCUUGUCUUGUCUACGUAUGCAGACUCAGCUGACAUCACAUAAACUGACUCCAAUCGCCGUCCCUCCAUCGUAGGCUUUUCUGAGAUCUUUAGGUCUCGGAAUACCUUCACAUUUUGUGGACCAAACAAGACAUAGUGGCCUGAUGAUGUCAAUUGAGCUACGGAUAGCAAAUUUUUCUUCAUUCCUGGAACAUGGUAGACAUCUUGAAGUGGCACUUGGUUGGGACUAUAUCGAGGUGUAACGAUCGCUUUACCGAUGUGAGCUAUCGGUAACCUUGAGUUGUCAGCUGUUACCACCACACGAUUUCCCUUGUACUCAGAACAGUUUUGCAACUUCUGUCUAUCACCCGUCAUGUGAUUUGAGCAGCCUGAGUCUACGAUCCAAUCAUUCUCGUAGUUAAUCUUUUCUGGUGUUGUUACCGUGAGAGCUAAUUCUUCUUCCUCCAUAGCGAGUAAUGCUUCGGCAUCCCAGCUAUCUUCACUAUCUUCUUUAGAACUAGAAGUAGCAAUAUUGCUUUCGGUAGACUUCUUUUUGGACCAACAAUCUCUCUUCAUGUGGCCCUUCUUCCCGCAAUUGUAACAUUCGCCAUCAAACUUUCUAUUACUGUCACGAUUCUUCGAAGCUCCCCCUGGACGAGAGCCAUUCCCUCCCUGAUGACUUUUUGUCUGUUCACUAGUCUUUCUAGAUCCGCCUUUGUUGUGCUGUCUUAAACCACCUCUGCUUUGGUUGGUGUAAAGCGCUUCUUCUUCACCCUUUAGUGAGACUCCUCCAAUUUUCUUGGCCAUAGCUUCUUGGCCUGUCAGCAAAUUUUCAAACUCAACAAGUGAUGGUUGUGUCGGCCAUCCUUGCACAGCGGCUACAAAGCUUCGGUAUUCGGGUCUCAAGCCAUGGACAAUUAUUCUUUUUAUCCUGGCUUCCCCAAUAGCAGCUAUUGGAUCUAAUUCUGAAAUUUCACGGCAUAUCGACUUCACCUUGUGAAAGUAUUGGGCAACCGCCAUGUCGCGUUGCGCCAUUGAUAGAAGUUCAUUCUCGAGAAGUUGCAAUUUUGUAUCGUUCCUCUUCGAAAAGAGUGUAGCGAAGGUGUCCCACGCUUCCUUCGGUGAUUUAGCAUCCCGAAUGUGCUCCAACAUUUCUUCUUCUAUUGUGGUCUUUAAAGCAAACAUUGCUUUGCCUGCUUUAAUUUUCCACUUCCGCAAGACGCCGUUAGCAUCUUCCGCUGCCGGUUGUGUAACUUCACUACCACCGACAACCUCCCACAAGUCUUGACCUUGAAGGUAAGACUCUAUACACGUUGCCCACGUGUUAUAGUUUUGGUUGUUGAGCUUUUUGAUUCCUCCAACAACUUGAAGAUCACCCAUCGUAUCGCGUAUGGCAAUUGAUGUGCUUUACCAUAUUGACAUCCCGCGCAAACAAUAUUUGUUCUCACGUCAAGUUGAGGAAGUCCCUUAAGCAUCGACUUCUUCACCAUCACACUUAGCUUGGAAUAACUAACAUGACCUAGCCGCAUGUGCCACAGAUCUGCCGUCUCAUUCCUUCUUGUCUUGUCUACGUAUGCAGACUCAGCUGACAUCACAUAAACUGACUCCAAUUGUCGUCCCUCCAUCGUAGGCUUUUCUGAGAUCUUUAAGUCUCGAUUUAAUUUAGCCAGACUUGUUCAUGUCCUUAAAUGUAAUUUUAUCUAGUGAUUAAACUAUAAAUAUUAAAAGACGGGGUUUUAUAUGGAUAAUGUGGGGGGUGCCAAUAGCUCUACUCUUUAAGGGGAUGUUAGAGCUUAGAAGCUGCAGGCGAGUCAACCUCUUGUGGACCUAGGCCGAAACUCACGACAAAAACAAGGCUUUUGCAAAUAACGGCAAAAAAUUCAAGAUUUAAUUUCCCAUUAUGUUUGGUUCCCUACGAGCAUUAAUACCAAUAAGCUUCCAUUUUCCUAAAACUAUAGUUCCAAUUAAUGUCUGAUUUGGAUUCUCAAAGCUAAAAGAGAGAUAAAUUAGCAUUUUAAGAAAGAGAUUUUUCUCCUUUUAAGUGAGACUUAUUAAUGACAACCUAUAUUCUUUCUUUUUUCCACUUUUCCGUAAUGGAGAAAAUUUCCUAAAUUUUACUUGCUUGCAAAGGGCAGAUUUCUUCUUCCAAAAUUAAGCAACGCAACCACUAUAUAUAAACAAUAAUCCCUAGACUCACCAUUACUGUAAUUCUUCAAAGCUUAACAAAUUAUUAGUGACUAAGAUAUGGGAGCCAAGAGCAGCAAAUCUCGCCAUCGCCGGCCUGGUAUAUAUGAUUUAUUUUAUGCCCGUAGCUUUUUCUGCUAUUUUUAUCAACCUAUGUUUGGUUCUAAAUUUUUUCAAGAUUUCAAUUGAGUUUAAUUCUAAUUUUAAAAUCUUUAAUAUGUUUCUAGUGAUACGUAGAAUGAUUUUGUUUAAAGUAAAUAGUUAAUUAGAUUACACUCUGAUUUUCUUAACUCUUACUAGAAAUAAUUUUGUUUCUGUAACUAGCAUCAUAACAGAUAUUACUUUUUUUAACUCGAUACUGUGGUACUUCAAGUUAGGAACUUCUCUCGAAAAGAUGUUCUAGCAACAAGAUCAUUGUGAAAUCAAUUCUGUGGCAUGAACCUACAGCACCAAUUUAAUUAAUAGAAGCUCUGCGACAUUAGCAUCCAUCCGGGUCCCUAUUCCACCCCAUACUAGCCCAAGUCUUCCAUUGUUGAACUCUUCAUGCACAACGUUGAACCCCCAAUUCUUUUGUAAAAUCUGACAAGCUUGGUAUGGUAAAGAUCGGAGUCAUCGAUGGUCAGCAACUCAGCAGUUUUACACCCACAAUCAUAUCUAUAUCUAACAGCAGCAGCUCCAAUGAACAAGCCGAUCCCAAAUAUUGAUCUUUCCAUGCCCAAAGUCUCCCUCUUCAAUCUAAUAGAGUUUAAGAGAAGAACUCUUCCUUUUAACCAAACACUUAUCAGCCCCUCAGCCCUCCCUAGCUCAUUCUCUGUUUCCAAGCUUUCUGCUAUGACUCUGAAAAAGGGUCCAAGAGUUUGAAGCUGGAUCUCAAGCUUCUUUAUGUUGAAUCAAAAUAGAGUAAAAAACUCUAAUUGAUCAAGAAGAAGAAAAACUCUCUUUAGAAUAAUCUCACAAAAUUGCAAAAGAGAAGAACUCUUAAGAAAACUUUCAAAUGCUUAUAAUAAAGCUUUGAUUGUUAAAUUAUAAAACUCAAAUACAAAUAAGGUAUUUAUAGGUUACAAGAAACAAUCUAAACCACUCAUUAAAAUAACCACAAACUAAUUUAAACCAUUGAAAUUAAACAUGAGAAAAAUACCUAAUUUUCACCUAACUAAAUUGAUGUAAGCAAUGACAUCAAAUUAAUUUGGGUGUGGACUUAUUUGGGCUAAUAUUGACUUCUCAACAUGCUGGUGGCGGAAAUGUGAGAGGGAAUGGUGAGGGUAGAUUUGUAAUUACGAGAAGCGAUUUGCUUGCAUAAUUUAAUGCAUGGAAAUAGAUGUCCCUGACCAAAGAAUGGGACAAUCCAAAUCUCGGCCUCAGCAGCGCUCACUCAACUUCUAAAGAAGCUUUAUGCUAGGAGUGGUGCUACCUCUGAUGACGACUGCUGUACGGCCAAGGCGGAUGUACGGUACAGCAGAAAUUCAUUCCAGUUUCAACUAAAAUUAAUAAUAUUGUUCAAAUUAAUUACUCGAUAAAUAAAUAAUUAGAGAUAAAUUUAUCCCUAAUCUCACAUUUAUAAAAUAAGGAUUGAAAUAAGUUUUUGUGGGUUCGAACUCAAGCCCUCAAGUCGAGCGGCUGGAUCUUGACUACUUUGACUUAAUUAUUAUUAUUAUUAUAUAUAUAUAUAUAUAUUUUUUUUUUCAUUCUGUCACGGAACAUCUUUUGUUAUAUAAUGAAGAAGAUAAGUUGACGAAGAAGAGUUCUACUUUUACUAGUAGAUGAGCUUUGAGUUGACAACGUUAGUUUUAGUUAGUGAAAUAUCUACCAUCCAAAUCAACGUUCUUUAGACUAUUAUUCAAGUGAGAUGUCUGAGUAACAUACGCUUGAGUUGGUCGGUGCCUGGCAAUUCGUGUGAUACAUGAAACCAACCGAUAUGAAAACCAAAUCAAGUUGGUAGGAUUACAUUAAUUUAAAUUAACUUUCAAGUUCUAAUAUUAUAAGAUAAAUAAAUAGCAUAAAAUAAUUUUUAUUUUCAAGUAAAUAUGUUUAUCGUUUAAAAAUUAUUUUUUCUUGCGGUAAAUGCAACACUAAAUAAGGAGUGAAUAGGGUAUUUUGUAGGGUAUACCCCCACCUUUUAUUUCAUUUCAUUAUUAAAAAAUAAAGGCUUGAUUCAACAUUCAAGUAAAAUUAACAAUUCCAUGAUAAAAUUGCUUGAGAAUAAGAAUUAAAAUAAAAAAAGAAAACAGCAACUCAAAAACGACAUACAAAUACCGCAUAGAGGUUUUUCGUCGCAAGAUAUUUUUGGGUUGAGCAACACUUGUAUAACAGAGCAUACAGACUGAAUGACGGUGAGAAUAAGAAGGAAAACGGCGCCACACACCGAAAUGCCAGCCCAUGGAGUAUUGAAGUAAUUUUGUUUCAAGUUUGCCCUCCAUUUGUAGCACGUUCUUUUGCAGUGAUCAUUCAAUCCUUUGCAUAGCCCAGAAAAAUAGAAGCUAUUAGACAGCAGAGUAGUACCUCUAGAAAGGAACACAUAAUCAUUUAUGUAACACAUAAUCAUUUAUGUAAUUCUCUGAGUAAUGCCGUUGUUCAAAGGCAAUGAGAUUACGAAAUAAGGAUUCUGUUUCUAGCUGUAGCUUCAGUUUCGGAAUAUGCGAUGUCCUGUUUUUGAAUUCUAUGGCGAACAAAUCAUUGCUCUUGCUCAAACUGAAGUGGACUCCAGCUUGGUGGAGAUUAGUCACACUUGGUGCGGUUUUACCUUUGUGGUAUUGCUGACCUUCUUGUUUUUCCUGAUUCCUCGAUGAUGGGAGAUGGCAAAUCCUUAGAAAAUCAAGGAAAUGCUCUACCCUAGCCUUAGUGUAAGGAGGGAAUUUUUGCUGAUUACCUUGUACUGCCUCUAAACCCUUGAAAUACUCGUAUGUGACUGUGAUGAUGGUUGGAUUUUCAUGUUGGUCGGGGAUUUCAAUUGCCGCUAGAGCAAAAAGAUCCUCAAGAAUGAAGAAAGGAAGCUGAUUCUCAAGCAACCACAUAUCAUACCGUAUAUCCUCUAUUAAAUAGGGUUUAUGAAAUAUAUGAUCAUCUUUUUUUUGAAGUUGACGGAAAUGAUACCUCAAUAAGAGUUCAAUGAUGAAGGCAGCAUCCAGCAGAAUCAUUUCAACAAAUUUAUCACUACUUAGUUCGACUUUUUCUGCAUAAGAACCUCGUAAUUCUGCUUCUCUGAGCUUUAUAAUUUGAACAAACUCGUCAAAGCUUAUUUUGGUCCGUUGAAGAAAGUAACGCAGGUACCGCUGUUUAUGUUCUUCCAUGAACUGUAAGUUUGCUUUGCCAUGGUGAAGAGGGCCAAUUGAGACUACCUGAGCUGUAUAUGCCUUUUCAUUUAUCUGACGUAAUCGCUCCGGAACUCUGUAGAUGCAGCAGUUUGAGGGCAAUGGUGAUAAUUUUUCCAACUUAACUUGCAAGCACUCUUCCAUGUUAUAAACUGAAAACAUGGCGCGAAAUUUGAUCAAUUCACUAGUUUAUAUAAUAUUCUUGAACCUCAUCUUAAGCAAAGCAACAAAAGCCUUCACUGUUUCUUAACAACUUUAUUGCUCUAACACAUAGCAUAACAUUUUUAAAUUUGCAUAAAGCACAAUAGUACUUUAGUUUGUAACAACAGCACAGAUAAUAAAUAGCAUUUUAUAGCUUUAACAAAAGCAUACAAAAUUCUUAAACCUUGUUUCAAGCAAUUCAUUAAUGCCACAAGGAUGUCUUUUUGCUUCCUACAGUUUUUAUUGAAAUUCAUAUAUUCUUCUUUAUCAAAUUAAGUAAUUUUCCUUUUUCAAAAAAUCAAGAAGGUUUCGACUGCAUGGAAAUACAGCACACAAUUACUACUAUUCCCGGAGUAAGAAAUUCAUAAAUGCAAUAUAAACAUACAUUUUCAUAAGACAUCAGAAUCAAAGAAUCAUCAAUGCAUCAAAUCUGUACACCCAAAAAAGUUGAAAGCAUUGUGUUUCUACGAAACAAGAAGAAAAUUCAAGUCAAAAAAAUUGAUGAGUUCAAGGUAUAGUUAGCUGCUGUACGGCCAAGGCGGAUGUACGGUACAGCAGCGUUGUUCUGCUUUUGGUGAGAACGACCAGAGAUAAUUUAAUAUGAUAAUUGUUGACUAUCUUUAUUCGCAGCGGGAAACUUAUUUAUAGUAGCUAACAUCACAAGUCUUUGGUUCUUAGCCAACAAUAUCAGCUAGAAUAUAGUAAAAUAAAACAAGAAAAAUAUUUAAAGAUAAACCUAGUGAAUCCAAAUCAAACAUGACAACCACAAUUUGAUUCUCUUCCAAACCGGCAACGAAUAGUUUGACGUGGUGAUUCUCCCGCUAUUGCUUCGACAUUCAAACAAACUCAUCCCGCACGUGAAACAUGGUCUGCAUGAAGUUGCAUGAGCACCUCUUUGGCUCCUUAUCAUAAUAACUCUAUUCUUAAAAGUAAUUUACUUUCAAAAUCAUCCACAACUGUAGCUAAGAUCCUAUGGAUAUGAAGGAUCGACUCCAAUGGCCCUUGAUCAUUGUCCUUUACAAAGGACAGAUCCAAGUUAGUCUUGUUAAAGUCCUCUGAGCUUACCCCUGAGAGCUCUACGCCUAUAGUAUUCUUGGGAAUUUGCUGAAUCCUCUUCACGGGUCACGUUAUUCAGCUAAGUGAUGUGCCAUCUCACGGCUUGCCAGAUGGGGUGAGUGCUUGGCACAAGACUACGUACUCACUGAGGCAAUAGAUCGAACACCUGAUUCAUUUUCGCGAACACCAGCCUCAAUCUAACAUUUACGCAUAGAAUUGGAUGUGCAACUAGAUGAAGCUCCAUACGUCAAAUCUUAUAAAUUGAAUGUUGUUGUAAAGAAAUAGCAGUGCUUAACUUUGUUCAAAGUCAUUAUUGUCUUGAAGAACAAGAAAAUUCAGGUUAGCUAGAAACGACUGGUGACCGAUUAAAGGUUACAUACAAAUCAUUCAUCAAGAUACAGGAAAGCUCAAUUAAUCUGAAAAUUAUUCAUUAACCUAAUGCAUUCAACAAUAAACUUAUGCCACCUCUCAGUUGUUGCAAUAGGGAAAUUGAAUAAAAUAAAGAAGUAUUUGUGGAAUUCUUGGUUGAUUGAUCCGCCUAAAGAGCUUACAUACAUCACUGAAUGACUAAAUGUUGCAGUGUCAAAACCAUAAUUCAAUACAUGCUAUCAGCCACUUUUAGGCCUAACCUCAAUUCCUUGUAUAAUGAGCCCACGCUUGGUGAUGAAGCUAUCAAAUUCAAAUAGACUACACACCAACUUGCCAUCAUCUCCAUUUUCAUUGAAGAACUCGCCCAUCUCAAUUUCCAUCCACCCAUCUCCCCUGUCUUGAGAUAAUCGAGCCAUAUUUCUUGAAGGAUCUAGCAACAGUCUUCGCCUAAGCCCGUUAUCGCAUCCUUCAAUGUAGACCCCAGACUCUACUGGUCUUCUCUCAAAUCCAUACUUUGACUCUGCGAACUUAAAAACAAGGUAAGAUGCAUAGUUGGUUCUGAGUGACAAAACUUUGGUCUCUAUCAUUGCUUUGACAUCAAACCACCACACAUACUUAAGUUCAGCCACCUCAGGAAACCUGCCAAUGCAUUGACAAAAGAGCAAAUUAUAUGAUGACAAAAUCGAUUAUACCACUAAAGAUUAAAAAUGCAAACGUGCAAUGCCAACAUAUAUGAACAAACCUAGACUCCGGUAGAGAAGUCAAUAUCCAAUGGUUAGGUUCAUCUCCCCAUGCUAUGGAAAGCCCUUUUGUCCCAACCAUGUAACAUUUUUUCCCACUCUCUGGCUGCAGCGCAAAGCUCUGUCAAAGUACUCAUGAUGUUAGCUUUUCUAUAAAAUCAGUUUUGUUGUAUUUCAAUGCUUACUAAGAUUUCAACUGGGUGUUAAUUGCAGACAUAUACGUCCAGACUUUUAAAGAGAAUAUAUAAAAGCUUAGAACUCAAAACAUCAAAGAUAAUUUAAAAUUGUGUUUCUACGAAACAAGAAGAAAAUUCAAGUCAAAAAAAUUGAUGAGUUCAAGGUAUAGUUAGCUGCUGUACGGCCAAGGCGGAUGUACGGUACAGCAGCGUUGUUCUGCUUUUGGUGAGAACGACCAGAGAUAAUUUAAUAUGAUAAUUGUUGACUAUCUUUAUUCGCAGCGGGAAACUUAUUUAUAGUAGCUAACAUCACAAGUCUUUGGUUCUUAGCCAACAAUAUCAGCUAGAAUAUAGUAAAAUAAAACAAGAAAAAUAUUUAAAGAUAAACCUAGUGAAUCCAAAUCAAACAUGACAACCACAAUUUGAUUCUCUUCCAAACCGGCAACGAAUAGUUUGACGUGGUGAUUCUCCCGCUAUUGCUUCGACAUUCAAACAAACUCAUCCCGCACGUGAAACAUGGUCUGCAUGAAGUUGCAUGAGCACCUCUUUGGCUCCUUAUCAUAAUAACUCUAUUCUUAAAAGUAAUUUACUUUCAAAAUCAUCCACAACUGUAGCUAAGAUCCUAUGGAUAUGAAGGAUCGACUCCAAUGGCCCUUGAUCAUUGUCCUUUACAAAGGACAGAUCCAAGUUAGUCUUGUUAAAGUCCUCUGAGCUUACCCCUGAGAGCUCUACGCCUAUAGUAUUCUUGGGAAUUUGCUGAAUCCUCUUCACGGGUCACGUUAUUCAGCUAAGUGAUGUGCCAUCUCACGGCUUGCCAGAUGGGGUGAGUGCUUGGCACAAGACUACGUACUCACUGAGGCAAUAGAUCGAACACCUGAUUCAUUUUCGCGAACACCAGCCUCAAUCUAACAUUUACGCAUAGAAUUGGAUGUGCAACUAGAUGAAGCUCCAUACGUCAAAUCUUAUAAAUUGAAUGUUGUUGUAAAGAAAUAGCAGUGCUUAACUUUGUUCAAAGUCAUUAUUGUCUUGAAGAACAAGAAAAUUCAGGUUAGCUAGAAACGACUGGUGACCGAUUAAAGGUUACAUACAAAUCAUUCAUCAAGAUACAGGAAAGCUCAAUUAAUCUGAAAAUUAUUCAUUAACCUAAUGCAUUCAACAAUAAACUUAUGCCACCUCUCAGUUGUUGCAAUAGGGAAAUUGAAUAAAAUAAAGAAGUAUUUGUGGAAUUCUUGGUUGAUUGAUCCGCCUAAAGAGCUUACAUACAUCACUGAAUGACUAAAUGUUGCAGUGUCAAAACCAUAAUUCAAUACAUGCUAUCAGCCACUUUUAGGCCUAACCUCAAUUCCUUGUAUAAUGAGCCCACGCUUGGUGAUGAAGCUAUCAAAUUCAAAUAGACUACACACCAACUUGCCAUCAUCUCCAUUUUCAUUGAAGAACUCGCCCAUCUCAAUUUCCAUCCACCCAUCUCCCCUGUCUUGAGAUAAUCGAGCCAUAUUUCUUGAAGGAUCUAGCAACAGUCUUCGCCUAAGCCCGUUAUCGCAUCCUUCAAUGUAGACCCCAGACUCUACUGGUCUUCUCUCAAAUCCAUACUUUGACUCUGCGAACUUAAAAACAAGGUAAGAUGCAUAGUUGGUUCUGAGUGACAAAACUUUGGUCUCUAUCAUUGCUUUGACAUCAAACCACCACACAUACUUAAGUUCAGCCACCUCAGGAAACCUGCCAAUGCAUUGACAAAAGAGCAAAUUAUAUGAUGACAAAAUCGAUUAUACCACUAAAGAUUAAAAAUGCAAACGUGCAAUGCCAACAUAUAUGAACAAACCUAGACUCCGGUAGAGAAGUCAAUAUCCAAUGGUUAGGUUCAUCUCCCCAUGCUAUGGAAAGCCCUUUUGUCCCAACCAUGUAACAUUUUUUCCCACUCUCUGGCUGCAGCGCAAAGCUCUGUCAAAGUACUCAUGAUGUUAGCUUUUCUAUAAAAUCAGUUUUGUUGUAUUUCAAUGCUUACUAAGAUUUCAACUGGGUGUUAAUUGCAGACAUAUAUGUUCAGACUUUAUAAUAAGAGCAUAUAUAAAAGCUUAGAACUCAAAACAUCAAAGAUAAUUUAAAAUUGUGUUUCUACGAAUAAAAUUGUGUUUCUACGAAACAAGAGGAAAAUUCAAGUAAAAAAAAUUGAUGAGUUCAAGGUAUAGUUAGCAUGUCGUUUUUCGGAUAUUACAAUGAAGAAGAAGUCAACCAUCUUGUUUGGUUAAAUGUACAUAUGAUGAAGCUCUUGGUGUUAAUAUUAAUAUUCAUAAUACUCAAAAUAAAAAUUAUCUACACAAAUAGCAGGAUAAAUUGAGGUAAAAGAUUAAUAUAUAGUAUAUGAUUUGUUUAGAUAAAAGGUAAGUCAACUUUGACUUACCAUAGUACCAUUGUUGAUGAUGAUGGGGUUGCGACAGAGAUGAAAAUAAAGAUCUUUCUUAGACAGGGAAGUGAUCAAAGAUGAGACAGAGUUGGAAAUGAUCUGCUUGUAAUCAGACGGCAGAAAAUUCUCCCACACGGAAUCUGAAUCUGCGGCUGAUUUGAAUACAGGAGACACCACUGAUAAUCUGCAAGCAUCACGAGGAGUUGUAAGAGAAAUGAUAUUGGAAAUACACUCUGCAGGCAGAGCAAUUGUGAUAUCCAUUUGACUUGCUGUCUUUUAAUUUCCUGCUCUUUAAAACUCACAUCACCCUAUACUUCUUUGUUAAGCUUUAUUUGCACAAGUUCAAUGGAGAAGGUUAUUCAAUAUUAAAUUAUACAGAAGCAGUGGAUGAAAGUUCCUGCUUUCUACUUGUUUGGAUACUUGUUCCACAAGGAUUGACUUUGAACAGGUCUGAUGAGUUAGAAAAUUGCACCAACAGCCCGUGGAAAAAAAUGCGAACAUGAGGUCGACAGAAACAUGGAAUAUUAAUAAUACUGUUCACGCAUAGAGAUGGAUGACCGGCCCGAAUGAAGUAACGAUUAUCUAUUGGCAAGCAGAAGCAAUGAUGAUUAACUGUAAAUUUGGGAUUACUAAUUUUUUUGUCUUCUUAAUAAAAAUGAAGAGUAAUCUAAGGUUUUCAAAAGUAAGAAAGGUGAUUUGAGAAUAGUUAAUUGACGAGAGGGUAAUCUAAAAUUAGCGAUUUGAGAAUAGUUAAUUGACGAGAAGGUAAUCUAAAAUUAAUCCAUGAUUAAUUGUAAGAUUAUUAGUAAGUAAUUGAUAACAUAAAAUAAGGAUGGAAGAGGUUAAAAGCACCAUGAUCUCAAAGGGAUAGGCUAGUUAAUUUGAUCAGGGAUAUCUUUUCCCUUACAUCAAUCUCGGAGAAGGAAAUUAUUUAAUGUGUUGUGCUUGUGAUAAAAUGUGAUUAGAGUGUGUGUAAUGUUUUGAAGCUUUUGUCGGUCCAAUCAAGACUCGCCGAUAAUUCUUUGAUCUCCAUCAUGUUUUGUUUUAAAGUAAACUGGAAGGUUAUUACAAAAAUAUGAUAAUAUGUAAGAGAAUUUUUUUAGAUCCUUAUUUUUAUUAUUACUUAGAACUUCGCUGAUCACGAACUUACAUAAAAAUUUAACAUAUAAUAUUUACUGUUUCGAAACUCUUGCCAAGAUGAUCAAUACAUACUAAUAGGUUUAUCAUCUCAAUUGAAUUUUCUCUAAAUUCAAUUGUUUCUAGACUCGGUCGUUUUUAUCUUGAAGUCAAUUGAUAAGGUUAUUAAAUUGGAAGCCGUUGUGGUUAAAAACCAAUGAAAAUAUUUGGGAGAACAACGUUUUGGAUCUUAUUAUUAUUAUGAUUUAAAAGGUUUAGAUGAGAGUAUGAAAUCUCGCCUAAUAAAUACUAACCGUUUUCCUAUGGCAUUACUCAAAUUUGAGUUAUCACAUAUGCAAAGUUCAUUUACAGUUAGUUGAACUACGUCGAUUGUCAAAAAAUUACUAAAAGGCAAAAUUUAACCUUAACACUUUAUACAAAUCAUAUGUAUAAUUAUUGCAUUAUAAGUAUCCACAAUUUUUUUCCCCUUUUCUUUCUAAAAUCUUUUGACAACUGUUGAUGUUAGGAGUUACUACCUGUCCAAUACAUGUAAACAUUAACAAUACGAAAGUGGCCUCAGGCUCAAAAUUAAUAAUGAUUUCCAAGAGAGAUUUAAUUAACAAUGUACCCCAUUGUUUUUAUUUAGUUAUGCCGCAAUACUGCUCCAACAAAGAAAUUAAGAGAUUACAGUAAUAAGAAAUUAUAUAAUAAUUUAAGAAUUAGUAUGUAUUUUAUAAAUAAAUAAAAAAAUUUGUGUGAAUUUUAUGAAAUGAUGGUUAUAUUUUUAAUAUACGGAGUCUGUUUAUAAAUUAAGCUGAAGAUGUUUUGAAAAAUAAAAUUUAAAGGGGGUGUAAUAAGAAUCACAGAGGGAUGUUAAAAAGUCCCAGUGUGUUAGGACCGGCCUACUUGGAUUUCUCUAAUAAAUUUAUCGUCUUUCUCAUUUUGAAUAUUGAAAAUUAAUUUUUUUAAAAAAGCUCCACCGUAUUGGGCCGCGCCUAUUUGGAUUUCUCCUAUAAUUUACUCGUCUUUCUCAUUUUAAAUAUUGAAUAUUUUUUAGCCUAGUGGGAGAAUUGUAAGAGCAUGUGAUCGGAUUCUCAUAAAAGUAAUUAUGGAGGGUUUAAUUUUCUUUCUAAAUUAUGAAAUAAUUAAGUAAAUGAAACAUUUUUCUUUACAAAAUGUGAGUGGAGUAAGCGUUUCUCCAAUACAAGAGAGGACAAAAUCUGGACAAUGCUAUCCCACUAAUUAUCUUAUUAUAAAUAUCAGUAGUAAUCUCAUAUAAUAUAAAAUGUAAUCUGAACUAUAGUCUCACGUAAUUAAAAAAAAUAAUAUUGAAAAUUAAAGGAUUUUCCCCCAAAGCAUGAGUUUUAAAAAUAUUUUUAGGAAGUUUAAGAAUUAUUACCUAAAAUCCCAUUCUCUUCAAAUAGCAUCAUAUUUGCUGCACAUGAAAGACUUACAUGAAUCCAUUGAAAGGCAAAAAAGCUAGACUUGCCGAUUUAGAUAAUAACUAAUAGGCUCAAUUAAACCAAAAGACCAUGAGUACUAUUUGAUCAUUGAUUAAUCAAAGUGAUUACCACCAUGUCGCAAAAGAAAUCUAGGGUUGAUUUUUUAAGAGAAAAUUAGAAAAAAUUUAUAAAUAGUCGAUAGCACAGAACAAAGCCAAUCUCAUGAAAAGGCUUAUUAACUUGAAAUAUAAGGAUGGGCACAAUGUAACUGAAUACACUAGUGAAUUUUAGGGUCGUUUGAUCAGUUCACUACUAUGAAGAUUAUUCUAGAUUAUAAGUUAUGAGUAUUUUUGCUGCUUACUUUUUUGCCUGAUAGCUGGAAGACAUUAGUAGUGUCAAUGAAUAAUUCAGUUCUGAACAAGAAAUUAACUUUGGAUGGUUAUAGAUAAAUUGUGGAAUGAAGAAUAUAGAAGAAAGAGUGUUGAAGUAGUUCCCUCUAGGUUAGAUGCAUUUGUUUCUGAAAAGCAAGAAAGGCGGGAGAGAAGCCAAAGCAGAAAUUCUCAACAGUAGAAUAAUGAUAACCCCAGAGGAGGAUCUAAACCCAGAGGAGAAACAUCAAGUGCUUUCAUUGUUAAAAAAUGGGUCACAUAAAAGGAGUGUAGAUUAUGGAAAAGAGAACAGGCGAAGGAAAAGGUCAAUACUCAAAAAAAUGACAAAUAAAACACUACAACCAUAGUUGAUGGUGCUGCUGUACGGCCAAGGCGGAUGUACGGUACAGCAGCAAAAAUUUAAAAAAAAUUAAGAUUUUAUUAAAAUAAAUUUUAUAAUAAAUACAAAUACAUUAUUAAUAUAAUUUUAAUAAUUUGCAUUUUAAAAAGUAAUACUGAUAUUAAUUUUUUAAAUAUUAAUUUUUUAAAUUAUAUUACUCUACCAAAAAAAAUUAAACUAUUAAAUUAUAUUGAUAUUUAUUACAAAAUUUGCAAUUAAUUCUUAUUAUAUUUUUAAUUGGAAUUUGUUCCUGUGUUAUAACAACAAUUGCUACAGUUUUUUUCCCUAAAUAAAGAUGGAGUUAUAAAUUAUUUGUGUAAGUGUCAUGAAAGUAAUAGUUGAAUAACAAUAAUGGGGCUUUAGGCAAUUUUUUCAUCUGCUGUACGGCCAAGGCGGAUGUACGGUACAGCAGAGCAAAAAGAUCCUCAAGAAUGAAGAAAGGAAGCUGAUUCUCAAGCAACCACAUAUCAUACCAUAUAUCCUCUAUUAAAUAGGGUUUAAGAAAUAUAUAAUCAUCUUUUUUUUGAAGUUGACGGAAAUGAUACCUCAAUAAGAGUUCAAUGAUGAAGGCAGCAUCCAGCAGAAUCAUUUCAACAAAUUUAUCACUACUUAGUUCGACUUUUUCUGCAUAAGAACCUCGUAAUUCUGCUUCUCUGAACUUUAUAAUUUGAACAAACUCGUCAAAGCUUAUUUUGGUCCGUUGAAGAAAGUAACGCAGGUACCGCUGUUUAUGUUCUUCCAUGAACUGUAAGUUUGCUUUGCCAUGGUGAAGAGGGCCAAUUGAGACUACCUGAGCUGUAUAUGCCUUUUCAUUUAUCUGACGUAAUCGCUCCGGAACUCUGUAGAUGCAGCAGUUUGAGGGCAAUGGUGAUAAUUUUUCCAACUUAACUUGCAAGCACUCUUCCAUGUUAUAAACUGAAAACAUGGCGCGAAAUUUGAUCAAUUCACUAGUUUAUAUAAUAUUCUUGAACCUCAUCUUAAGUAAAGCAACAAAAGCCUCCACUGUUUCUUAACAACUUUAUUGCUCUAACACGUAGCAUAACACUUUUAAAUUUGCAUAAAGCACAAUAGUACUUUAGUUUGUAACAACAGCACAGAUAAUAAAUAGCAUUUUAUAGCUUUAACAAAAGCAUACAAAAUUCUUAAACCUUGUUUCAAGCAAUUCAUUAAUGCCACAAGGAUGUCUUUUUGCUUCCUACAGUUUUUAUUGAAAUUCAUAUAUUCUUCUUUAUCAAAUUAAGUAAUUUUCCUUUUUCAAAAAAUCAAGAAGGUUUCGACUGCAUGGAAAUACAGCACACAAUUACUACUAUUCCCGGAGUAAGAAAUUCAUAAAUGCAAUAUAAACAUACAUUUUCAUAAGACAUCAGAAUCAAAGAAUCAUCAAUGCAUCAAAUCUGUACACCCAAAAAUGUUGAAAGCAUCAAGAGAAAAUUAUACCGCAUGGACCCUUUACAACCCUUAUAACGAGUUCAGACAGCCUAAUCCAAUUUAAUAGAUUUGAGGACAGCUACAAUGUGCAAUACAAAAUUUCCCAAUACUAUUUAGAACAAAGUCUAGAAAACAAAACUUAUAUAUUGUACAAAAUCAUGAAAACCAGAAAUGACGAAAAACCUGCAAAUGUAAUUUUUGGGUUUCUUCAACAUAUCUUCCAUCCAAAUCAAACAAGAAUCGAUAAAUCAACAACAUUCAUCUUUAAAUGACAUAUUACCACAAUAAAAUUGUCAACCAAGCCUCAUAUAAACCUUUUUUGUGUUUUGUGGUAAAUAUAUUUGUUAUUCUCUAAGAAUACUAGGGAAAAAAGAAACCCACUUUCUUAAUCAAGAAUCAAAUAAUAUAUAUGAAUCUAAGCUGAAGUAAGUCUUGGGUUUGAUGAAAUAGCUUGCAUUGCGAUUUAGAUUGGAAAGGAAGUUGAUUUUUACUGGUUGAGAGAGAGAGAUUUGAGACUUAAGAGAGUGUUGCUAAUCUUCAAUCGUGUAAACAAGGGUAACUGGGUCAUAGUUCAAAAUAAGGGUCCAAAAUUUACUAAAGCUAUUAAGGAGCCCAAAACUCAUAAUGGCUUGCCCAAAAUAAAUAAAAUUUUCGAGCAUUAAGUUUUUGUUUCUUCUUGAGAUUUCCUUGUCGUACUUACCCAUAUUUCGAUAUUGCCUCCAAGUAAACUUAUAUAUAUUGAUUAACAAUAUAAACAAGCACUAUGAAGUUUUAGGCCUGAAAGAACAUUAGGAUUGAAAUGAAAACCAUCUAUUUAAGUAACAAAUUCUUCUGAUAAUUUGAUGCUUAAUUUAGAGCAGAGAUGACAUAUCAAUCACGUUAUGAUGUGGAAGUUAUGAUUAUAUUCAUCUUAAGAAUAAGAUCUUUCAGACACUGGCAGAUUAGUAUAAAAAAUACUCAGCAUAAGACCUACAAACUAGAAAUCACGCACCAAUUAUUGAACUCAGCACAUAAGUUGAUCUUUUAUAAGCUAUAAAACAAAUCUGCUAUAACAUAAGAAAGUGGGAUUUAUCACCAGACAAGUAUUUUGGUGAAAUUCAAGCUGACGGAAGGAUAUCCAAAGCAACCUCCUUAAGGGAAGGCAUCACUUCCUGCUGAUGCAAACAUGUAUAUUUAUUACUCACUUUCUUGAGGACCUUCUAGGAACCUGGGCAGCACCUAACAGAAAGUGGAAAAGAAUAAAAUGUAAAAUAUAAGUUAAACAGCAGGAAAACAGUGAGUGAUACUAGGCAAGCAUUAAUAUGUUGCCGCAGGAAAAGUGUCAGUAACUAGCUAGCAAACCUGAAAAGGGUUCCUCCAUUGUGACCCUUAAAAUUGUGAAUGUAAAAUAUGGUCUCCAUCACAGGAAAAAGUGUUUUGGAUAGUGCAGCCAGCUUAGGGUAGAAGAAUGACGGAUAAUCUUUAGCUCAUUUAAGGAAAUCCUCUCUGAUCCUUUCAUUGCACAUUCCAAAACAACUCUACUACAACCAAGUUACCAAUUCUUUUUGUUAAGUCAUUGUUAUUUGUUAAAAAAAAAAAAAGUCUUCCUUGCAACAUUUUAUUGAAAGAUAUAACAUGAUCAUCCCUACUAAUUCCCUUUUAGAUUUCUGUGAGUGAAUUUCAAAUUAUUGUAUUCAAAAAUAGAAGCAAAAGACCCACUUUACUUUCAAUUUCUGCAACAAGAUACCAAUUGAAGGACCAAAAAGUUGUAAACAACCAAUUCAAUGGGUGGGCAUCUAGAAACUGCUAUAUAGCAUCAAGAUCAUACUAAAUUUACAGAAAGUACGAUAAUAAUGAAAGAAUGGUGAAGGAUACACCCAGACCUUAUCCGGUCAAGUUCUCCAUUGAAUAUAAUCAGUUUCCGGGCAGUAUUGAAGACAGCUUCUUUGUAAAGCUCUUCAACGACAAGCAUUUCUACAAGACAAAAGAAAAGCAAAAUUAAUUACCUUAAGGAAUGAAUAUCAAUGAGAAGACAACGUGUAAGACUACCAUUGACAUUAAAAUAUGGAUACGCGACUAGAAACAAUUCAUCUUCCGGCUUCACACGGUCUGCCUUUUUAACCUUCUCAGUGAAUCCAAAAUCCUCAAAGAAUGAAGGUUUUGUUAGAUAGUCCAACUUAAAUGAUGAUCCUUCAAAGACCUAUUUUCUUGCAAAUUUGACUUCAUUUGCCUCUGGGAAAAACUAAAAACCAAAUGACAGACCAAGAUCACAAAACGAAUCAUGAACAUAGAUAUCAGAUAAUCAGAAAUGGGCAUUAAACAGACUACUAACAAAUAGGAAAUGCAUACAGAAAACAUUAUUCAUACACCUUAUGCACAUGAAAUAUAUAUGCAGUGGGAUCCUCUUGUGAAUUUAGUUUAUAUCCUAAAAUGAGACAAUGAACAAUUGGAUGCCAUCUAAGGGCUAACAUUUGUUUGAUUAUUAUAUGAAAAAAAAAAACAAAACAGAGUUGAUUGAUGGCCUUUGAUGGAUUGCCUACACUCCUAAAGUGCAGAGAGCCUGAUUAAUUGCUUUACCUGCCCCCCACACACACACUUGAUUUUAUUAUCUCUCUUUUCAAAUAUAUAAUCAUUGCCUGUCUUUCAUCCUGAUCCAGCUCUCCUUCCAGGCACCAGCUGUGUUUUCUUCAAUUCAGUGAAGCAUUCACUUUCAGGUAAGAAUAAACUUGUCCUUCCUCAAAAAUCAGCUUCUCACCAUGAAGCUUUCUUUUUCAAAACAAUUACUAGUCUAGCAUAAUGCAUCUAAUUGAAGACAACUCAGAAUUGAAAAAGCCAUACUUUAAUGUCUGCUGUUGGGACCUCAAGACCAGGAAAAAAAAGCUUCUUUCUAACUGUUGGAUUAACAAGUAGAAAUAGCUUUUUUCUGAAGGACCCAACAUUGCAUUGAAAAAUUCAACAAAAGGACUGGCGUCAUAUUUAGUCCUGCUAGAAUUUUGUGCACUUAACACAAUGGUUAAUAAUUGGCCCAGCAGACACUUUGUCGAACUACUGGCAAACCUUGACUGUGGAAAUGCAUAUUUCAAAUGUUGGCAGACUCUAGCUUCUUGAUGUACUGUUGAUAAAAAUGCCUAUUUCAAAAGUUGGCAGGCUCAAACUGCCGAGACUUUGGUUUCUUACAUUUCAAACCCACAAAUAAAACUUUGGCAGAACCCCAGAAAGAGCUACACCUCCCAAAUUUGAUGACAUAUGAAGAGACCAUGCCUAGUGCUUGGUUCGGCAAAUGAGUAAGUUUGAAAUAAAUUGAGGGAAACCUUUCCCACAGAGAGUCAUUUUGAAGGUUACAAUUUGAAGACUUUGUCCCCUGUCGCCCGUAACCUUCUUUGAUCUCUUUUCUUAGUCAUGAAUAAUCAAACAUGUGUUAGUGGUUGGAUGCAAUCCACUCGCUGACAUCUCAUGUCCACAAUCAAUCAACCAUAUUUUAAUAGAAAUGGAAACAUUUUAAUUAAAAAAGAAUGAGAUAGGAACAAAAUCAAGCUUGGCAGACAUGGGUCUAUGAGAUUUUAAAGAUGCUUGGUGAAAGUCGUAUUCAAGAGUUCAACAAUCAGUUCCAUCACCUAUGGCAAAGUAACCACCGCAACUAAAGCAAUUACAAAACAUCAAGAAGCUUGAACUUGGCAAGAGGUCUCAUUAACAGUAUACCUCAGAAAUUAAGACAGAAUUAAAGUGCAAGCUUUUGGAUUUAUUUAAACACUGAAAAUAAUAUGGGUAGAAGCUCCUAUGGUCACAGCAAACAAUUACAAAGCACAAAACCCAAAAAACAGAUAUGCAAAAAGCUGCAAAAGAACAUUAUUAGCAAUUGACAUCUGCUUUUGCUCAGACAAAGGUUCUCAUAACAAAGGACUUAGUGAUUAUCUGUCAUAUGUUUAUGUUAAGGGGAAAAAAGAAGUUUGUUUUAGUCAAUCUCAUGUCUAUUGGCAUUCAUAAGGAGCCCAAAAAUAAAAGAAAAAAUAAAGAGUUAGUAGGUGUUUCUUGCAACACAAAGAAAAUUUAUCAUCCAUGAAAAACUUAGUAUGGAAAAAGCUAACUCAUUUAUCUGCCAAUGCAGAAAAACUUGUUGUCUACCCACUAAGGACCCACCAUUGGCAGGUCUGAUGGAUCCCAUGGAUGGGAACCACAAAUAUUUUAUUCUAAAUGACAUGGGUAUUGNNNNNNNNNNNNNNNNNNNNNNNNNNNNNNNNNNNNNNNNNNNNNNNNNNNNNNNNNNNNNNNNNNNNNNNNNNNNNNNNNNNNNNNNNNNNNNNNNNNNNNNNNNNNNNNNNNNNNNNNNNNNNNNNNNNNNNNNNNNNNNNNNNNNNNNNNNNNNNNNNNNNNNNNNNNNNNNNNNNNNNNNNNNNNNNNNNNNNNNNNNNNNNNNNNNNNNNNNNNNNNNNNNNNNNNNNNNNNNNNNNNNNNNNNNNNNNNNNNNNNNNNNNNNNNNNNNNNNNNNNNNNNNNNNNNNNNNNNNNNNNNNNNNNNNNNNNNNNNNNNNNNNNNNNNNNNNNNNNNNNNNNNNNNNNNNNNNNNNNNNNNNNNNNNNNNNNNNNNNNNNNNNNNNNNNNNNNNNNNNNNNNNNNNNNNNNNNNNNNNNNNNNNNNNNNNNNNNNNNNNNNNNNNNNNNNNNNNNNNNNNNNNNNNNNNNNNNNNNNNNNNNNNNNNNNNNNNNNNNNNNNNNNNNNNNNNNNNNNNNNNNNNNNNNNNNNNNNNNNNNNNNNNNNNNNNNNNNNNNNNNNNNNNNNNNNNNNNNNNNNNNNNNNNNNNNNNNNNNNNNNNNNNNNNNNNNNNNNNNNNNNNNNNNNNNNNNNNNNNNNNNNNNNNNNNNNNNNNNNNNNNNNNNNNNNNNNNNNNNNNNNNNNNNNNNNNNNNNNNNNNNNNNNNNNNNNNNNNNNNNNNNNNNNNNNNNNNNNNNNNNNNNNNNNNNNNNNNNNNNNNNNNNNNNNNNNNNNNNNNNNNNNNNNNNNNNNNNNNNNNNNNNNNNNNNNNNNNNNNNNNNNNNNNNNNNNNNNNNNNNNNNNNNUUAAUCUUUUAUCCUUAUGCUUUAAUUUUUAUGUGAGUUUUGAUUAUCUUACAUUGGGGACAAUGUAAGUUCUUGGUGUGGGGGAGGGAUUUUUGCAUUAUUGAUGUCUGGAAUUAUUAUUUUCACUCCUGCUGUACGGCCAAGGCGGAUGUACGGUACAGCAGUUUGGUUAUUUUUAUAAUUACGAAUUUAAUAUUUCAGAUAUUAGUAUUUUAUUUUAAAUAGAACUCUAGAGGAGAAGAGAGAGAGAGUAUUUAAGGGAAGAAUCUAUUGUGAAAAAAGGGAGAUUUUUGGAAAAGAAAGAAACCCUAGAUCUAAAUUUUUCUCUUCUCUCCAUGAAGAACUAAAUCUAUUAUUCUGUUUGAAGGUUAAUGAAGCUUUUAUUCAUCACUACUGUGAGAUCUUUCUUAUGCUUUAAUUGUUUUAUUGCUUUUUGGGUAUUUGUUUAUUCUCUGAAUUAUUUUCAUGAUUAUGUUUGUUAAUUAGAUAAUUGGCUACUAUUUAAUUAUCAACUUAAUCUAUUGUCAAUUAAAGGAUUCAUCGUAUGAAGAUUUUAAUGUUUGUGACAAAUAACAUAGCAGAGAGUUGUGUUGUGAGAAUAAACAAUCUAAUUUAAAUGAACCAUCGUAUGUGUUUGUUGAUUAGGAUUUGGGUCUCUCUGGUUUUUCAGGCUGUCAAUUGAUUAAAUCCUAUUAUCGUAUCUAGGGUUGUCUAUUGAUUAGGGAAAUAACCAAUGGUCUCUAGGAGCCAAAUCAAUGUUGUUAACUCAUUCAAUUAAUACAUUCUCUUAGAGGUCAUACCUUGGUAACUCAUUUCAAAAGAAAUUAAAAGAAAAACGACUGCACAAAUUGUACUGAGCUCAAGAAGACCUGUUCAAGGUGUUCACUUGUCCAACUAAUAAAAGUCAUCAAGGAUUGUAUCAGGGACUUGGGACCAAUCCUGCCUUAACGAGAGAAAGGGAAUUUAGGAUGAAGAAGAUAACCUCUUUUCCUAGAGCAAAUUAAGCUGGUAAAAUCUUGGCAGUUGCACUUGGGGCAGAAAUUAGUUCCACCUUGGUUUACAGGACAGAAAUUCGUCAUAUGCAUGUAUUUAUUUAUAUUUUAUACACAUGAAAUUAGUUCCACCUUGGUUUACAGGACAGAAAUUCGUCAUAUGCAUGUAUUUAUUUAUAUUUUAUACACAUACGCAUACAUGUACACACAAACACUACCUUCACUUUGAAGAAAAGAUUAAAAUAACACUGCUCACAUACACAAUACUUACUAUUCUAGUUCGUGUGACUUUCUCCGGAGUCACAAAUAGGUCAAAGAAUUCGCGUAUUAACCGCAUACUUCCAGUCAUUUCUAUUCCUCCUUCACCAUCACCUUUCCCACAAUUACAAAAAGUGAGAGGUAGUAACCAACAUAUUUGGGUUGUUCUUCGGUAAGGGGUGGGAGGUAAGGGUUAGUUGUGGAGGGCACCUGGUACAGAAUCAAGGCCAGCUGUUGGGAAUUUGAUCUCCUGUAACAUAUACUUGUUCAUCAUAAACUAUAUACUUAUUCUGCAGUCGAUGUGGGCAUAUAGCUCUUCAAUUAUCCAGUAAUAACUCACCAUCAACUUCCUGCCAUCCUUCAUGGCUAAUUCAGCAGCUAUUUUUGCCUGUUUAAAGGGCAAAAGCCCAAACUAAGCAGAUGCUCCUACUCCGAUACUUAUUAUCUAACUACUACAGAACAGAUGAUACACAUCAAGUUGUGUCAAGAGAGACACCAAGUUGUGUUUUCCAAGAGGUUCCAAAGAGGUUUUGUUUCUUUGUGUAAUUUUUAGACUGCUUUGACAACUCAUCUUAAAGGUGCCACUCAUCCAAUAUGAUGUGGUGACAGUAGUUUAGAGUUUUAAACUAAAUGCAGAGCUAAUAGUAUUUUGGAAUAUAAUCAUCCUAAGAUACUAUAACACAGGGAUUCUUACACAAAAACAACAACUUCGAUGUAGAGAGAAGAUGAUUUCACAAAAGCAGAUGUUUUGAUUUAAGUCUCCAAAACCCCCACCAAAGAAAUGUUCAACAGAUAUAGAAAUAUGAUCCACAUAUCUGUAACUUAAACUGUGAAAGUUGUUGAUGCUGUUCUAAAAUUGCCACAAUUUAUCUACCCCGUGAAUGUUUUUGGAUAAAACAACAAGCAGGACCCAAUGCCUGUUUUCUAAUAGCUUCAAAAAGGCCAAAUUGGUUUUGAAAUGUCUCCAGCUUUUCAUUUAAUAAGAGAGAGAGAGAGAGAGAAGAAUCGCUCCCCUUUCAAAUACCGUGCUCUUUUGUACCUGGGAAUUUAACUAAUUCUUGCGAAUAAAAAAAUUUAUAAAUUUGGUAAAUUAUUUAUUAAAAAAUAUUGAGAGGCUGUGCAUUAUUUUAUUAGUAAAGAUAUAGUUAUCAUCAAAUUGAGCUUUCUCUAAUUUGAAUUACAACUUUAAUUUGCAUUCUUGUUAUUUUAAUUUGAUUGUUAUUAUUGUCACAAAACCCUCAUUUUAUAUUUUACGUUUCAAAAGGAUUUAAAUAAUUACCGAUCUCUGUGGACACGACUUUGCUCAAUCACUAUACACAAUUUAUUUAGAGUAGGUAUUUAUUUUUGUUGGCUUCGACAACCUUCAAAUUUUGGCGCCGUUGCCGGGGAUUGGUGUCAUUUAUUUAAUCCUUUUUACGUUUUACUUGGUGUAUGGUUCGUUCUUCUUGUACAGGUACACUUUCGUUUGAUCCUUAAAUUGAGAAGACAGCUCGCCAGCUGAGACAGCAGACGAAGCGAGCUAAGCAACGACACUCAUCGCCGUAGUCGAAUCAAGCUGAGUUAAUUCCUUCAACCAGAGCUUUCUCCAAUUUGAAUUACAACUUUAAUUUGCAUUCUUGUUAUUUUAAUUUGAUUGUUAUUAUUGUCACAAAACCCUCAUUUUAUAUUUUACGUUUUAAAAGGAUUUAAAUAAUUACCGAUCUCUGUGGACACGACUUUGCUCAAUCACUAUACACAAUUUAUUUAGAGUAGGUAUUUAUUUUUGUUGGCUUCGACAACCUUCAAAUUUUGGCGCCGUUGCCGGGGAUUGGUGUCAUUUAUUUAAUCCUUUUUACGUUUUACUUGGUGUAUGGUUCGUUCUUCUUGUACAGGUACACUUUCGUUUGAUCCUUAAAUUGAGAAGACAGCUCGCCAGCUGAGACAGCAGACGAAGCGAGCUAAGCAACGACACUCAUCGCCUUGCUUUCUGAAACAGAUACGGUGCCUGAUUUAGUUGAAUCAUCAAGCGAUUUAGAAGAACAAGUGAUGGAUAGAGCUGCACCUGUAGAAAGAACUCUUAGAGAGUUAGCCGAACCAGACUUGAAUCAGCAACCACUCUACAUUCAAUAUGUAGACUUGGAGGUAAAUUUUGAAUUAAAGUCUGGUCUUAUUCAUUUAUUACCCAAGUUUCAUGGUUUUGCAGGUGAAGAUCCUCAUAAACAUCUCAAGGAGUUUCAUGUUAUGCGUUCAAGUAUGAGGCCACAAGGCGUGACUGAAGAGCAAAUUAAGUUGUGUGCUUUUCCUUUCUCUUUAGAUGGGCUAGCUAAAGACUGGUUGUAUUACUGUUAGAGUGCAACUUAGCAUAUAAUUUUUUAGGCAAGAAAGAUCACUCAGGAGUUUUCUCUAAAACUGAAUUUUAUUUUAUCUGGUGCAUGUUAAAUGAUGUGAGGCCUAAUUUAGGUUUUUGGUUAGCAGAUCAAUUUCAAAGUGUGCUUAAACGGUAUAGGACUUUAUUUCUUGGUCCAUACAUUACUCUGUUAGCUAUAAACCUAUGUGUGCUUGAUCCUGACAAUAAUGAUUUGCAUCCUGCUUGCAAAAAAGAAUUUUUGGAUAUGUUUAUGUUUGAAAGAACAGGUGUGGUCGAAUUCAAGGAGCGGAGAUUUCAGUUUACUAAACCAGGGCCCACUCAACCUCCGAAGAAGCUUUAUGCUAGGAGUGGUGCUACCUCUGAUGACGAGUUUGACGACGACACUGCUGCCCCGCCAACUAUUCCUUCUACAUCCGCACCACCUUUGAGCAUUCAGUUAGAGAAAAUGGAGCACAAGCUGAAUAAGAUGGAGCAAAAUUUGGCCACAUACUUCGAGAAUGUGGGAUUUACCUCACCAUUUCCGCCAAGCCAAUAGACGUUAUGUGGAUCAAAGCUCACAAUUCAGGGAAGUUUUUUUUGCCUUUAAUCUUUUAUCCUUACGCUUUAAUUUUUAUGUGAGCUUUGAUUAUCUUACAUUGGGGACAAUGUAAGUUCUUGGUGUGGGGGAGGGAUUUUUGCAUUAUUGAUGUCUGGAAUUAUUAUUUUCACUCUACUCAUCUAUUUUCACUCUACUCGUCCUUAAAUGAUUUUGGAGUUAGUAUGCUUCAUAUAUUAUUAAUUUCCUUUUCCUUUCUCUCUCACUACUCUUUUCCCAUCUAUCUCAAAUUAUUUACAUCUAUUUUUUUUUCUAUCAUACUCUUUCAUCACUUACAUUUUAUCUUUCAUUUUUUUACUACAUACAUCUUUCUCGCUUAUUAUUUUUUUACCUUUCUUUUUAUAUCUCACUCAUACCUUCUUCUCAUUCUACACCACUCUUGAUGGUUGAUUCAUUUGAAGAGUGUACAUGAUUUGAUGGCAAAUUUACCAACUUUGUGAGGAUUUGAGCCUGUGAGCAACCACUUUGCUCUAAUUAUUUUUGUUAUGUGAAUAUCAAUCUUUGUUUUUUUAUUCUAGAACUUGCUUUGUUAUGCAUGUUGAAGCCGCAUUACGGGAUUUUNNNNNNNNNNNNNNNNNNNNNNNNNNNNNNNNNNNNNNNNNNNNNNNNNNNNNNNNNNNNNNNNNNNNNNNNNNNNNNNNNNNNNNNNNNNNNNNNNNNNNNNNNNNNNNNNNNNNNNNNNNNNNNNNNNNNNNNNNNNNNNNNNNNNNNNNNNNNNNNNNNNNNNNNNNNNNNNNNNNNNNNNNNNNNNNNNNNNNNNNNNNNNNNNNNNNNNNNNNNNNNNNNNNNNNNNNNNNNNNNNNNNNNNNNNNNNNNNNNNNNNNNNNNNNNNNNNNNNNNNNNNNNNNNNNNNNNNNNNNNNNNNNNNNNNNNNNNNNNNNNNNNNNNNNNNNNNNNNNNNNNNNNNNNNNNNNNNNNNNNNNNNNNNNNNNNNNNNNNNNNNNNNNNNNNNNNNNNNNNNNNNNNNNNNNNNNNNNNNNNNNNNNNNNNNNNNNNNNNNNNAGCCUCAAUUUAAGGAGAUUUUUGGACUCAUUGUGUGGAUAUAUUUUGUUGCUUUUUCUGCCUUGUAUUAAAGUUUCUCAAUUAGAUCAACAAGCAUUAUGCUUGAAUUAAAUUGUGCAAGGUUCGUUUCUUUUGUUUGAUUAAAAAAAAACAACAAAAAAAAGGAAAAAGAAAAAAAAGUGAAAAAAAAAUCGAAAAAAAAAAUUGAAAAAAAAGGUUUACAUUCUUGGUGACUUGAGUAGAAAUAAGCAUUUUGAUAUCAUAAGUUCAUUCAAUGAGUUCAUUCUUCUCAUUUUGAUCUCUUUUUCUUUCAUAAACCUUUCUUUUUUAUUUAACCUAUUUAACUCCAUUACAACCCUUUUAAGACCCUUAAUUUUUUGCAUUUUAUUUCCAUAUGUUUGACCAUAAUCAUAUCUCGAUGUCCCCGUGUUAAGCCUGCUCCUAAAACUGUUCCUGUUGCCAACUGUUACAGUGCAAUUUAUACACUAGUUUUGUAUUGUUUACUUCCCUUAAUAUCGAUGUUUUGCACUUGAUAAUAGUGAUUUACUUGUGUUUUACUUUUAUAGGUGCAAUUCUAUUGAUUGGUGCUAAAAUUGAGCUAUAAGAUGAUGUUUAAGGAUGAUUGUUCUCUUGGAGAAAUUAUGAGCGUCAGAAGAACUUUGUUGAUAAAGCGUGGGCGCGUGCUGUCAACUGCGGACCUGCAGUUUUUAGUUUAACAUGUUUUGUAUUUUUGGUUAUUUUUGUAAUUAUGAAUUUAAUAUUUCAGAUAUUAGUAUUUUAUUUUAAAUAGAACUCUAAAAGAGAAGAGUGAGAGAGUAUUUAAGGGAGGAAUCUAUUGUGAAAAAGGAUUUGGAUUGGAGAAAAAGAAAGAAACCCUAGAUCUAAUUUUUCUCUUCUCUCUAGGAAGAACUAAACUUAUUUUUCUGGUUGAAGGUUAAUAAAGCUUUGAUUCAUCACUACUGUGAGAUCUUUCUUAUGCUUUAAUUUAAAUGAAUCAUCAUAUGUGUUGAUUAGGAUUUGGGUCUUUCUGGUUUUUCAGGCUGUCAAUUGAUUAAAUUCUAUGAUCGUAUCUAGGGUUGUCUAUUGAUUAGGGAAAUAUCCAACGGUCGUACCUUGGUUAUUGACUAUUUAAGGAGAGAUUGGCAAUUAGAGGGUCUCAAUAGCUAUAACCGGUCUAUUCAUAAGUAAUAAUAAUCUAUAUUUGAAUCAAUGAUCAGUAGUCGAAUCAAGCUGAGUUAAUUCCUUCAACCAGAGCUUUCUCCAAUUUGAAUUACAACUUUAAUUUGCAUUCUUGUUAUUUUAAUUUGAUUUUUAUUAUUGUCAACAAAACCCCCAUUUUAUGUUUUACGUUUUAAAAGGAUUUAAAUAAUUACCGAUCUCUAUGGACACGACCCUGCUCAAUCACUAUACACAAUUUAUUUAGAGUAGUAAUUUAUUUUUGUUGGCUUCGACAACCAUCAAUUACUUGCCACCUGGAUCGAUUACAACAUGGAAUGGUUUGAAGAAGCAGUUCCUUGAGAAGUACUUUCCUGUUGUAAGAGCUGCCAACAUCAGAAAAGUCAUUUGUGGGAUCAGACAACUUCUUGGGGAGACUUUGUAUGAGUAUUGGGAGCGAUUCAAACAAUUGUGUGCCAGCUGUCCUCAGCAUCAGAUUUCUGAUCAACUUCUUAUUUAAUAUUUUUACGAAGGACUGUCAUUGAUGGACAGGAGUAUGAUAGAUGCUGCUAGUGGAGGUGUGUUGGUGAACAAGACCCCUACUCAAGCAAGGGAGUUGAUUGCAAAUAUGGCUGCCAAUGCACAACAAUGUGGCAGCAGGUAAGAUCUCACUUCAAGGAAGGUGAAUUAGGUAAAUAUUUCUUCUGUUGAACAACGUUUAGAUAAACUUACUUCUCUUGUGGAAAAGUUUGUUGUAGGUAAUGUGCAACAGGUGAAGACUUGUGGCAUUUGUUACAAUAUGGGUCAUUCAACCGAUAUGUGUCCUACAUUUCAAGAAGAACCCGUUGAACAAACCAAUGCAGUUAGAGGAUUUCCAGGCAUGCCUUAGAGGAGGUAUGAUCCUUAUACACAAACAUACAAUCCGGGAUGGAAGGAUCAUCCCAACUUCAGCUAUGGAGUUAGACCAUCAUGAUUCCCGCAACAGUAUCCACCAAGACAACCAGCACCUCCACAGUCAAACUCCAAGUCAGGUAUAUCUCUUGAAGAAAUUGUUAAAUCACUUGCGACUAACACUCAACAAUUUCAGCAGGCAACUACAGCAAGCAUUCAGAACUUGGAGAACCAAAUGAGUCAAUUGGCGACUACAGUGAGCCGUCUGGAGUCUCAAGUAUUAGGGAGAUUGCCUUCACAAUCUGAGGUGAAUCCAAAGCAAAACGUUAGUGCUGUCAUCCUUAGAAGUGGGACGGAGUUGCAAGAGCCUAGUAAGAAAGUGACAAAGCAUGUAGAAGAUGAGCUUGAGAAGAAUGAAUUGAUGCCUAAAUCUCAAGAUGCGCAACCCACUAGAGCGAAACCCCUACCUAUUGUGAUACCUCCUCCUUUUCCAAGCCGAUUUGCAAAAUCCAAGAAGGAGGAACAAGUGAAUGAUAUCCUUGAGACAUUUCGCAGGGUUGAGGUAAAUAUUCCUUUAUUAGAUGCUAUAAAACAAAUACCUCGAUAUGCUAAAGUCCUUAAGGAACUGUGCACCUCCAAGAGAAAAUUAAGAGGAGAUGAAAGAGUUCAUAUGGGGGAGAAUGUUUCAGCAGUUCUCCAAAAGAAACUACCUCCUAAGUGCAAGGAUCCAGGUAUGUUUACUAUCCCUUGUAAAAUUGGUAGUGUUAGAAUUGAAAAGGCUUUGUUAGAUCUAGGAGCUUCUAUUAAUGUCAUGCCUCGUUCCAUUUAUUCAUCUUUGAAUAUUGGUCCAUUAAAAGAAACUGGUGUGAUAAUUCAACUAGCUGAUAGGUCUAAUGCAUAUCCUGAUGGGGUAUUAGAAGAUGUCUUAGUACAAGUUAAUGAGUUGGUUUUUCCUGCUGAUUUUUAUGUACUUGAUAUGGAAGAUGAUAACUCCUCUAAUUAUGUCCCAAUUUUGUUAGGAUGACCUUUUCUUAAGACUGCUAGGACUAAAAUGGAUGUACAUAAAGGGACUCUCACUAUGGAGUUUGAUGGAGAGGUUAUAGAAUUCAAUAUGAAUGAUGCCAUGAAAUAUCCUAGUGAGGAACAUUCGGUAUUUUCUGUGGAUGUUAUUAACCCUAUAGUGCAGGAAGUUUUUUACAAGGAAAAAACGAAGACAUUUCAUGAUAGAAUGAUUUUGAGAAAGGAGUUCUCUGUUGGUCAAAAAGUUCUUCUUUUUCAUUCUAAGCUUAAACUUUUUCCGGGUAAAUUACGUUCUUGCUGGGUUGGACCUUUUAUUGUUACUAAUGUUUUUCCUCAUGGUGCAGUUGAGAUUCAGAGUUCGACCUCUGACAAAGUUUUUAAGGUUAAUGGUCAUCACUUAAAACCUUUUUAUGAAGGUUUUUCGGUGAAUAUUGUGGAGAAUGUGGCUCUCGAGAGUCUCAAUUAUGGAGAUUGAUGCAUAAACGUGUCUAGCCAAAGACAUAAAACAAAGGCGCUUUUUGGGAGGCAACCCAAAUGAUUUAUUUAUUUUGGUUUUUGUUAUAUCUUCUUUUAGUUUUGAUUCAGAUUAUUUUUUGAAAAAAAAUAAUGUGUUUGCUUAUUUUGGUCAGAAGAAAAUUUUUGAUAAGGCGUGCUCACGUCUUAACUAAUAAGUACUUCUGUGAUUUUUAAAGUAAAAUGGUUUUAAGGCGUGCCCACGUGCUUAUUAGAAAAGUACUUCUGAAUUUUUUUUUAGUGUCUCAAAGUGAUUCAUCACUAAAAAAAAAUGAAAAAAAAAAUUAUUUAUUUAUUUAUUGAUUUGAAAAUUAAAAAAAAAAGAAAAAAAGAGUUUUUUUCUUCUUUUUCUUCUUUUCUUUCUUAUAUAUAUUUAUUUAUUUUAAAAAAUAAAAAAUCACUAUUCACAAAUCCCUAAUUCAAAAAUUACUGUUGAUUAUCGUUUUCCAGCAGCGCGCCUCGGCUCCAGCCUUCACUGAGCAACCAGCAGCAGCAGACGAGCACGCUCAGCCCCAGCCGCAGCGCGCAGCAUCAGCCCUAGCCGCAGCACACAGCAUCAGUCCCAACCGUAGCGCGCAACGUAACGCAACCAGCGUCACCAGCGCAGUAGAACCAACCCCAACCCGUGCAUCAAGCUACAGCCGAGCAGCAAUCGUCCGCAACCCGCCUACGCACUGUAUUCCAACCGGGUAAAUCGAAAUCCGUGAGUGCAAUUAUUAUAACAAUGCCGAAGAGGAAAGCAUCAACUUCCAAGUCAUCUAAAAAGACACCCGUCGCAAAGAAGUCCAAGAUUGCCGCUCCCACUACGGUUCCAUGGAACACAGUUUCAGAUUCACGCCAAGCCGUGAGACAAAGAACGAAACAUGGAAAGGGCAUGAGUGUUUUACUACUUGCGGAAUCCAAUCUUGGAGGGGGCCUCGCAUUCACGACUCAACAAGAGAAAGAAAGGUACAAAGAUAUUUCCAAGCAAAAAAUACUUCCAGCUAAGUAUAUUCAUUACCCGACUCUUGAAAAAUUGAAUGUUAAGGAUAAUUUUGAUUCUUUGAUAGAUAAGAUUGGUUUGCGUAAGUUUGUUGAUGUUGAUUGUUUGAGUUAUGUUGAGUUGAUUAGGGAGUUUUAUGCUACUUUUCAAUUUAAUAUACCGUAUGAUUUUACUUUGCAUACCCCGGAUAUUAUAAAGUUUAGGUUAAUGGGAUGGAGUUUUUCACACUCGAUCAUAGAUUUUAACCUAGCUUUAGGAUUCAUUGAUGAUGAUUAUUCUUCUAGUGAUGCAUAUUUAGGAACAACUUGUGACUUUAGCGAAAAUUUUGAGCCUUAUGGUCUUUGGCGUAAUUUAUCUGUUGAUCACAAUGCCUAUAACCCAAGUAAAUCAAUGAGUUCUUUCUUACGUGACCCUGUUUUGAAAUGUGUGCAUCGAUUCUUAGCAUAUAAUUUUUUAGGAAAGAAAGAUCACUCAGGAGUUUUCUCUAAAACUGAAUUUUAUUUUAUCUGGUUUAUGUUAAAUGAUGUGAGGCCUAAUUUAGGUUUUUGGUUAGCAGAUCAAUUUCAGAGUGUGUUAAACGGUAGAUGACUUUAUUUCUUGGUCCAUACAUUACUCUGUUAGCUAUAAACUUAUGUGUGCUUGAUCCUAACAAUAAUGAUUUGCAUCCUGCUUGCAAAAAGGAAUUUUUGGAUAUAUCUGUGUUUGAAAGAACAGGUGUAGUCGAAUUCAAGGAGGGGAGAUUUCAGUUUACUGAACCAGGACCCACUCAACUUCCAAAAAAGCUUUAUGCUAGGAGUGGUGCUACCUCUGAUGACGAGUUUGACGACAAAACUGCUGCCUCACCAACUAUUCCUUCUACAUCCGCACCACCUUUGAGCAUUCAGUUAGAGAAAAUGGAGCACAAGCUGGACAAGAUGGAGCAGAAUUUGGCCGCAUACUUCGAGAGUGUGAGAUUUAUCCCACCAUUUCCGCUAAGCCCAUAGACGUUAUGAGGAUCAAAGCUCACAAUUCAGGGAAGUUUUUGCCUUUAAUCUUUUAUCCUUACACUUUAAUUUUUAUGUGAGCUUUGAUUAUCUUACAUUGGGGACAAUGUAAGUUCUUGGUGUGGGGGAGGGAUUUUUGCAUUAUUGAUGUCUGGAAGUAUUAUUUUCACUCUACUCAUCUAUUUUCACUCUACUCAUCCUUAAAUGAUUUUAGAGUUAGUAUGCUGCAUAUAUUAUUAUUUUUCUUUUCUUUUCCUUCUCACUACUUUUUUCCCAUCUAUCUCAAAUUAUUCAUAUCUAUUUUUAUUUUACCAUAUUCUUUCAUCACUCACAUUUUAUCUUUCAUUUUUUUUCUACAUACAUCUUUCUCGCUUAUUAUCCUUUUUACCUUUCCUUUUAUAUAUCACUCAUACCUUCUUCUCAUUCUACACCACUAUUGAUGGUUGAUUCAUUUGAAGAGUAUACAUGAUUUAAUGGCAAAUUUACCAACUUUGUGAGGAUUUGAGCCUAUGAGCAACCACUUUGCUCUAUUUAUUUUUGUUAUGUGAAUAUCAAUCUUAGUUUGUUUAUUCUAGAACUUGCUUUGUUGUGCAUGUUGAAGCCGCAUUACGGGAUUUUAUGCAUUAAAAUGAUAAGGGCAAACCGCUUUCCAUUUUUCUAUUCUCACAUUUUUCUUCUUUUUCUCCACCCGAAAACCUUUAUUUGUUAUCUUUGUUUGAGCCUUAAACAUUACCCAUCUAAUUCUCUCCGUCUACUUAACCAUUUUUCUUCUUUUUGAGCCUCAAUUUAAGGAGAUUUUUGGACUCAUUGGGUGGAUAUAUUUUGUUGCUUUUUCUACCUUGUAUUAAAGUUUCUCAAAUAGAUCAACAAGCAUUAUGCUUGAAUUAAAUUGUGCAAGGUUCGUUUUUGUUGUUUGAUUAAAAAAAAAGGAAAAAAACAAAAAAAAAAAAGAAAAAAAUGUUUACAUUCUUGGUGACUUGAGUAGAAAUAACCGUUUCGAUAUCAUAAGAUUCAUUCAAUGAGUUCAUUCUUCUCAUUUUGAUCUCUUUUUCUUUCAUAGACCUUUCUUUUUCAUUUAACCCAUUUAACCCCGUUACAACCUUUUUAAGACCAUUAGAUUUUUGCAUUUAAUUCAUGUUUUGUGGAUUGAGAUGUGAUAUAUAAGCAAGCUUAUGGUAAUAGCAUUCUUUGAUUUGAUUUGAGUGCAUAAAUGACGCCCUAAACACUUUGAGUGAAUGGAGUGAAGUCAAUGAGAGGGCUAUUAAAUCUUGUUGCACUUGAAUUUUGAAUGGAUCUUCUUGGCAGUUGAAUGUUUUUAUUCUAGCUUAUGAGAUUCUAUGCUUUAAAAUCCUUGUCUCUUGAAUGUUGAUCGACUUAAAUUCUUGAGGUAUGCUUGCUUAAAAUUGUUUUUGGAUGAGUUGAGAUGAGAAUUGAGUGGAGAUUUGGGAUUAGUCUUGAGUUAUAUGCUUGAGGACAAGCAUCAUUUUGGUGUGGGGGAAUUUGUUAGAGUGCAAUUUAUGCACUAGUUUUGAAUUGUUUACUUCCCUUAAUAUCGAUGUUUUGCACUUAAUAAUAGUGAUUUACUUGUAUUUUAUUUUUAUAGGUGCAAUUCUAUUGAUUGGUGCAAAAAUUGAGCUACAAGAUGAUGUUUAAGGAUGAUUAUUCUCUUGGAGAAAUUAUGAGCGUCAGAAGAACUUUGUUGAUAACGCGUGGGCGCGUGCUUUCAUCUACGGACCUGUAGUUUUUAAUUUAAUGUGUUUUGUAUUUUUGGUUAUUUUUAUAAUUACGAAUUUAAUAUUUCAGAUAUUAGUAUUUUAUUUUAAAUAGAACUCUAGAGGAGAAGAGAGAUAGAGUAUUUAAGGGAGGAAUCUAUUGUGAAAAAAAGGAGAUUUUUGGAAAAGAAAGAAACCCUAGAUCUAAUUUUUUCUCUUCUCUCUAUGAAGAACUAAACCUAUUAUUCUGGUUGAAGGUUAAUGAAGCUUUGAUUCAUCACUACUGUGAGAUCUUUCUUAUGCUUUAAUUGUUUUAUUGCUUUUUGGGUAUUUGUUUAUUCUCUGAAUUAUUUUCAUGAUUAUGUUUGUUAAUUAGAUAAUUGGCCACUAUUUAAUCUGCUGUACGGCCAAGGCGGAUGUCGGUACAGCAGAAUAUUCAUUUUAGUUGAGUCUUAAUAAGUUUUGUUAAAUGAACCAUCGUAUGUGUUUGUUGAUUAGGAUUUGGGUCUCUCUGGUUUUUUAGGCUGUCAAUUGAUUAAAUCCUAUGAUCGUAUCUAGGGUUGUCUAUUGAUUAGGGAAAUAACCAAUGGUCAUACCUUGGUUAUCGACUAGUUAAGGAGAGAUUGGCUAUUAGAGGAUCUCAGUAGCUAUAACCGGUCUAUUCAUAAGUAGUAAUAAUUUAUAUUUGAAUCAAUGAUCAGUAGUCGAAUCAAGUUGAGUUAAUUCCUUCAACCAGAGCUUUCUCCAAUUUGAAUUACAACUUUAAUUUGCAUUCUUGUUAUUUUAAUUUGAUUUUUAUUAUUUUCAACAAAACCCCCAUUUUAUAUUUUACGUUUUAAAAGGAUUUAAAUAAUUACCGAUCUCUGUGGGCACGACCCUGCUCAAUCACUAUACACAAUUUAUUUAGAGUAGGUAUUUAUUUUUGUCGGCUUCGACAACCAUCAUUUUGUUUCUUUAUGUAAUUUUUAGACUGCUCUGACAACUCAUCUUAAAGGUGCCACUCAUCCAAUAUGAUAUGGUGACAGUAGUUUAGAGUUUUAAACUAAAUGCAGAGCUAAUAGUAUUUUGGAAAUAUAAUCAUCCUAAGAUACUAACAAAAACAACAACUUCGGUGUAGAGAGAAAAUGAUUUCACAAAAGCAGAUGUUUUGAUUUAAGUCUCCAAAACCCCCACCAAAGAAAUGUUCAACGGAUAUAGAAAUAUGAUCCACAUAUCUGUAACUUAAACUGUGAAAUUUGUUGAUGCUGUUCUAAAAUUGCCACAAUCUAUCUACCCCAUGAAUGUUAUUGGAUAAAACAACAAGCAGGACCCAAUGCCUGUUUUCUAAUAGCUUCAAAAAGGCCAAAUUGGUUUUGAAAUGUCUCCAGCUUUUCAUUUAACAAGUUUAAGGAUCCCUUCGGCAUUGCAAUUGGGGAGCUCAGAUAUAUAAAAGUCUGGUAAACUCUUACAGCCGCAGCUUUUGAGCAAAAAUAAUUUUAUCUCAUAAUAUUUUGACAAAAAACUUAUAUCACCUUUUAUCAGUUUUGUAAAAAAUAUUAUUUAUAAGUCAUAUUUACCAAACACAAUCAACUUUUACAUCACAAUUAUAGCUUCUUUUUUUUCACCACACAUAUACAGUUAAAAUCUACAAGAACUCGAUAUCAAAUAGAUCCUAAAGCUUAAUCUAAUAAAAAGGUAAAUAAACAAAUGCAGAAGCCAGCGUACUUGAUCAAGACGCUCUGAAUAGUCACUGGGAAAGGGAAUAUCGACGUUAAUGGGGUUAUUGCCAUCGCUUGAAACCGAAUUGGUGAGACAAUUGCGUUUUCUUCUGUACGGAGAAAAUGUGACGAUUCUUUGACCACUGAAAAUUUCGAUUCUACAAUUUACCUGCAAUUAGUGACAAUUAUUCCGUUUAGAAACAAUUUUAAAAAAAAUAAAAAGUAAUAAUUACAAACUCAGAGUAUACCUGUGGACGUGGAAUUGAAGAAACUGGAAUAGGAAGCGUAGGGAGGGCAAUGGCUGUAUUGGAGGAUAACGGCAUUUUGAACCUCAAAGUAAAGAGAGAGAGAGAGAAGAAACGCUUCCCUUUCAAAUACCGCGCUCUUUUGUACCUGGGAAUUUAACUAAUUCAUGCGAAUAAAAAAAUUUAUAAAUUUGGUAAAUUAUUUAUUAAAAAAUAUUGAGAGGUUGUGCAUUAUUUUAUUAGUAAUGACAUGGUAAUAAUCAAAUUAGUUAAAUUAAAAUAGUUGUUGACUCAGUAAUUUAUUUUUAUUAUUUUUAUAUAUUUAUUUAAUUAAUUAAUUAAUGUUAUAUCUAUUUAUAUAAAAAUGUACAGUUCUAUCCUCACUCUUAUUUUAUUUUUAUUAUUUUAAAAAAAAUGGUCUGCGUUAUUAAGGUUAAGGGUGACAACUGGGAUUAAUAUACGGUUUAUUCGAGUGCUUAAAACCUAAUAAAUAUCCACUAACUCAUAUAUAGUAAAAAUAUAAUUAUUUUAAAAAAAAUUAAUAUAAACUAAACAAAUUGAUUGGAUUUUGUUUCUCAAGGUACAUCAUUAGAACGUUACUUUUAACUGAACAAAAGCACACAUAACUAGCACAUUCGCCACAAAAGCCUCGGCUUAGUGGUCGGCUUAUUAAUUAUCCUAAUUAAAUCAUGGUCAUAAAUUUGAGUCCCGGCAGGAAUUAUUAGGCUAGGUAGCUUUUAUAGACUACACUAUAAAUACAUGUAUUUUAAUUCUCGCGGGUAUUGCUUCUAGUAGUUAUCCAUCCGAGUAUAGUGCUUUGUAGCUUUCUUCACGACCUUCCCCAAUUUCAAUGAUUGUUAAUCAAUCUUCAUAGAAAAUGUGAUAAGACUGUAUUUAGAGAAAAGCUCAAUAAAUGAUUUUUAUAGGUCAUCAUUUCAUUUAAUUUUCCGUUAUAUAUAUAUAUUCACCUUUCUCAGAGGCCAAGAAGUCUUCGACAGAAAUGUGAUCCUUGAGCUUCUCCCAAGUUUCAAUUAAUUCGCUUUGAGUGAGGAUAUUUUCUGGUGGCCUCAAAUACAAUGUUUUGUUCAGUACUCGAGGAGCAUUUAUUGUCUUAAUAGUAUUUAUGGCAACAUCAUCGAUAUGCACAGUAAAAAAAAAGAUAAUCAUUUUGUUUAAUAUGAACAUAAAUUGUCAAAUUCUGAAUCAUAUUAUAGUGAACGAUAUUGUCGUAUGGUGUGUGUAUGUACUAUCUAUAGUUUUAAUAUUAUUAAUAAGGAGUUAAAAGUCUUGAUUUAAUUUUAAAUUGUUAUUCCUCUAACUUCACCGUCUCCAUAGAUGCAGACUCUAUCUUUUGAAGGGCGGGGGUAGCUAUAUUUGAGAGAGGUGUCUGGGGAACCAACCAGCAAAAAAUAGCUAGCAGAAACAUAAAUGACAAGGAUUUGAGCAGCCUUGAUUGCCCUUCUCACACAUGCGCUCUGUGUUCUCCCUCCAGCUCUCACUCACUCACGCCCAAAUCUCACCUCACUCACGUAUCUCUCCUUUCUGACCGGUGGUUUUCUCUCUCUCGCCGUGGGUCUCUAGGCUGGCGGGGAUUUCUCGACUUGACUACUAAAACAUAAUCCAAAAACUAUCUCGACUUGACUACUAAAACAUAAUCCAAAAACUACUAAGAUAUAUAUAUAUUACUAUGAUAUACACAAUAUGAAGAAACUGCAGUUAUAUUUCAAAUAUUUUAUGAAGGAAGAGGCUGUAUGGAUUAUCCAAAGGUGCUGAAAUUAAGAGACCCACGCCAACCGACAGAGUGAGUGAAUAUAAGGGGGUUAUUGGGUAAAAAUCACAUAACGCGCAAGCGAAAUUUUAGAUUAUAUUUUUUAAUACUCUCCGAGUCUCUCUUUCUCUUUCUUUUUUGGUUUGAACCACGAGGUGGUCCUGAGUGGGUCCCAACUAUGGAAAGCACUUUUAAGCCCGUACCACAACUUAGACUAAUCCCCACUCGCACCGGGUCGGCCCGUAAGGGGUAAAGUGCUGGGCAAAGUGGUGACUCCAUACGAGAGCGGGACUUGAACCCCUGACCUCUCUUAAGGAGUGAGAGUGCCGAACCACUCACACCAACCAACUUUGGUUAACUCUCUUUCUCUUUUUCUUUUUUUAAAUAAAUGUCAGUAUAAAAUUAGAAAAUUUUAGAUAUAAAAUUUGGCGAUGACCAAACAAAAAUUGCAGGGGAAACCUUGAUAUCAUUGAAAUACUAAUCAUAGACACUGCAGUAUAAAUAACUUCUUGUGAUCUACUCAACUUUAACACUUUAAUCCAUAUUCUAAAAUUUGCAUGUUUGUUAGGAUUUUUAUUAUUGAUACUGUUGUAUCAAUAAAAUUAUAAUUUAUUCAUAUGGAAUGAAAACAUCAAGAAAGGACCUCUGAAGUUUAUUAUAACAGAAAAAAAUGGUCCAUAAGUCUAUUUAUUAUUUUAUUUAUUCAAUACAAAUGGCCAACUUUAAAAAUGGUAAAAGUCACACAAUGCACAAGUAAAAUUUUAGAAUUAAAUUUUUUAAUUCUCUUUGAGUCUCUCUCUCUUUAAAAAAUAAACCUCACUGUAAAAUUAGAAAAAUUUUAGACGUAAAAUUUGACAAUCACCAAAUAGAAAACAUAGGCAAAUGAAAAUGGAGGAGCCCUAUUUUCAUUAGAAUAUUGAUCAUAGAUACUAUAAUGUAAAUCAUUUGUUGUGGUUCAUUCAACCUGUCACACUCUAAGCCAUUUUCUAAAAUUUGUAAGGUUUAUAGGAUUUUUAUUAUUGCCAUCAUUGUAUCAAUAAUAUUAUAAAUUAUAUAUUCUAUUGUAAUGAAAAUUUGUGCAAUAUGAAGAAACUGCAGUUAUAUUUCAAAUAUUUUAUGAAGGAAGAGGCUGUAUGGAUUAUCCAAAGGUGCUGAAAUUAAGAGACCCACGCCAACCGACAGAGUGAGUGAAUAUAAGGGGGUUAUUGGGUAAAAAUCACAUAACGCGCAAGCGAAAUUUUAGAUUAUAUUUUUUAAUACUCUCCGAGUCUCUCUUUCUCUUUCUUUUUUGGUUUGAACCACGAGGUGGUCCUGAGUGGGUCCCAACUAUGGAAAGCACUUUUAAGCCCGUACCACAACUUAGACUAAUCCCCACUCGCACCGGGUCGGCCCGUAAGGGGUAAAGUGCUGGGCAAAGUGGUGACUCCAUACGAGAGCGGGACUUGAACCCCUGACCUCUCUUAAGGAGUGAGAGUGCCGAACCACUCACACCAACCAACUUUGGUUAACUCUCUUUCUCUUUUUCUUUUUUUAAAUAAAUGUCAGUAUAAAAUUAGAAAAUUUUAGAUAUAAAAUUUGGCGAUGACCAAACAAAAAUUGCAGGGGAAACCUUGAUAUCAUUGAAAUACUAAUCAUAGACACUGCAGUAUAAAUAACUUCUUGUGAUCUACUCAACUUUAACACUUUAAUCCAUAUUCUAAAAUUUGCAUGUUUGUUAGGAUUUUUAUUAUUGAUACUGUUGUAUCAAUAAAAUUAUAAUUUAUUCAUAUGGAAUGAAAACAUCAAGAAAGGACCUCUGAAGUUUAUUAUAACAGAAAAAAAUGGUCCAUAAGUCUAUUUAUUAUUUUAUUUAUUCAAUACAAAUGGCCAACUUUAAAAAUGGUAAAAGUCACACAAUGCACAAGUAAAAUUUUAGAAUUAAAUUUUUUAAUUCUCUUUGAGUCUCUCUCUCUUUAAAAAAUAAACCUCACUGUAAAAUUAGAAAAAUUUUAGACGUAAAAUUUGACAAUCACCAAAUAGAAAACAUAGGCAAAUGAAAAUGGAGGAGCCCUAUUUUCAUUAGAAUAUUGAUCAUAGAUACUAUAAUGUAAAUCAUUUGUUGUGGUUCAUUCAACCUGUCACACUCUAAGCCAUUUUCUAAAAUUUGUAAGGUUUAUAGGAUUUUUAUUAUUGCCAUCAUUGUAUCAAUAAUAUUAUAAAUUAUAUAUUCUAUUGUAAUGAAAAUUUGUGCAAUCUUAGGUAUGUAUUAUAUUAAAUUGUGUGGAUUAAUUAAGAAUAUUUUUGGAGACAAAAGAAGUGUGUGUAUGUAAGAAUAAUGAUAAAAAAUUUCUAAAUAAAGGUGAUUGCUUCAUUGACAAGUACAUAUUUAUAUUCCUCUAUUAGUAUUUGGGUUGUAAACUCUGUUUAUAAAGUGAAUAUAUUGUGGUAAGCGAUGUGGGAAAUAUCGGAUGCGAAAUAUUGAGAGAUCAUUAACGCAUAUAUUUAUUGAAGAUGCAUAUAGAGGAAAGAGUGUAGAUCCGGCCGUAACACUUAUGAAGCUUUCCCUAAGUAUUCUCAUGCUUGCUUAACUAUUCCGAAGUAUUUUUCAUAGUGUGCAUAUUUACUUUAUGGUGUCUUUAUUCGUCUCAAAUGAUUACUACAGUUCUUUUGGGAUGAAAGGUCAUUUAUUUUGUUAAUUUUAAACAAUAGAAAAAAUAAAUAAUGGUAACGAAAGACUAAUUGUGAUAUUGAAGCGUACGGACUUUAACUCAAUCCAAAAAUUAGUAGGACCCACAUAUAUUUGAUGACGCUGAAAGUUACAUCAAUUGUAACUUAGAAACAUCCAAAUAUUAGACAAUAAUACACAAUAACAAUGCAUAUAAUUUGGGUUUGAUUUUUAAAAAAUUAUUUGAAUAUCACUUAUCCUUAAGAUAUUAAUUUGAAUAUAUUUUAAUAGUAAAUAAUAAAAAUUUGUUUAGUUAUUAUUUGUAUUUCAUACAUUGCAUGUUAGAUUUGUUUGAAUUUUAAGUUGUUGCGAAUAAAUAUUUAUGUUGUGAAAGUCGAAUUCAAUAGCUACAAAAGCAGAGAUAAUUGUAUUUUAUAUAGUUUUUAAGAAUACAAGGAUAAGAUCAUAACGCAUGAGAUAACGGUAUUUUAUAUUAAAAGACCAUAAUGCAUGUAUUUGAGCCAUUUAUAUUGAAGACACAUAUAGAGGAAUGAGUGCAGAUCCGACCAUAACUAUUGUGAAGCUUUCCUCAAGUAUUCUCAUGCACCCAAACCUUAUCUGGUCAAGGUUUCUGAUUGAAUAUAAUCAAUUUCCGUGCAGUACCGAAGACAGCUUCUGUUGGUAGUUGAAUUUGUGGGGAAUGACAAAUGUAGAGAAAUACAACAAUAAUGGUGGAACUUUAUUACGUAAAGUAAUGUGUUUACAACUAACUCUGUAUGUAGUAAGAAAAAUAAUAGUAAUAAGUAAACUUGCAAAAAUUUUGUGUGCUUGAAGGCACGUUACAAAUGUCGCUUUCCUUAAGACGUUAUUUGCCCCCACCAAUUGAGUGAUGCACAUGGGUUAAGCAAAUACGCAUCCAGGAUACAAUGAAGCACUUGUUUGUUUGCUAGUGUUGUGCAUCAACGAAAGCAAACCAGAAUACUCUUGAAUGUUGCAAGCCUGCCAAGAAACAAUAAAUUGUUCCUGCAGAAAACAAUAUAUUGGAUUGUGAAUGCACAAAAGAAAUGGGUGUUUUGUGUUGAAAUUCGUACUAGAAAGGAAUGCUAAGAAAAGAGUGGUGUAGGAUCAUUGAUUUCAUGUCUAAAUGGCUUAAACAUGACCCCUAUUUAUGGAUAUACUUGUGCCCCCUCAUUUGGGUUGUCAUCUUCAUGAUACCCCUUCAUUCAUGGCCAUUGGAUCUAUAUUUAAUUUUAAUCAAUGGUCCAAAUUGAACCAUCACCAUUUCAAAUGAAAUGUCACCAUGAAAUGAUGCAUCUCUAAGUGAAAUGUUACCAUGAAAAGUUAUAUCAUUUAGUAAAAAGAUACAUUUUCUAUAAGACAUAAUUAAAUAGACAUGUCCUUACAACAAGACAUCAUUUAAUUAGACAUGUCUUUAGUGAAAUGUACUUUUUCUAUAAGGCAGAAUUAAUAAGACAUGUCUUCACCAUAAGACACAAUUUAUUUUGAAAAUUUUCCAACAGCUUAUCUGUAAAGCUCUUCAACCACAAGCAUUUCUACAAGGCAAAAGACUAGGACGUGUUGGAAUGAAUAUCAAUAAGGGAAUGUCUUAUGAAUUUGGUUUAUAUCCUAAUAUAAGACAAUCAAUAAAUAUUGGAUGCAAUCUAAGGGCUAACAUUUGAUUGAUCAUUGUACGAAAAAAAAAGGUACAAAAAUACAAAACAGAGCUGAUUGAUGGCCUUUAACAGUCAGUUCUAUGACAAAGUAACCACCACAACAAAUGGAAUUAUAAGACAUCAAGAAACUUGAACUUGGCAGGAGGUCUCAUUAGCAGUAUACCUCAGAAAUUAAGACAGAGACUUUAAAAUGCAAGCUUAUGGAGUAAUUUAAGCACUGAAACUAAUAACAGUGAUGCAAAAAAAGGUGCAGAAGUACGGUAUUAGCAAUUGACCUCUGCUUUUGCUUGGACAAAGGUUUUCAUCACAAGGGACUCAUUAGUUGCCCUUGCCUCACACGAUUGGAUGCUAAGGGGAAAAAGGAAGCUUCUAACGGCAUUCACAGAGAACCUAUAAAACUAAAAAAAAAAAAAAUCAUCCAUGAAAAGGCUACUAACAAAAAAACUAACUCUUUUAUCUGCCACUGACCUAAUCCGCACUCAUUUAAUUAAAAAAGAAUUAAAAGCAAAACUAAAAGAUACAAAUUGCGUACAAGUCUAGGAGCCAUAUCAAAGGCGUUAUAUAACUUUUCCAAUUAAUAAAUUCUCUUAAGGGCCAUACCGUGCUCAUCAUUUCAAAAGCAAUUAAGGAUAAGAACUUUCAUCAUUAAUUGAUAUGGCCAGUGUAGAAAAAAUGAAAAAGCCCUCCAAGAUCAAAGCACAAGGAUCAGUUUAGAAUUACACUUUUUAAAUUUUGGUUAAUAAAUAAACGUUUAUAUGAAAAUAGAAAAUCUUUUUGGAAUAACCUUUUUUUUUCUUUUUUUAAUGAAUGUGGAUAUAAAAUUUUAAAAUCGCCAAACCGAAAAGAAAAACAGGGGAAUGAAAAGAGAGCCCACGUUUCUCCUCUCUUUUGUUUUUAUUGUUAUCAAACAGGGGAAUGAAAAGAGUGCUCUGUUUCUCCCCUGUUUUGAUUUUUUUAUUACUAAACAGGGGAAUGAAGAGAUCAGCUCUUGUCGCAAGCGCAAAUUUUUGUUUCUAAAUGCAGUUGGUUGUAACUAUAUUCGCAGUCCCUAGUACUUAGAAGUAAAGGCUCUUGGAAUUUCUAUUGUAGUACAUGAGAUGUUUCCCGUUCAAAUAGCUCGCCCGAUACCAUUAGCAUGUUCAUCUCUCUAUAGAUUGAUGUUGACAUAGAUGUUAUUCUACUUUUGCUAGUGGAGUUUUGGGCCUUGUCGUAAUUGGUGGAAUUACGACAUCGGUGGCUGACAUGGCUUUCCUUGUACAGGUAUGUAUGAUUGUUUUUUUUGCACGUCUAAAUGGCACUGUUGAAAAGCUUAAAAUUGAACUGAUAAUUUUGUUUGGAAGCUCAGAAAAUUCAUGAGAAAGUGAAAUAGAAUAUUCUGGAUUUCUUUUCUUUCCAUAACAUACAAAUGACAAACGUAGCAGUAUUUAUACUCGUUGCUUACAUCAUAAAAACAGAAUUAAAGCAAGUUAUACAACUAUAACAUAAUAAAAACCGUGCUUAACUAAUUGGCUGAGCUAGCAUAUACUUCUUUAACUAACACAUGCUUAUCGUGCAGCUACUCUUUAGUUCACACGUGCUCAGUGUGCUUCCUUAACAGACACAAGGGAAAAGACAUGAUUUUGAGAUAUAACGCUUGAAUGUUCUCGGAAUGGCAUAACGCUUUGUGUGUCUCGGACCUGUUAAGAAUAACAUAUGCUGAGUCAGCAUCAAGCCAUGCUGGAAGUCAGUUUUGCAGUUAGUUAGAGAGCUUAUCAGCUUCCCUCCAAAAGUUUGUUAUGUGUAUUAGAAUCUGGGCUCACGAGUUUUGUGAGAUUGUAACCUUAAGAAGAUUCUCACACUACUAUAAAUUGUAUUGUGACUCAAUUAAUAAAAUAAGUUGAAGCUUUGCAUUUUCUCUCAGUCAAAAUUUUCUCUCUGUUUUUCUAACCAAACAAGAUCUACAGAGCAUCUUGUAUUUUAACUUGGUAUCAGAGCUUGAAUCCAAUGGCCUUAAUCGGUUCCAUUCUCAGUCUUGUGGUAAGCUCUAAGACUUCUUUUGAGUUGUGGAAAAAUCUAGAAAAAUAAUUUGGAUCUGAAUCUAUGGCUAAGAAGGUUCAUCUAAAAAUGCUUUUGAGUAACCUGCGAAAAGGAUCUCUAACCAUGUCUGAGUAUUUUACAAAGCUUAAGUCAGUUACAGAUGGUCUUGCUUUAGUUGGUAGCCCUGUGCAUGAUUCGGAUUUAGUCACUCAUCUUAUUACUAGUCUAGAUCAGUCAUAUUAUCCUGUAGUAGUCUAUAUUGAGGCAAACAUGUUGAAAAUGGAUCUUAGUGAGGCUUAUGCUAUGCUUCUCACACAUGAAGCUAGACUUGAGAAUAAUAAGCUUCAUGAUAGUAAGGAAACCAAGAACAAUUAUGCAGCAAAUGUAGCUCAGGCUGGAAAUUUUUCAAAGAAAGGUAAUAACAAUAAUCAAAACAACUGGAAGGCUGGAGGAAACAAUUGGAAUAAUAACUCUGGUGGAAGAGGUGGUUUUGGUGGUAAUGGAAGAGGUGGUUACCAAGGGUUCAAUCCAGGAAGAGGAAACUAGAAUAAUAAUAAUUUCAGAGGUGUUGCUGGUGGAUUUAAUAGUGGAUUUCCUGGUCCCGGUGGCUUCAAUAACAAUUAUGGCAGAGGUGGUUUCAACUCAGGAGGUGCUGGAAAGAAUUUUGCUCAGGGAACUGGUGCUGCUUGUCAGAUAUGCUUCAGGUUUAAUCACACAGCAGCUGAUUGCAGAGACAGGUUCAACCGAAAUUUUAUCCCAAAUUUUCCAGCUCCAGCUCCAAAUCACUUCUGUAAUCAGCAUCAAGGACCAAGAGCAGUCUUCAUAACAACAUCUGAAGGAGCUGCUGAUCAGGGAUGGUUUCUGGAUAGUGGUGCAACUCACCACUUAACCAACACAGUUCAGAAUCUGAGUGAUGGUAAAAUCUAUUUUGGCUCAAACUUACUUACUGUUGGUAAUGGCCAAGGUCUUAGAAUUACUCACAUAGGUUAUACACAACUUCACACUUCUUUUGGCACCUGUUUACAACUACAUAAUAUUUUGUGUGUCCCUCAAAUUACCAAGAACCUCAUUAGUAUUUCCAAACUCCUCACUGAUAAUGAUAUAACCAUUGAAUUUUUCUCUGAUGUUUGCUUUCUAAAGGACAAGGUGAAGGGCACUCUGUUGGCUCAGGGGAUAGCCUAUACAAGCUACUAUCAAAAGAGGAAUCUCUCUCUUCUUCCACUUCUGUUCUGCCAGUGUCUCAUCCUAGUUCUAUGAUGUCAACUCUUUCCUGCAAUAAUGUAGUUACUUCUGUUCAAAGUUCAAAUAAUGACUUCUGUUUUAAGUCUACAUUUCCUGUAAGCUUUCAAACUUCAAGUUAUGUGUCAGCAAAUAUGUUGCACAAUAGACUUGGUCAUCCAAGUAAACAUGUCAUACAAACUAUUCUCAGAAACAAUUGUUUAAUGUCAGCCAAUGUUAGUAAAUCAAAUUUUCUUUUCUGUGAUGCCUGUCAAUUGGGAAAGUUACAUCAAUUACACUUUCCUGCUACUGAAAUCAAAACAAAAAACCCCUUAGAAUUAAUACACACAGACUUAUGAGGACCAGCACCAGUUUUAUCACUAGAUGGCUAUAGAUACUAUAUUUCCUUUGUUGAUGACUUCACCCGAUAUUGUUGGAUCUUUCCUUUAGUUUUAAAAUCUGAUGCUCUUACUACUUUCAAAAACUUCAAGAGCUUAGUUGAGAAACAAUUCAGUCUGCCUAUCAAAAUUCUGCGGUCUGAUAUGGGAGGUGAAUUCAAAGCUUUUCAGUCCUUUCUUCAACAAGAAGGUAUCCAAGCUAGAUUUAGUUGUCCCUAUACUCACCAUCAAAAUGGUGUUGUUGAGAGAAAAUAUAGACACUUAGUAGAAACUGGAUUAACACUCCUUACUCAAGUAAAAAUGCCUAUUUCUUUCUCGUGGGAGGCUUUCCAUACAGCCUCCUAUCUCAUUAAUAGAAUGCCUACCACUACACUGAACAACUUAUCUCCCUAUCAAAAGCUUCAUAAUCAGCCACCAAACUAUCAACUUCUCAGAGUUUUUGGUUGUGCUUCCUAUCCUUUUCUCAAGCCUUAUAAUGAUCACAAGCUUGAUUUUCAUUCCCAAAAAUGCUUGUUCUUAGGUUACAGCCCUCUUCAGAAAGGAUAUAGGUGUCUAACAAAGUCAGGUAAAGUAUAUGUUGCUACUCAUAUUGUUUUUAAUGAAUCUGAUUUUCCCUAUUCAGAGUUGUUCUCUUCAUCUGAGUCUUCUUCCAAUUCUCUAUCAUCAUACUCUCCAUCUAUUUGUAUCCUUAAUGACAGUGGCUUGCAUCAAUCAUCAGCUACAUCUCCUACUUCAGCAAAGUUACCAACUAUACAUUCACCUCAACAUCCUCACCAAGCCCCACACUCUCCUUGUCCCUCUCCAGUCUCAGAUUCCUACAGCUAAUCAUCACCACAUUCUUCAUCACAUAAUGCUUUAGCCAAUCCCUCUGAUGAAUUACAACCAUCAUCUCAACCUGUCAUUUCAACUCAUCAGAUGGUCACUCGAGCCAAAUCUGGUAUUUUUAAACCAAAGACCUACCUUACAGCUACCCAAGACCUUGAACCAGUGAGUGUUAAAGCAACCCUAAUUGAUACAAAGUGGAAAAUGGCUAUGCAAGAAGAGUAUAAUGCCUUGCAGAAGAAUGGCACCUGGACAUUAGUUCCAGCUGAAACAGCUACAAAACUUGUUGGCAAUAAGUGGGUUUUUCGAGUUAAAUAUAACCCAGAUGGCAGCAUUUCCAAGUAUAAGGCUCGGUUGGAUGCAAAAGGUUUUCAUCAAACCUAUGGAGUAGAUUUCUUUGAAACUUUUAGUCCAGUUGUUAAACCCUGCACUGUUCGUAUUGUUCUCAGCUUAGCAGUCAUGCAUUGUUGGCCAGUUCGGCAAUUAGAUGUUAACAAUGCCUUUCUUAAUGGCAUGCUUACUGAAGAUGUGUUUAUGCCUCAGCUAGAAGGCUUUAUCAGCUCUCAGUUUCUCAAUCAUGUCUGCAAAUUACAAAAAGCCCUUUAUGGUCUUAAACAGGCUCCAAGGGCUUGGUAUGAUAGAUUGAAAGGGUCUUUAGUUCAGUGGGGUUUCAAAUCUUCAAAGUCAGAUACUUCACUGUUUUUCAAGCAUAUUGGCAAUAAUGUUCUCAUCAUCCUUGUUUAUGUAGAUGAUAUCCUGAUAACAGGCUCUAGUGAUGUUUAUAUUUAAGAGGUUAUCAGUCUACUUAGCUCAGAAUUUGCACUUAAAGAUUUAGGAGAUUUUAACUACUUUCUUGGGGUAGAAGUGACUCCAUCUGCUGAAGGAUUACAUCUAUCUCAAACUAAGUAUGUUGGUGACAUCUUAAGAAAAGCUCAUAUGCUUGAGAGUAAAGGUUGUAAUACACCUAUCAGUGUUGCUGAUAAAUUGCAGAAGGACAAAGGCUGCUCAUUUACAAAUCCCUCACUUUACAGAAGCAUCAUUGGUUCUCUGCAGUAUCUGACACUGACCAGACCAGAUAUUGCAUUCACUGUAAACAAAUUGAGUCAGUUUUUAGCUGCUCCAACUAUCUUGCAUUGGCAGGCUUGCAAGAGGGUAUUACGAUAUCUACAAAGCACAUCACAUUUUAGACUGCAAUUCUUCAAGUCAGGUUCUCCAAGUCUCAUAGCAUAUUCUGAUGCAGAUUGGGGGUCUGAUCCAGAUGAUAGAAGAUCUGUUGGAGGGUAUUGUGUUUAUCUUGGAUCCAAUCUUGUGUCUUGGUCAUGUAAGAAACAGAACAUUGUUUCCAGGUCAUCUGUUGAAUCUGAGUAUAGAGCAUGGCCUUAGCUACAUCUGAGGUUUUGUGGAUUACAUAUCUAUUAAAAAAGCUCAAAGUAUCACUUCCCAAACCUCUUGUUCUUUACUGUGACAACAGCAGUGCAGAAGCUUUGGCUAGCAAUCCUAAGUAUCAUUCCAGAACUAAACAUAUAGAACUGGAUUUACAUUUUUUCAGAGAACACAUUGCCAACAAGGAUCUCUUCAUUGAACAUGUGUCUAGUUCUGAUAAGCUAGCUGAUGUGCUUACCAAACCUCUGAGUUUUGAUCAUUUUGCCUAUAUGCAAACUAAGGUCAAUGUCUGCCCAUGACCUUGAGCUUACGGGGGCAUUUUAAGAAUAACAUAUGCUGAGUCAUCAAGCCAUGCUGGAAGUCAGUUUUGCAGUUAGUUAGAGAGCUUAUCAGCUUCCCUCCAAAAGUUUGUUAUGUGUAUUAGAAUCUGGGCUCACGAGUUUUGUGAGAUUGUAACCUUGAGAAGAUUCUCACACUACUAUAAAUUGUAUUGUGACUCAAUUAAUAAAAUAAGUUGAAGCUUUGCAUUUUCUCUCAGUCAAAAUUUUCUCUCUAUUUUUCUAAGUAACCAAACAAGAUCUACAGAGCAUUUUGUAUUUUAACUGGAGCGGCUGAUUGGUGCUGUACGUGUUACAUUUUUACUUUUUUAACUCAAGUCUGCUGUUGUCCCAAAGUUGGAACUAGAGAUAUCAUUUCACCUCAACUGUGUUUUUUUUUUAAUUAAAAAAAUCAUUUGUUUUAGGUAUACAUACAUGUAUUUUAAUUCUAUUUUCCUUGUAAUUUCUCCUUUACUUUGAAUGAAAGUCAUUGGUGUUUUCGAAUGGGAAUUUUGCAUUAAAAAAUUAAGAAUAGUUAAUAGGAAAUUUCCUGAUUCUUUAGUUACUAUUUUUGGUAUGAGUGUAAUUAGUAGUAAAGUUGGUUUCUACUCGCAAACAAGUGAACUGCUCGAUUCCCAAGUGCUAUUAACCAGUUUCCAACUUUUUAAUAUACACUAAUUGUUCCUGUUUAAUAGCUACUACUAUUAAAACUCAACAGCUAACAAAAAUACUAAAAAAAAUGAUUUUUUCUUAUGAUGCUGUGAAAAAAAUUACGGGUUUACUUAUUUCCACGAGAUCUUGUAUAGUGUUCUUGUAUAGUGGAAUUAAGAUUGUCUUCCCGAUGGUGCAAUUCACCCUCUUCCUUUACAGUCACUUGCACUUUGUGCAGCUUUGGUGUGGAUAAGAUUCCCAGGGAAAAAGUCUUCAUGUUCGGACAAUGUGUCACAAAUACUCGUUCCAAUGAUGGGAAUUCAAGAGGGUAAUUCUCCAAACAAAAGCUGGUAAGCCUUGGUAAAUACGACUCUCCUUCACUUCUUCUCCAGCAUGUCCUACGAUUUCUUCUAAUUUUUUGCAGUUCCAUACAUAAAGAUUCACCAGACUAGUAGGAAUUCCAACCUGAAAAUAAGCAGAGUGUGUGUGUGUGUGUGUAUAUAUAUAUAUUAAAAAAGUAAAUAUGUAAGAGUAUCAUUCAACUAGGCUCAAAGAAUGUUUAAUCAUACAAUUAUACGUUUUAUGAACAUAACAAACUGUGAAAUAUCUACUAGAUAUUUUUUGUUAAACAAAAAAGGUAACAAGAUAAAUAAAUAAAUAAAAGCCAGAUAAACAAAGAUGAUAAAAAUGUAUUUACACUAUUUAGUAUUAGGGACGUAGAAAGAAUUUAUGGCAAUUUCUAAAUAUUUUGGACUUAUUUUGCAUCUUGAUAUAAGUUUUUAAGCAUAAAUUUGCAAAUUUCAACUAUUCCUUUAAAAAAAAAACUCAACUAAAAUGCCUCUUUUUCCCUUUUCCUUGGUCCCUAUUUUUUAUGUAUAUAUAAAAAUGGAAAAAAAAAUUUUGGAAAAGACUUCCCAGUACUGUCAACAAGGGAUUGCUGUAAAGUGGAUCUUUAUUAAGUACUUCCAGACUCGAGGAAAUUUCUUUACAAUCAAGGGUCAGUUGUAAACAAUCAUGAAUUUGUGGUUAAUUAAUGGCAUAAUCAAUUCUUAACUAAACUGGAGAUAUUAAUUAAAUUUGAAGACUUUUUUUUUUUCCAAUCGAAAUGUGAAGAAUUAAGGAAAAGAGAAAUAUAUAGAUGAAUUUGUGAACCUAUAAGAUGAGUGACUAUCCUUUAAUUUUUGAAAAUCGUACUUAUUAAGAUAUGAGCAAAAACAAUUAAAUUGAAUUAUAUUAUGCUGUUGAAUCUGUUUAAAAAAAUUAUAUUGUUGAUUCUAAUGCUGGUGAACCUAAAAACUAGACUUAAAACGUAGAUUUCAGAGUGGUGGUUCGAAGUACAAUACUUGAAAUAAAUAAUNNNNNNNNNNNNNNNNNNNNNNNNNNNNNNNNNNNNNNNNNNNNNNNNNNNNNNNNNNNNNNNNNNNNNNNNNNNNNNNNNNNNNNNNNNNNNNNNNNNNNNNNNNNNNNNNNNNNNNNNNNNNNNNNNNNNNNNNNNNNNNNNNNNNNNNNNNNNNNNNNNNNNNNNNNNNNNNNNNNNNNNNNNNNNNNNNNNNNNNNNNNNNNNNNNNNUUUUUUAUGUAUAUAUAAAAAUGGAAAAAAAAAUUUGGAAAAGACUUCCUAGUACUGUCAACAAGGGAUUGCUGUAAAGUGGAUCUUUAUUAAGUACUUCCAGACUCGAGGAAAUUUCUUUACAAUCAAGGAUCAGUUGUAAAUAAUCAUGAAUUUGUGGUUAAUUAAUGGCAUAAUCAAUUCUUAACUAAACUGGAGAUAUUAAUUAAAUUUGAAGACUUUUUUUUUUUCCAAUCGAAAUGUGAAGAAUUAAGGAAAAGAGAAAUAUAUAGAUGAAUUUGUGAACCUAUAAGAUGAGUGACUAUCCUUUAAUUUUUGAAAAUUGUACUUAUUAAGACAUGAGCAGAAACAAUUAAAUUGAAUUAUAUUAUGCUGUUGAAUCGUGAUUAAAAAAAUUAUAUUGUUGAUUCUAAUGCUGGCGAACCUAAAAACUGGACUUAAAACGUAGAUUUCAGAGUGGUGGUUUGAAGUACAAUACUUGAAAUAAAUAAUCAGUGGCUAAAUAUCAUUUGUAAACCCAAAAAUGGUUAAAAUAUUGUUGAAUGUUAUUUGAAAAAAAAAAAAAAGAGAUUCAAAAUGAAUAUUCUUACCAAUGGAGGAAAAAUAUUCUUUAGGUUAUCACACCAAGAUAUCUCCAAAUUCUUCAAUUUGCUGAAAGACUCCGAAGCAAGCUGGUGGUGCCAUAUUUUUCUCAAAUUAUCCAUCCAGUCAAUACGUAAUACCUCCAACCUAGGAAGUCGUACCUGACAGUUAAAGAUUAAAUAACUAAUUAAUCAAUUAAUGGCAUAAUCAAUUGAUAAAUAAAUUAGAGGCGGAUAUUAACUAAAUUUGAAGACUCAAGGAAAAGACAAAUUAAAUAUUGUGACUAAAAUAAAUUUAAAAAAAAAAAAAACCUUUUCGUCAAAGAGAGGAGGUUGCAUUUCAGAAUGAAUGGUGUCUUCUGGUGAGCUCGUGGAGAUGAAUCUUAACAUAUUCCAGCAACUCUGAAUCUCGAGGUUUAGCAAAGAAGGGAAUUCAACAACUAAAUCUGAAUGAAUAUGUCCCGUAUUGGCAAAGCUUGUUAGUUCUGGAAGCCAAUAGAGCCGCAGGAAGUGUAGUUUAGGAAAUACCUUUAAUUCAAUCAACUUUCCUUCAUCUCUUUCUGACCAUCCCGUGGUGUCGACUACCCCUUCCAUUGACUCACAAUAGCUUAUCUCAAGAUGUUGGAGCUGCAAAAGGCUAUUAACCAUAGAAUAUGAAAACAGAUACUUCAUACGAUGACAACCGACCACGUGCAGCUUUGUUAGCCUAAAAACUGGACUUAAAACGUAGAUUUCAGAGUGGUGGUUUGAAGUACAAUACUUGAAAUAAAUAAUCAGUGGCUAAAUAUCAUUUGUAAACCCAAAAAUGGUUAAAAUAUUGUUGAAUGUUAUUUGAAAAAAAAAAAAAAGAGAUUCAAAAUGAAUAUUCUUACCAAUGGAGGAAAAAUAUUCUUUAGGUUAUCACACCAAGAUAUCUCCAAAUUCUUCAAUUUGCUGAAAGACUCCGAAGCAAGCUGGUGGUGCCAUAUUUUUCUCAAAUUAUCCAUCCAGUCAAUACGUAAUACCUCCAACCUAGGAAGUCGUACCUGACAGUUAAAGAUUAAAUAACUAAUUAAUCAAUUAAUGGCAUAAUCAAUUGAUAAAUAAAUUAGAGGCGGAUAUUAACUAAAUUUGAAGACUCAAGGAAAAGACAAAUUAAAUAUUGUGACUAAAAUAAAUUUAAAAAAAAAAAAAACCUUUUCGUCAAAGAGAGGAGGUUGCAUUUCAGAAUGAAUGGUGUCUUCUGGUGAGCUCGUGGAGAUGAAUCUUAACAUAUUCCAGCAACUCUGAAUCUCGAGGUUUAGCAAAGAAGGGAAUUCAACAACUAAAUCUGAAUGAAUAUGUCCCGUAUUGGCAAAGCUUGUUAGUUCUGGAAGCCAAUAGAGCCGCAGGAAGUGUAGUUUAGGAAAUACCUUUAAUUCAAUCAACUUUCCUUCAUCUCUUUCUGACCAUCCCGUGGUGUCGACUACCCCUUCCAUUGACUCACAAUAGCUUAUCUCAAGAUGUUGGAGCUGCAAAAGGCUAUUAACCAUAGAAUAUGAAAACAGAUACUUCAUACGAUGACAACCGACCACGUGCAGCUUUGUUAGAUUUUGACAACAGUACAUUCCUUGAUUAUGAUCGGCCCAUAAUUUUUUCAUGUUUCUCAAGUCCCUGAGAUUCAAUUCCUCUAAGCUCGGAAGAAUAACCUGCAAAGAAAACCCGUACAUUUUUGUUCCUUCAAGUACAACCGUCUAGUAUAAUAUUCUUUUGAUGAUCGAAGAUUAAUCGUGAUAAUAAAUUAAUCAAUUAAUUAUUGAACAGAAAAUUAUCACCUUUGGAGCAGGAUCAUCAUCAGAAAUGAUUUCGUUGAAUCCCAAAGAAGUUGUUGGUUUGUCCAUGUCGGGUCCUAUAAACAAACAAAAACAAUAUACAUAAUUAAUCUUUGUCGUUGUCUUUUUUUUUCAAAAUAAUUGAGGCGAAGUCCAUAAAUCCACCAACACUUAAUUUCAACACUUACCAACAAUCAUUUCCAGAUCAUCGCAAAAAAACACUUCUACCUUUUGAAGCCGCAGUAGGUUUUUGGCCAUGGAGAAUGAGAAAAGAUGCUUCAAUUCGUGACAGUCUGAUACUUUUAUAAUCCUUAAGUUGCUGAAAGAUUGAUCUUCUGUGAGUUGGCUGUCACAUAUUGUCUCCAAAUUGAUCAAACGACGAAGAGACAAUGACUCCAGCAAGGGGAAGACUUUGCGACGAACCCGUCCAACUGAACAGACAAUAUGCAAAAUCUCAGACCAACUUUUUACAGCAAGGUGCUUCAAUCGUGGAAAACCUUCCCCAUCAUCUAAUUCAUGAACAACAUUCUGAACACCCUUCAGUUCUUCUAGAUAGAGAUAUUCAGUUCUCUUCAACAACAGUUUCAUCCUGUAAUUCUGCAAAAGAAUGCCAAACUUUUCCAGCCUCUGGAGCUUCAUCAAUCUUGAUAAUCCAGAUUUAACGGACCAGCUGCUCCCCCACUUAUUUCCUAUACAUAUCCUAUAGGUAGAAGUGUUCUAGCUAUUAAUUUUAUACAUAUCUUCUAUAGGUGUAUUCUAAUUAAUUUCAUACAUCAGAUUUUUAGAUAAAAAUAAAGAAGUAAAAAAAAAAAAUCUUCACAUCAUCUUAAGAAAUUCAAAGCCAUGAUACCACAUCCAAUCACGAGAAUCCAUUUUCCUAUGAUCACUGACCUUUAGGUGCGGUGCUUGGUUUGAAGAAGGGAAAGGGGGUGAGGAAAGUAAUUUGAAUUCCUUUCUUAUUUCCGUUGUUUGGUCGGUCAUAAUAUAAAAGAAUUUAAUUUUCAUUAAAAUUUAAUAUAAUCAUAAUGUGGAAUUUAGAUUUCUCAAUAAAGAGUGAUGAAUCUUGGUUUGGGUCUGUUUUGAGUUUAUUUUCAUUUAUUUGGCUAUGUUUUGAUAGCGAAUUUUGAUAUGUCAAUAUAACGUGUAAUUGUUUUGGGUUGAGCUGGUAAUUAUGCUGGAUUAGAUUGGUUUGGUUUUGGUGCUUCUCUGAUGGAACACUGUUUUUUUUAGAAAUUUUGAAUGUAAUAUGAGACUACAUUUAGUUUAAUUGAACACUGCAUCUAGUCUAAUUACUAGAAGUGCGGCAUUUGGUUUGGUUUAUCCUAUAUUCUCCAGAAUUUCACUUGCAUCUGGUUUUGUUGCAUAUGUUUGCUUGCAUUUGAUGGCAGUAGCAGACUGUUUGGUUUUGUGACAUUUGAUGGCAGUUUGGUCUGUUCUUGGUGUUGGUUUAAGAUUGUUCCUGUUGUGCUGAUGUUAAUUGCAGGUGCUUGAAUCAGCUAGGGUUGCUGGUUUAUUCAGAUGGUUGACUCAGGCGUUGUUACUGGUUAAUUCAGGUGGCUGACUCAAGUUGUUCAUUUAAUGUUAGGAAGCAAAUUAAGAAUUAAUGAAGUAUUCAUUUAACUAUAAUUAUUGUAGUUAUUUUAUUUCAUAACUGAAUUAUAAUCUAUGAUACUUGUGAACAAAUUAGAGAAUUUUUAUAUAUGAAUUAUAUAUAUGUGUAUGUACAUUUUGCUAAUAAUUUAAAGAAUAUAUUUCAAUUCCCACAAAAAAAAAUGGCUCCAAUUUCAAUAAUUCCCGCCAAAUAAUUAAAUUUUUUUAAUUUACCACCAAAAUAUAUCUUAAAGAAAUUUUAGUUAUUCUUGCUAGAUUUAACAAAAAUAAUUUGUAGGAUUAACAUUUAAUUAAAAUAAUUAAAUAAUUUUAUUAUUCCAAUUAAAUAUGUCAUGCUUAUACGACAGACAAUAAUCAUGAAUGGGAAGUAUUAGUAACAUAUUCUUCCUUGGGAUUUCAGGCAAAUGAAAAAAAGAUUGAGAAUGAUUUCAAGAGGACAGGUGGAUGAUAAAUAUUCAUUUUUGUAUAUUUGGCUAAUGUCCUCAUUAGUGGAUUUUUAUGGUAUUGAUCUUUUUCUUUUUUUAAAAAAAUUUUCAAUUAGUUGCAGCCCUAGAGGAAGAGCAGGCUGAUCAAAUUGAUUUGUCUUGUUUUUCGGGCAAUCUACGACAUGAUGACCGUGAUAAUGCUCGUGACUGCUGGAAACUUUCUGAUGGAAAUAACUUUAGAGUUCGUAGCAAGCAUUUUUGUUAUGACAAAACAAAGGUUCCCCCAUAAUUUGUUUGUUUGUUAUGGUAUUUAUAUAUCCUGCAUAGGCUAGGUAGACAAGUUAUGAUGUACGUGUUUCUCAUAUAGAACUCAAGUCUGCUGUUGUCCCAAAGUUGGAACCAGAGAUAUCAUGACUCUGGUUUCAUUUCACCUCAACUGUGUUUUUUUUUUUUUAAUUAAAAAAAUAUUUGUUUUAGGUAUACAUACAUGUAUUUUGAUUCUAUUUUCAUUGUAAUUUCUCAUUUACUUUGAAUGAAAGUCAUUGGUGUUUUCGAAUGGGAAUUUUGCAUUAAAAAAUGAAGAAUAGUGAAUAGGAAAUUUCUUGAUUCUUUAGUUACUAUUUUUGGUACGAGUGCCAUUAGUAGUAAGGUUGGUUUCUACUCGCAAACAAGUGAACUGCUCGAUUCCCGAGUGGUAUCAACCAGUUUCCAACUUUUUAAUAUACACUAAUUGUUAUUGUUUAAUAGCUACUACUAUUAAAACUCAACAGCUAACAAAAAUACUUAAAAAAAAUGAUUUUUCUUAUGAUGCUGUGAAAAAAAUUACGGGUUUACUUCUUUCCACGAGAUCUAUAACAUGGUCUUGAUUUCACGAAAUUCUUUUAAUUUAAAGCGUGCUGGUGUGAGAAGGUCAGUUUGACUGAUUAAUUCUUUUUAACAGUGGUCGAGAUAAUUUUACUAUACUCGAAAAUAUUCUUAUUCUGAUAAAGCCAUAAAUGUUAUGCUGUUUUCUUCGGCUAAUGAUCUUCUAUCAGGAGAGGUUAGAAAUCAAAUGCUUAAAAGACCAAUUGAACGAAUAAUACAGAAAUUUAGGCAGAAUCUAAUCGAAUAUUGUAUGAAACAUGAAACAUCAAUUCAAGUCCUUUCUUAAACAAAGAAUGCAUCAAACAAAAUCCAAAGUGUCUUGCAAGUUUGUAGCAUGAGCAAAAAAUUGUAAAUAUGUAGAACCAAAUUAUUCAAGUACAGAAGAACGAGCAAGCUAAAUCAUGUAUAAGAGAUUGGCCUGGUUCAGGAUAGCUUCUUCACUGUAGCUGAAGGGUUGGCUCAAUCUCUUCUUUAGAAUUCUGCAGAUUUUGUAAUUACUCGUGUAAGCAAGCAUACAUUGCCACCAUAAGAAUAAUAAAGCAAGAGUAAUGAUAUGACCACCACCUCUUGUGCACAAACAAUAUUGUAUAAACUAAUGCGACAUAAUAUGAUUGGUUAAAUAAAAACAUUACAUGGCCCUCAUAAUUUAUUUAUUUAUUUAUUAUUAUUAUUAUAUAUUUUCAAUCAACCAAUCAUAUUAUAUCACAUUAGUUUCUAUAAAAUAAUUUGCUAAAUAGCACCAAAACUUAAUUGAUACUCACCAUUUCAUUGAACAAUUUUUUUAUGGUGUCAUUGAGGUUGCCUUCCCAACAUCCUUCAUCAUCAUCAUCUUCUUCAUCAUCAUCAUCUUCUUCUUCAUCAUCUUCAUCAUCAUCAUCUUUUUCUUCUUCGGUGACGUUCACUUUGUUUAGCAUUGGUGUGUCUAAGACUCCUUGAGAGAAGAUCUUCAUUUUUGGACACUGUCUCACAACUACUUGUUCCAAGGAUGGGAACUCAAGAGCGUAAUUACCCAAACAAAAGCUUGUUAGGCUUGGCAAACAAUCAAGUCCCAAGUACUCCAAUUUCCUGAAAACAAUGCAAUCGUCCGCUUCUUCUCCAACCUGCGACUGUAUAAUUUCUUCCAUCAUUUUGCAAUCAGUUAUCUUCAUUCUUUCAAGAUUCACUAGACUUUCAGAUGUUGAGAGCGUCAAUAAAUUUAUCAACCCAUGACACUUCGAUACUUCCAGAGUCGCAAGAUUUUCCAAAUGCCACGAAGCUGGUACUAAUUUCUGCAACUUACUACAUUCAAAUAUUUCUAGACUUUCCAAGUUUGCAAACACUUUGUUGGAUUCGGCAUUUGCCUUCCAGAUAUGCUGCACUUUGUGUAAUCCAGAUAGCCUUAAAUAUCUCAAUUGAGGGAAUGUAACCUGAAAAUCAACAAAAUUAAGUUGUAAAUGAAAAUAUGUAUCCAAUCUCUGCAGUCUUCCCCUGCAUAUUUUAUGGACAAGAUUAAUCACGGCAUUUUAUAUUUUAUUUCCAAAUUAGUAUGCUUUGCAGUAGGAUCCCAAAUAUAAGUAUCAAAUCGAUUACCCUUUGAAACACAUAAAUGAAAUCUGAUCCUAAAUCCAAUAUGAAUUAGCUAGGAAAACAGAGACCUAACACGCAUAAUCGAUAUAGUUCAUCACCUCCUGUCACUAGGCAUCUAAUUAAUUUGAGACAUUUUUUUAAUUCAUACUAUAAAGUUAGUUAAUAACUACGGUUAUAUUGUUAAACAUGUAUAAAUUAAGACGACGUGCAAAAAGAUGAGUCAUUAAAUUUGAUUUGAUUCUAAUGAAAUUAUAUCUGUGUGAAUGAAAGUGAAGGGAAAAAUAAUAAUAAUGUUACCUUUUCAUCGAAGAGAUGUUGUAUUUGAUUAGCUACCAAGAGGUUCUCUUCUUAUUUUAAUUUUUGAGCUUCCUUAUUAUCUGUUGUCAUGUGCAGUACAGAUGUAGAAUUGGACAUGAAUGUUUCCAUAUCAGGGCAAUUCUCAAUAGUUAGAUAUCUCAACUCAGGCAGUUCAAUUAUAUUCCCAGUGAAGUUGCAGAAUCUUUUGAGUUUUGGAAGGUCAAUGAGCCUUAGCUCAAAAAGCCUAGGAAACAGGGGGCCUAUAUGUUCUUCCUUGGCAUUUAGCUCUUCCAAAUGAAGCACCUCUUCUAGUGAAUCACAAUUCCUCACUUCCAGCCAUCUCAAAUUGUUCAAGCACCGUAUCAGAUUGGCAGGAAUAGCACUCGACAUAUUCGUGCGGUCAUCCACCACCAGGUGUCUUAAAUUGUUGAAGAAGCUGACAGGCAGUGCUUGGCCAUGC